GCACUUAAAUCUUCCAUUGAAAUGGAGAACACCAACUACGAGGAGGAGCUGAAGAAUGAUCGCAGGCUUGUUUGCAGUCUCAUAUACGAGAUUAAUUGCAGAAAAGAACAGUUGUCCCAAAUGGAACGUGAAUAUAACGAGAUGACCUCAACUCUUCGAGGACUCAUCAAUGGCCUCAUAGCAAAAAUUAACUCCAAGGACAGUAAUCUGUGGGGUUGGGAGCUUCAAUAUAAUGUAACCGUGAGACAGUUGAAGGGCAAGAAUGCUGCGUUGCGCCUUGCAUUUGCUGAAGGUACUUUAGAUUAUAUGUGUAUGUAAUGAGCAGAAUACUAUGUGUUAAUUGAAUCGUCUGGUACCCAUUGAUUGAUCUAUAUAAAUGUCAGGAUUUGAACCCCAAACUUAGCUUUUAUUACGGGAACCGGAUCAAUUUAGGCUCGGAUAAGCUUAAUGUGUUCAUAAACAGAUAAGAACAUAAUAUAUGGGAACACUUUGGCCAUACGAGGCUAAUGCUUAUAUGAUUCGCAUUACAGACUACAUGCUCCUAGUGAUAACUCUUCUGUAAGUACUAUUAGUCGAAUAGCUUUAUGAUGUAUUAAUCUAUCAAAUCUGGGUGUCAUAUUAUGAGUUCCAUUGCUAUGUUAAUCUAUGUACUAACAAUAUUAUGAAGUAAGGCAAUUUUGUGUACAUUAUAUUGGGAUGCAAGCUGAAUUCCCAUUAAUCAGUUUCAACCAUACAUACAUAUACAUAGAUAUAUAUAUGAAGUUAAGAACGUAAGUGCUGUUAAAUGGUACAUUACUCAGAUUGGUAAUAUAUUGGUGCCGAAUGUUCUAAAAUUUAACCAGCAUUACUGGUAAUAUAUUAGUGCCAAAUUUGACUAUUAUUGUUGAUAUAUCUUCAAAAAUUUCAGAUUUGAUAAAUAUAAAAGGGCAAUAAUGAAUAAAAAUACUGACUUUUUGAGAUCUUAUUUAAUGAAGGGAAGUUGAAUGUGGAAACUAAAUCGACCUAAGGGAAAUAAAAGCAAAAUAUGGAAAAGUUUUCUCGGGAAAACAAGUGUUAUCCUUCAUUUAUCUUGAUGAUUCUCUAACGCCGCCAAUUUUCCCCCCUAAGUUUACAGCAAGAAGACAAACGGCAACGUUAAGCCAUAUUCAUCCCAGGUUAAUUUUUUUUGUAAAUUAAACAUUUUUUGUAUACAUUUUGUUACCUAUUUAUUUUAUGUUUUUGAAGUUUCCAUUGCCAUUUCUACCUUUCCAAAAUGGUGUCUUUUUACUUGUUUUUUACUGGGUUAUUGACAUUUGUUCCAUAGAAUAAAUUUCUUUGAUUUUAGGGUUCUAUAUGUAUUUUUUUUAUGAAUUUGAACUUCAGUUAUCCAUAAAAAUUCUACCUUUAAUCUCAAUAUAUUUAUAGUCUAUAAGUUUUGACUUUUCUUCCAAUAAUAUAUCUCCAAAAUUCUAACUUAACCUUUUUAAACUUUGUCAUGUCAUUAUUAUUAUAGUUAAUUGCACCAAAUAUCUCCAAACUAUGGCCCUUAUUCUAAAAUAGUCCUCAAACUCAAAAUACGAGUAAUAUUUGGCCAUAAAAUGUAUAUAUUCAUUCCCUCUAAGCCAGUCGGUUAAGCCUCACAAUCCAACGUAACUGUAAAUCUUUCUUGGCAGCCAUGAAAUCAGUUCUAAAAUCCCUUGCAAACUCAAUCUUCCUUGUUCUUUUCAUCAUCUUUUCAUCUUCUACUCCACUUGUAUUGGCUCAAUGUGAAGCAGAGACCAGGACUAAUGGAUGCCAUAACUACAGAGAAUCCAUGAAGCUAAAAAUCAUUGCCAUUGUCGCAAUUUUACUAUCCAGCAUGAUUGGCGUGUGUCUGCCAUUGUUUUCUGGUCAGGUUCCGUCACUUAAACCCGACAGGGACUUGUUCACCAUUGUCAAGGCAUUUUCCUCCGGUGUUAUUCUAGCGACUGGGUACAUGCACGUGCUACCGGAUUCUUUUAACGACCUUAUGUCCGGGUGUUUGCCUGAAAACCCAUGGAGAAAGUUCCCUUUCACAACCUUCGUCGCAAUGCUGUCGGCUGUGUUGACCCUUAUGGUGGAUUCAUUUGCAAUGAGUGUAUACAAGAAACGUUGCGGUAAAGCUUUAAUGGCGGAUGCUAACAAUGGUGGUGGAUUGGAAAAUACGAACGUUGUACAAAUCGAUAAUUUUGAACACGGCCAUAGCCAUUCACUUGAGAUGAAUGACGACGUAUCAUCACAAUUGUUAAGGCAUCGAGUUAUUGCUCAGGUAUAUAUACAUGUUUGAAUCCUCAAAAUCGAUGGUUUUGCUUUUCAAGUCUUUACAUUAUGUAUUUCCUAAAUGUAGGUAUUAGAGUUGGGAAUUGUAGUUCAUUCAGUGGUGAUUGGCCUUGCAAUGGGAGCCUCUGGCAACCAAUGCACCAUUCGAUCACUCAUUGCUGCCCUUUGCUUCCAUCAAAUGUUUGAGGGGAUGGGACUUGGUGGAUGCAUACUGCAGGUAACCCCCAACAUUGCACUAUAUAUUUUCUCAUUCAAAUAUCCAUUUAGUGUACAAUAUUGAUUAACAUUAUGUUUGAUAUGUGCAGGCUGAAUAUGAGAUAAAAAUGAAAGCAAUCAUGGUAUUCUUCUUUUCAGCCACAACGCCACUUGGAAUAGUUCUGGGAAUUGGUUUGUCCAAGGUUUACAGUGAGACGAGUCCAACUUCACUUAUGGUGGUGGGACUACUUAAUGCUUGCUCAGCAGGGUUGCUGAAUUACAUGGCACUGGUUGAUCUACUUGCAGCUGAUUUUCUGGGCCCUAAGCUUCAAACAAAUAUGAAGCUCCAGGCUUGGUCAUAUGUUGCAGUUUUACUUGGUGCUGGAUUUAUGUCUUUGAUGGCAAAAUGGGCUUAGUCAUUUCAACAUAUACAUGUCUUUUUGUAAUCUUCUUUUUUUUUUCUUUUUUCUUUUUGCUUCAACAGAUAAGUUUAUAGUGGAUCAACACUUAUUCAAUCAAUUAUAAAAUUUAGGCAAAGAAUUGAGGCAACAAGGCUUGAACAUUGAUCUUUAAGAUCGUUUACUCCAUAUUGCAGGGCUCAUCACAAAGUAUAUAUAUCAGAAAAGUAUGCAAACUUCAAUUUUGUGUCAAUAUCAUUAUAAUUUAAACUGUUUAAUGUUACAUCAGAUGUAGAUGUCUUUAAGCCAAUGCUUAUAGCCACAAAGUCUCUUUGGUGCAAGCUAUAAGGACAGAGUUAUGUUAUAAAUAAACAAAUUAAAUAAUUUGUAUUUAAAAUAUCAAAUACUAAAAACCAAUAAAUAAGAUUAGAAAACCAAAAAUCGGAUAAAGAAUCAAAUUUUACUAGAUGUUGGGACUUGUUUUGCACAGUUUCCUUAAGAUAAAUUUGUCCGCUCCUACUGUACUUGGUGAAAUGUUGGGAGACUGUCUAAUAGGAUACAACAACACAAUGACCGAAAUAGUAGCAUCUCUACAGAGACCAAUGAACAACCUUGCCUUUUUCUAUCAUCAGAACAUUGGAAAAUAUAGAGAGAAAAAGAGAAGAAUUUUCGAGAGCAAAAUAAACUUGGUUUUAGAGAGUUUUUUAGUGUAAAAAAUUUUGAAGAAUUCUUAAGCAUUCAAGAUGGAGGAAUUUUUGAAAUAUCCAUAAUUAAAUAUACAAAAUCUGUAUUAAAUGAGCAAUUAAAUCAUAAUAUAUGUCCUUUUUAAAUUAGAUUAUAUAUAUUUGUUGAGAAAAAUAAAUUUUGUGUUGGGCUUAAAAUAUCCAUAGGCCCAACUGACCGGUCUAGACAUUUCACAUCGCCCAUGUAGUGCGAGUGCGCUUCAACCCCAAUGGGUUCGGAUCUACACCCCCUGCGCGUGAGACAAAGUUUCAAACUUAGUCAUUCAAUCAUCUUUCAAGUGGGUUCUCAUAUAUAAACGCAUCUCACAUUUGGUAUUUAAUCAAUGUGAGAUCUAAGCUUUUCUUUUCCUCAACAAAUAUUCACAAGUAACUUACUUUGAGUAUUAAUUUCUCGCUCAUCACUCAACCAUUUUGAGCAUACGAUAUACUGUUUUAAAGGUAUCAUGGAGUAGAAUAUAAAAUCAUAAUUUUAUGAUUCAAUUCUCCACUUAUACCAAUUGAGAAUAUGCUUCAAAGUUUCUAAAAAUUACAAUUUUUUUCAACAUUUUAUACAUCUAGUUUAAAGGUAUAAUCGAGUCCAGUAGAGCCCGAAUAAUGGCAAGCUUGAACUUGACUCAAACAUCACUUUUUAAGCUCAAUCUUGAUUCAAAACAUGAUUGAGCUGAUUAAGCUCGUUUAUCAAUUUUUAUAAUCAAACUCAUUUAUAAUUAAGCUCUUUUUAUAUAUCAAAGAUAAAAAUGUAAUUUUAUAAGUAAAAAUAUAUUUAAAUGGAAUGCUUAAUUAGGUUUGUGGGCUACUUGAAUCAAGUAUUACAAUAUUUAAAUUCAGCUUAAUCAAUAGCUCGAGCUCUACUCAAUAAUUUUCGAUAAAAUAUUAAGAUUUUUUGAAUCCAAUUCGAAUAGCUUGCAAAUAUAAUGUAUCACUUGUACUCUUAAUUUUGAGUUUGCAUUUUUAAUUCUUAAAAUAAUAUUAAAAAGUUCUUUCUUUCUAAAAAGAAACACCCAAUCAAUUGAAGGCUUUUUAGAAAGUGGUGGCAAAGUGCAUCCUUUACUUUAAGUCUCACUAUAUCUAAAAAGAAAUUAAUGCGAACUGUAGAAAGUGGUAGGAAUGUGCAUCAUUAUUGCUUUAAAAGAAUUUCAAUCUUUAAACGGAUAGAAUUAAAUUUUCAUAAUUUGGAAGAGUUAAAGUGUAAUUUUUUUUAUUAAUUUAAAAUUUUAAAAUUUUUUAAAGAGUUCAAAUAAUAAUUUUUUAUUUUAAGAGAGCCGGGCUCCUGUCAACUCCUGGAUUUGCCUCCAUAAUUUUCAAAAUUUUAAAUUAUGUUAUUUUGAAUAAAAAGUUAAUUGAUAAAGAAAUUCCUUUAGUUUCAAAAAUUCAAUUUUUUUGUUUUAAAAAAUAUUAAAAUUUAAAAAUUAAAAGAUUAAAGUAAUAAAAUUUCUCCCAAUAUUAAUGUCUUUUUGAUACAUGCACGAAUGGAGUGAAAUUUAUUAGAUUCCAAUCAUCAAAACUGCCAAUUUUUAGGCUUGGGAAAUUAGCACACUUGCGAUGACUUUGUGGAUGGGAUUCUGGCAUUUUUUGGGUUGAGAUGUCUCAUGGCAUUUGAAGAUCAAUCUCUUAGCUUCGAAACACAUUUCGAAUCACUCGAUUUUGAGUUCGGAAGCUCAAGUUAUGACUGUUUUAGUGAAGACUGCGCGAGCAGAAUUUUUGAACGAGAUUAUGACGGGAGUUACAAAUUUUGGGCUUUUAAUUCAUGUUUAAAUUAUAUUGGGUUCAGGUUUUAGACUUACUUUUUUUAUUAUAUAUGAGCCUAAUAUUAUAGUUGUUAGAUCUUAUUAUUUUAUUAUUAUUUUAUUCUAAAUUUUUUAUAAUUAUUAAGUAUUUUAAGUUAUUUAGGAGUUUUAUAUUAACAAGAAAAUUCAAUUUAAAACUACUUCUUAUUUAGAUUAAAUUAGAAUUCUAGUAUACUUAAAAGUUUUAUUUAGAUUUAUUUAGCUAGCCUAUAUGUAGGCAUUAUUCAUUAUUAUUCUAUUUAUCUUUUGAGUUAAUAAAUUCUCUCUGGGGUUUUUUUUUUCAAGAAUUUUUCUUGAGUUUCUUUUAGAAGAGUUUUAACAAUCAUUUUAGAUUGUGGGGAUCAUUUUCAAACUUUUUAUUGCCAAGGUUUCUAUCUUGAAGGGGAAAUUAGAGCCGCUUGAAGGGGAUUGUGAAUUCUUCGUGUUUCCAAGGCUUAUUAGGACUUCUACACACCACAUUCUAUCUUUUCAUUUAUCUUCUUUAUUUGCUUCCUUAUCUUUAAUUUAUUAUUUUAUUUUAGUUAUUUAUUUUAAUUGUUUUAUCUGACUUGGAUUCAAUUUCGUUUCAGAUUGUGUCAAAAUCCAAUUUCUUUCCGAACGUUUAGAACCCUAAGUCAAAUCCAUAAUUUUGACAAACUUUAUGAUCCACUUUCGCGUUCAUCCUUCUCAUCCUUUUGUACUGGCUUGAGGAGUCGACUCUGUUGUAGAUUCUAGAUUAAUCUGAUGCUCCACCUGCUUUUGAUUUUCUUUAUUGGAAGAGUCUUUAAGAGAUAUGUUAAGUAGCAUAACAGUUUCAUCAAAAACAACAUUUCUGUUAAUCACAACUUUUCUAUUUUCAGGAUACCAUAACUUAUACACUUUUACACUAGCUUUAUAACCAAGAAAAACACAUUUAAUGGUACACAAUUUUAAUUUUCCAUUAUCAGCAUGAGUAUACGCAAAACACCCAAAAAUCUUUAAAUCAGAAUCGUCAGCAGGAUUACUAAACCAUACUUCUUAUGGAGUCUUUUUCUCAAUAGCAACGAAUAGAGACCGAUUGAUCAAAAACAUAUAGUUGACAUUGCUUUGGCCCAAAAUAACUUUGAUAAGUUGCCAUUUGACAACAUACAUCGAACAUUCUCCAUGAUCGUUCUAUUCAUUCGUUCUACAAUACCUUUUUUAAAAUGUUCAUGUUCUAAAAUGAAAAACAAUAUGAAUUGCAUGAAUUGCUUAUAUGUCCUAUGAAUUAUAAAGGAAUGCGGUUGAAAUAUUCCCAUCGAUACAUACAUACAUAUUCGUGAAGUAUGUUCCAAUAUAAUAUCAAUAUUGGGAUUUACGUUUUAUAAAGCAACAUUAUUGAUUGGUAAUAUACAUUAAUUCCAAGGCAAACCCAAAUAUUUUAAAAUUUAACCUACAACUGUGGUAAAUCAAACUUAAUAGUAACUCGAUUGUAAUGUGAAGUCAAAUAUGAAAGUAACAUUGGUUUAUAUAUAUAUUUUUCUCUAAAUUCUAAUAAUCAAGUUGGGAUAAGUGAUAAACACUGAGCUUGCCACGUGUGUUAACCACGUUUUCAUCAUGUGCCACUCCAAAGACAUCAGGCCUCUAUUCAAGCUGGCAUGGUCAGGACGUGGUAGCAUACUUCAGGGAUCUGGUUAGAAAAUAUCCCAUAUCGCUAAAGAACUAUAACACAGGAGCGUUUAUAUAAGCGAAAGAAGCAUCAGAUGGUUGUCCCUUCGGGGACAUCCGAUAAAAUUGGAACGAUACAGAGAAGAUUAGCAUGGCCCCUGCGCAAGGAUGACACGCACAAAUCGAGAAAUGGUCCAAAUUUUUUUCCCUUUUUUUUCCCACAUUUUUACAGCUCUGUUUCUUUUUUUUUUCCUGGGUUUGGUGUUCAUAUUCAUGGGUUUUUGUGCACUUAAGAUUGCAAUUAGAGUUUUCUUUCUUUCUUUUACUCUCUUGAACUGUGAAUUUGAUUUUUUUUUCCAUUUUUUCAGCUUUGUUUCUUUUUUCCCCCUGGGUUUAGUUUUCAUGUUCAUGGGUUCCGCGCACUUAAGAUUGCAUUAGAGUUUUUUUUUUUUCCUUUUUACUGGGUUUUGGCCAGUUGUACUCUGUUGAACCGUGAAUACCUCAAGUUUUCUGGGAAUAAAUUGUUGCUUAUAUAUUUGCUGGUUAACAGUGGUAAUUUUCUGAUAUAUUGGCCAGAAUUGAAGGAUGAAGGUCCAACUUUGCUUUUGGUCCUUCUACUACUAUCUUAAGAUUUAAAAGAAAUUCAAUUAAACAAUUUCUUCCAAUAAAAUUAAAUAAGAAGGCCCAGAAAUUGACCUGCACACUUAGACAUGUUUCUCUUUGAAAAAAAUUCAAACAGGAUUUUAAAAUUUGCAAUGUGUUUUAUGUAAAUCAAAUGAUAUCCUGAAUUUUGCUAAGGGUGCUUCAUAUCCUUGAAUCCUUUUUUUGCUUGGCAAGUGAUUCAUUGAGUUUUUGUGAUCAAAUUUCAUGUUUCCUUUUUUAGUACGGGAAUUUGUGGGAAAAUGCUUGGCAAUAUGGAAAUGAAACCAAUUUCCAUUUACGAAGGCACCAGCAAAGUGGUGAAGCUUAUUGUUGAAAAAUUCUUCAAUAAUGUCAAUAAUGAAAAAGUAGAAAAUGGAAAAACAGAGAAUAAUUUUGGUUCUUCAUCCUAUUUGUAGUUAUAGUGAACGGAUUUCUUUGAUUUUAGUAACUAAUAUUAUGAUUCCAACAUUUGGGGUUUUAAUCUCACUACAUGAACUUGGCUUUGCUUCUUAGUGUUAUUGUUGAACUUUUUAGGAUACCUCUAUCUUAAUCCAUUUAUGUGAUUUGAUAAUGAUAUUUGCAGGCACUUAAAUCUUCCAUUGAAAUGGAGAACACCAACUACGAGGAGGAGCUGAAGAAUGAUUGCAGGCUUGUUUGCAGUCUCAUAUACGAUAUUAAUUGCAGAAAAGAACAGUUGUCCCAAAUGGAACGUGAAUAUAACGAGAUGACCGCAACUCUUCAAGGACUCAUCAAUGGCCUCAUGGCAAAAAUUAACUCCCAAGGACUGUAAUCUGUGGGGUUGGGAGCUUCAAUAUAAUGUAACCGUGAGACAGUUGAAGGGCAAGAAUGCUGCGUUGCGCCUUGCGUUUGCUGAAGGUACUUUAGAUUAUAUAUGUGUAUGUAGUGAGCAGAAUACUAUGUGUUAAUUGAAUCGUUUGGUACCCAUUGAUUGAUCUAUAUAAAUGUCAGGAUUUGAACCCCAAACUUAGCUUUUAUUACGGGAACCGGAUCAAUUUAGGCUCGGAUAAGCUUAAUGUGUUCAGAACCAGAUAAGAACAUAAUAUAUGGGAACACUUUGGCCAUACGAGGCUAAUGCUUAUAUGAUUCGCAUUACAGACUACAUGCACUGUUAGUUGAAUAGCUUUAUGAUGUAUUAAUCUAUAAAAUCUGGGUGUCAUAUUAUGAGUUCCAUUGCUAUGUUAAUCUAUGUACUAACAAUAUUAUGAAGUAAGGCAAUUUUGUGUACAUUAUAUUGGGAUGCAAGCUGAAUUCCUAUUAAUCAGCUUCAACCAUACAUACAUACAUACAUACAUACAUACAUACAUAUAUAUAUGAAGUUAAGAACGUAAGUGCUGUUAAAUGGUACAUUACUCAGAUUGGUAAUAUAUUGGUGCCGAAUGUUCUAAAAUUUUACCAGCAUUACUGGUAAUAUAUUAAUGCCAAAUUUGACUAAUUAUUGUUUAUAUAUAUUCAAAAAUUUCAGAUUUGAUAAAGAUAAAAUGGCAAUAAUGAAUAAAAAUACUAACUUUUUGAGAUCUUAUUUAAUGAAGGGAAGUUGAAUAUGGAAACUAAAUCGACCUAAGGGAAAUAAAAGCAAAAUAUGGAAAAUAUUUCUCGGGAAAACAAGUGUUAUCCUUCAUAUAUCUUGAUGAUUCUCUAACGCCGCCAGUUUUCCCCCCUAAGUUUACAGCAAGAAGAAGAAGAAAAAGAAGACAAACGGCAACGUUAAGCCAUUUUCAUCCCAGGUUAAUUUUAUUGUAAAUUAAACAUUUUUUGUAUACAUUUUGUUACCUAUUUAUUUUAUGGUUAUGAUUUGCCGAGUGGACAUUUUCAACAAUGUGGAUUGUAUCUGAUACAGCCGAAAGAGAAUGUGCCUUGUCGAGAUCUUGUUGAACUCGUGAAAACUACGAGCGAUCAGAUUGCUGCUCUAAAGGAACAAUUGGAGGAAACAUCAGAGGCGUUGAAAGAUAUGGAAAGCCGAUACAGUUGUCUUACGGUGAAACAAAUCUUAAUUAAUCGAGAACUGCAAGAUGCUCGAAAAGAAUCAGUAAGUGUAUUUCCUCGUUUUCCUUUGUUUUCUUGGAUGUUUUAUUUCUUUAGGUGCAAGAAAUACCUCUUCGGAAUCAGGUAUGAAAGUGUUAAACCGAAGACUUCUCUGGUUCUUGAUAUGCAGGGUCUAAAUGAUGUAUUGACAAGCCGAACAACUCUUGUAGUAAAAAAAAUGGGAGAGAUUGAUCGAAAAGCUUUUGAAGUUGCUAGCUCUGGGAAGUUCCCGAACAAAGAUUGGCAAGAAACAUGUGCUAAAUUAUGUUCAUUAUGGCAACAAAACGUGCAGGAUCCGAAAUGGCACCCGUUUAAGAUGAUCAAUAUCCGAGGCAACUUGCAGGUAUGGUGCAUACACCAACUAUUCUGUUAUCCGGUUAUCGAAAAUCCGUUUUUUUACUAAAUGUGCUAAACAUAUAUGUCAGAAUCGAGCCAGUUUAUUACUCAAACUUAUAUAUAUUAAGGGGAUAGCUACUCGGUAGUGUAGGAAAUAGUAGACGAAGACGACGAGAAGCUGAAGGAGUUGAGAAAUGAAUACGGUGAUGUCGUGUACGAGGCUGUUAGCACCGCAUUGAUGGAAAUGAACGAAUAUAAUGGGAGCGGAAGGUAUGCAGUCAUUUAAGCUAGUUGAGUGACCCGCAAUCUAGUUUAUCAUUUUUAAAAUAUUUAUAGUCUAUGAAUUUUGACUUUUCUUCCAAUAAUAUAUCUCCAAAAUUCUAACUUAACCUUUUUAAACUUUGUCAUGUAAUUAUUAUUAGAGUUAAUUGCACCAAAUAUCUCCAAACUAUGGCCCUUAUUCUAAAAUAGUCCUCAAACACAAAAUAUUGUAAAUUAUAUUUCCAAAUUAUCAAUAUUAUAUCAAUAAUGUUCUUCUGUUGUUAAAAUCAUUAAAUGAGACGUCAAAUGAGACAUAAUUUAAAAUAAAAAACUUAAAGAAAAAUAAAUAUAUUGUAAAAUAUUGAUUUCAAGGUUUUCGAAGCUAUUACAAAAACUAUCAUUCAUUUUCUCUUUUACUUUAUUUUUAAUUUUUAUUUUUAAAAGUUGUAUCAACAACAUUUUACUUUUCUUUAAAAAUAUCAUUUUAAAUUAAUAGUGUCAAUAAUAAAAGGAUGAGAUAAAUAGUUUAAAAUAUUUUAAAGUUGGGAGAAUAAUUUAAAAUAAAGAUUCAAUAUUGUUAAUCUAGUACUAUUUCAUAAUAUCAUUUUAUCGUAUCAACUUUUAAAGAUGACUUUUUUUUUUGAAAUAUUUUAAAGACAACAUUUAAAGAUUGAUUAUAAUAAUAUUGUUGCAUGGAAAAAGAAUUUCCACGUUAGCAGAAAGGCUUACGCCUGACGUGUGCUUAGUAUUAUUAGUAAAGUCAAAGGUCGAGAAAGUCUAAGGCGGGUCACACAUAUCACACGCCAUGCACAGGUUUCCUUAUUUCGAGGCUAAAAUACCAAAAUACCAUCACAUUUCUUGUUAAAUUUAUCACUUAAUCAACGAUCCUCUAAAACGAAGUAAGGACAUAUUAGAAAUUUUAAUUGCAAUAAUAUCACCAAAUCUGAAAAAUUACAAAUGAGGCAAAAAAAAAUACGAGUAAUAUUUGGCCAUAAAGUGCAUAUAUUCAUUCCCUCUAAACCAGUCGGUUAAGCCUCACAAUCCAACGUAACCGUAAAUCUUUCUUGGCAGCCAUGAAAUCAGUUCUAAAAUCCCUUGCAAACUCAAUCUUCCUUGUUCUUUUCAUCGUCUUUUCAUCUUCUACUCCACUUGUAUUGGCUCAAUGUGAAGCAGAGACCAAGACUAAUGGAUGCCAUAACUACAGAGAAUCCAUGAAGCUAAAAAUCAUUGCCAUUGUCGCAAUUUUACUAUCCAGCAUGAUUGGCGUGUGUCUACCAUUGUUUUCUGGUCAGGUUCCGUCACUUAAACCCGACAGAAACUUGUUCACCAUUGUCAAGGCAUUUUCCUCCGGUGUUAUUCUAGCGACUGGGUACAUGCACGUGCUACCGGAUUCUUUCAACGACCUUAUGUCCGGGUGUUUGCCUGAAAACCCAUGGAGGAAGUUCCCUUUCACAACCUUCGUCGCAAUGCUGUCGGCUGUGUUGACCCUUAUGGUGGAUUCAUUUGCAAUGAGUGUAUACAAGAAACGUUGCGGUAAAGCUUUAAUGGCGGAUGCUAACAAUGGUGGUGGAUUGGAAAAUACGAACGUUGUACAAAUCGAUAAUUUUGAACACGGCCAUAGCCAUUCACUUGAGAUGAAUGACGACGUAUCAUCACAAUUGUUAAGGCAUCGAGUUAUUGCUCAGGUAUAUAUACAUGUUUGAAUCCUCAAAAUCGAUGGUUUUGCUUUUCAAGUCUUUACAUUAUGUAUUUCCUAAAUGUAGGUAUUAGAGUUGGGAAUUGUAGUUCAUUCAGUGGUGAUUGGUCUUGCAAUGGGAGCCUCUGGCAAUCAAUGCACCAUUCGAUCACUCAUUGCUGCCCUUUGCUUCCAUCAAAUGUUUGAGGGGAUGGGACUUGGUGGAUGCAUACUGCAGGUAACCCCCUACAUUGCACUAUUUUCUCAUUCAAACAUCCAUUUAGUGUACAAUAUUGAUUAACAUUAUGUUUGAUAUGUGCAGGCUGAAUAUGAGAUAAAAAUGAAAGCAAUCAUGGUAUUCUUCUUUUCAGCCACAACGCCACUUGGAAUAGUUCUGGGAAUUGGUUUGUCCAAGGUUUACAGUGAGACGAGUCCAACUUCACUUAUGGUGGUGGGACUACUUAAUGCUUGCUCAGCAGGGUUGCUGAAUUACAUGGCACUGGUUGAUCUCCUUGCAGCUGAUUUUCUGGGCCCUAAGCUUCAAACAAAUAUGAAGCUCCAGGCUUGGUCAUAUGUUGCAGUUUUACUUGGUGCUGGAUUUAUGUCUUUGAUGGCAAAAUGGGCUUAGUCAUUUCAACAUAUACAUGUCUUUUUGUAGUUUUUUAAUCUUUUUUUUUUUAUGCUUCAACUGAUGAGUUUAUAGUGAAUCAACACUUAUUCAAUCAAUUAUAAAAAUUAGGCAAAGAAUUUAGGCAACAAGGCUUGAAUAUUGAUCUUUAAGAUCGUUUACUCCAGAUUGCAGGGCUCAUCACAAAGUAUAUAUAUCAGAAAAGUAUGCAAACUUCAAUUUUGUGUCAAUAUCAUUAUAAUUUAAACUGUUUAAUAUUACAUCAGAUGUAGAUGUCUUUAAGCCAAUGCUUAUAGCCACAAAGUCUCUUUGGUGCAAGCUAUAAGGACAGAGUUAUGCUAUAAAUAAACAAAUAAAUGUUGUAUAAAACCCUUCUCAAAUAAAUGUUGUAUAUAUAUAUUAUUGAGAAGAUCACUAGUUAAACUAAAAGUUUAGUUCUUUAAUGCACCUAAAAAACUUUGUAGUAUCCACAUUGUUAGUGGAUUAAGACUUUAACCAAGUUAAGGUCAGCGCAGAAAAACAAGCAUGCGAGUCAGUAAUAUUCUAAUGCCACCAUCCACCAUUAUUAAACAAACAAAAUAUUUGUCAUUGACAACAAGGCAAUGUGUGUAGGUUUUGAAAAAUAUCAGUAAAGGGAAAAAAAUAAAAACUGAUGAAAUUGAAACUUGUUUUUUAAUAAGGAACGAUGGUGAUGAGCUUAUCUUGUUUGAACCAAUAAUUGCCAAAUGUGAGGACCACAAGAAAGAAAUCAAAAGGGAAAAAAAAAAAAAAAGGUAGGGCUGUUUAAGUGGGGGGAUGCACAUUUGGUACUGGUAAUGGUAGCAAAGUUUUGCAGUAUGGUACCCUUGUGUGGUCACAGAAUUUCCAAGAGACCCCCCUAACAUUACUAUAAGUAACCAAUUGUUGCGGCCAAUAAAAUUUUUACAGUCUGUACUAUAAAAACAAUGCAUACCUUAACUGUUUUUUAAUCCCCCCCAGCCCCCCGCAAUGCAUGAAUACCGAUGAUUGUUUACCAUUAUGAAAGUACAAAUGCAGACACUCCUGUUGUUGGAAAAAAUGCAUUUUAAUGGGAACUUUAAGACAUAUUCUAUAUAGGUAAAAGUGGAGAGUUGAGAUAUUGUUGAGUAAAAAUAAAGGCUUGGAUCCAUAUUGGUUAAAUACCCAAGUGUGAGAUGAGUUUAUAUAUGCGAACCCUCUUAAAAGAUAAUUGAAUGAUUAAGUUUGUAACUUUGUCUCAUGCGUAGAAAGUAUAGGUCUAAAACUGAAAGGGUUGGGGCGCACCCGCACGACGUGGGCAACGUGAAAUGUUUGGACCGGUCAGGCUUAAUUGGGCUUACGGAUAUUUUAAGCAAGCCCAAUACAAAUUUAUUUUUCCUCAGCAGACAUAAUCUGCUUAUAUAUAGACAAUAUUUAAUUUGAUUUAAUUUUUAAACCAAAUUGAUUUUUAUGUUUAUUUCCUUAAUUUUUAAAUCUAAUUUGACUUUUCCUUAAUCGCAGAUUUUAUGUUUAUUUCCAAAUUUUUUUAUUAUCCUAAAUGCCUAUAAAAUGUUGUGUAUUCUGGAGGAUUACACACACAUUCAAAUAAUUUCUUAUACCGAAAUUCUGUUCAUUUCAAAACUCUUCUUUUGCGUCUCUGUAUUUUUACAAUAUUCCAGUGAUAGAAAAAGAAAAAGUUCGUUUGUUCGAUCGUUGUAGAGGUGCUACUACUUUGAUCAUUGUUGUUGUUGUAUCCUGGGAAACAUUCGACCAACAUUUCUCCAAGUACCAUAGGAGCAACCGAAUUUGCCUCAAGGAAACUGUGUUUCACAGGCCUCGACUUUUCGUAAAAUCUCGAUUCUACUUUAUUUCAAAUUUUUAUUUGAUUUUUGUAUUUGAUAAAUUAAUUAUAAAUCAUUCUAUUUAUAUUUUAUUUCAUAUGUGUUUAUUUAUAAUUAAUUAUUUUGUUCGCUAACAUGUUUUGUCCAACACCUAUUACAAUUUUUAUGGUUCGAUUCCUUUUGAUGAAGAUUUCCCCAGGAUAAUACUUACUUCAUAAAACUUCCUAGCUGUGAAACAUGGUACUUAUCUUAUAACAAGACUUUGCUAGGAGAACCGCAAAAUAUGUUCUUAUUAACAUAUGUAACGUAUUAAUCCUUAGUUUCAUCAUGAAUUUGGAUACAAAUGUGUUAAUGGAUAUAGCCACAUAUCUGCAGAUACAGGCACAAGUGAGCAAUAAGAGAGAGCGGUAGAGAGAGAGAGUUGAUAUAUUGGGGUUGAAUUGACGGGUUGUGCAAUUGGAUGCAAGAAAGGUGCAGCAGGCACCUAAGGUCACUAGUAUAAAGGACCCACUUGAGCACAAGUUUGUGUUUCAAUUCAAAUGUUGCUCUCUCAGAUGAUGUUUGGCACCAAAUGGGUUAGGUGUUAAUCCAGUCCCCCUCCGUACAUAGCACUGCUUUCGCAUUUGUAGUGCCCCUUUCGGCCCUUUUCCUUCUGCAUACUAGCUAUGCCUAUAGCAACAUAACUAGGCUAGGCAUGUAUGGGGGUAAAGAACGGCCAUUAGUGAUCCCCUUUUAUUCUUCUUUUACUUUUCAGAUUUGGAACAGAAAGGAAGGAAGGAAAGCCACCAUGAAAGAAAUCAUUCAGUACGUAAUCGGGCAACUGAAGAUUCAUAAGCGUAAAUGAAAGCGAAUUCCGUGAUCUCGAUCUGACUAUUUUCAUGGUAAGCUUACCUAUCCUUUACUAUCAAUCACUAAUCAUUUUACGGUUUAUAGUCGUUUUUUACAUAUCAUGAAAACUAAUCAUUUCGAGAUUUGUGGUUGUCAUUCCCAAUAAUUUUGUUUUCAAUACUUUUUAAUAUUAUUUUAGAUUUUAAAAUUCUUUUCCAAUUUAAAUACUAAUAUAUAUAUAUAUAUAUUAUAGCCCAAUGUUAUUCAACCUUUAAAUUAAUAUAAACAACUUAUACUGUUAUGAGUUUUUUUCCCCAUUUUUAUCUUCAAAAAUUGUGAAUCAAAGGCAAUUAGAUCUGUGAUUUUUGGCUUUGAAAACCUUAUCAACUUGAGCACAAAUCUUUGAUCAAAUAAACUCGAUAUGAUCUUAUUAGAAAAUUUAAACUUCAAAUAAUUUCAAACUUAAAUUUGAAACUGAUUUGGAUGAAAUGAUCUGAAAAUUUCUAAUUUUGAAUUAUUCUAUUAUAGAUCUAGCUAUAGCCCAAGACCCAUCACAAAUCUAUGUAUUUGGAUAAUUACCUUCUUCCUAAAAGAUAUGUUGCAGUGCACUCGAUUAUUUAUUUAGGAUUUUUUUCCCGAUGUGGGAUUAAUGACUUUGAUUAUGUAUUGAUAAAUUUUAAUUUUUAAAGUAAAAAUAGAGAAAUUAAGUUUCAAAUGUACGAACUGUGUAAGAACUUCGAGAAUAUUUUAAUCUUCAAAUUUUUUACUUUAUAAUUUAAUACAAAUAAAUAAUCAAUACAAUGCAAAACAAUGAGAGGCUAAUCUUUUUAACAACAUGCCUACAUCCUCAUUUAAUAAAUGAUUUUAAUUUUUAUAUAAUUCUCAUUCGGCUUAAUGUUGUAUCUAAGUUGAUUAUUAGUAGUGAAGUCAAAAAAAUAUUUUGAGGGUUGAAAUUAAAUUGAAUAUUUUUACGAUAGUAAAAAUAUAAUUUUACCAUUUUAAUAGUCUAUAUAUAAUUUACAAUUAUUAAUUUAAAAUUUUAUAAUUUAUAAAGGAGCCUAAAUGAAAAUUUUUUUCAUUUUAAGGAAACUGGCAUUGGUGAUUAUAAUAAGAAUCAAAUUCUGACCUAUAAGGUUAUACAUUAUUUUUCAGUAAUUGCUUUUUUUUUUCGUUUUGGGUAACAUUUUCCCUAUGUAUUCAUUUAGUUGCCUUACAAAUAAUGUACAUUAUUGUAAAGAGAGUCGAUGUAUUAUUCUUCAAUACUUACCUCGUUUUUUCUAACCCUUUAUUUGCUAAUAAAACACAACGUUUACAUUGGGACCAUAAUUUCAUGCAGAAAGGGAAAAGACUUUGCCAUUCCCUAAUAUCCUUUUCUAAGCAAAGGAUCAUCUAUGUACUAGUGACAAAUGGGUUCAUAUCGGUCUCUCUUCGGAUUAAGAUUACCACCUAUUUGAACCGGUUUAAGUUUGACUAUUUAGAAUUUGAAUACUUUUGAGUUUAGAUUGUCUCAAUUUAAAAUAAGUAUUUAGACUAGUUGAUCCACGAACCGGUUGAACAAACGACCGAUUUGAUUUUUUAAAAUAUAUAUUUUUUAAUUUUUAAUAGUUUAUUCAAUUAAACCAAUUGGAUUGAUUAAAUUGAGUAGAGGUGGUUUCUAUUGCACACAAUCUAAUGAAAGACACAAAAAUGUACAGAAAUGUUUUAAAGUUUAGGUAAAUAAUUUAAUGAAAAAUAGACAUGAUUAGUGGCGAAGUCCUGGUUCUCUAAAAUAGAAUAUUUUCCAUUUAGUCUUUUAUAAUUUUUAAAUUUUUAAAUUAGUAAUGGUAAAAUUACACUUUCCUCGCCUAAAAUUGAUAAAAAAUUGAUUUACCCUUUUAAAAAUUAUAAAGAUAUAAACUAUUAAAAUGGUAAAAUUGUAUUUUUAUUAUCGUAAAAAUAUACAAUUUAAUUUUGUCCCAAAAAUUUUUUUGACUUCGCCCUACAUAUCAUUAUCUUAAUAAAAAAGGUAAAAAUAUUGAGUAUACAAUAAUUAGGUUGAACAAUUUUUGUUGGGAAUAUAUGUUAAAAAAAUAUAGAUUAGCUAUUAAAUGUAAAAUGGCAAAAGAAUAAAUUAUAAAGUGUACACAUAAGGUUGAUUUCGUAAAACUAAAAAUUACCAAUUUUUCACAACUUUGUCAACUAUUAUAUACUUGAGAUGGCAAGAGCCUUUUUUACUUUAAUCGGUGGUUAAUGGUUCGAUCAUUGUCCUGGAUAUGGAGUAACUUUAAAACUCGUGACCAACAUCUAUCCGUUAAUGGGCCUAUAGAAUGUGGAGGGUUAGUUACUAGGUUCGCUCUAAUAGAUACAUUGAUAAAUUAAAAAAAUGGAAUAAAAAAUGUUAGUAAAUUUGACAUUUGAAGUUGUUUAAAGUUAUAAAUUAAAUUGGUAAUAUAUAAGAGAUAUUUUUAUUUGUGUUUAUAUAGAAUUGAAGGAAUAAAAUUUUAAUAUUAACCAUAAAUUAGCAAAUAAUAUCUUCAAAUUUUAAAGUUAUAAAAGUGAAAUAAUAUCAAACAUGAAAUCAAUUACUUUAUUUUAUUUUUUAAUUUUUAUUAUAUAUAGUCAACAUUAUAUUUGAAAAUCAAUAUUACAUAUUGAGAAUUAAUUAUUAUGAACACUUUAUUGUGGGGUUCUUUUACAUUAAUAAUAUAAAAUAAAUAAAUAAAUGCUAGAAUAGGAUAAAGGGAAUAAUAUUUACAAGAAUAGGUAAUGAAAUAGUGAAAUAUCGGUGUUGUCUGACCAAUCGGCGACACCAGACUAAAAUGUGAUGAUCUAAAAGGAUAAAUUGUACCCUAAGUCCCCCUUAUUUAUUAUUUAUUAUUUUUCUUUAACACCAAAAAAUAGAUUGGCCUUUUAUAAAUUAGUCUAGUUUUUUUUUACCAAAAAAUAUUUUUGUAAGUAAACCGUUUCUAUUUAGAAAUAAAUUUUAUUUAUUUUAAAAUAAUAUUUAUAAUUUUAUUAUCCAUUUGAUUUACGUACACAGUAUAAAAUUAUAAUUAUAAAAGCUUUAGAAAAAAUCUUAUUAUGUAUAAAUUAUAAUUAUUAGUUAAAUUUAUAGUUUCCAAAUAUAAUGAGAGAAAAAGAAAACUACUAUAAAUACAGUUAAUUGUAAUGUCAAACAUAAUGUGAUUUUUUUUUAAAAUAAAUAAAAUUUAUUUCGAGUUGGAAUCGACUUACUUGAAAAAAAUACUUUUUAGUAAAAAAAAAUUAGACUAAUUGAUAAGAGGUCAAUUUAUUUUUGGUGUUAAAAGAUAAUAAAAUUUAAUAAUAAAUAGGGGUUUAGGGUGCAAUUUACCCUUUUAAAUUUGGUGCUGUCAUACUGUUAGGCGGCACCCAUGAAGAUUUUUUCGACUGUCAAUUAAAACGGAAAAUUUACAGAUAAGGUCCCUAGAAUUUUUAGAUCAUCACAUUUUAGCCUGGUGCGGCCGAGUGCUCAAGCUGCACCUGAAUUUUUUUAAACUAGAAUUUUUAGAUCAUCACAUUUUAGCCUGGUGCGGCCGAGUGCUCAAGCUGCACCUGAAUUUUUUUAAAUAAAGUGAUGCCGUUGAUUGGUUAGGCGGCACCGGUAUUUCACUAUUUCAUUUGACUAUUCUCAUAAAUAUUAAUCUCUUUAUCCUAUCCUGUAUUUAUUUAUUUAUUUAUUUUAUAUUAUUAACGUAAAAAAUCCUUUAUUGUGACCUGCGGAAACGUGGAAUGAAAACCAAAUAGGUUUUUUUUUUAGUUUUUCUUGAAUUAAAAUGCAACCAAUAAGAAUAAUUGAUAUUUUAAUUUAAUAAAAAUAAAAUUAAUUAAUGUUUGAGUAUUUAAUUUUAAAAAUGAUCAAGAUGUAAUUACAACAAUUAAUUUUAAAAGUUAUUAAAGAUAUUUAUAUAUGUCAAUUUUUUAUAAUUAUUAAUGACAUACAUAUAAAUUAAUUAAUAGCGUAUCUCUCAAAGAUGAUAUUGACAGUGGCGGAGUCAAAAAAUAUUUUUGAGAUAUCGGAAUUAAUGUAAAAAUGUACAAUUUAAUUAAUUUAAUAGUUUUUAUAAUAUUUAAAGAAUUAAAUCAAAAUUUUUAUCAUUUUAAAGAAGAACAAAGUAUAAUUUUACUUUUAUUAAUUUAAAAUGUUAUAAAUUAUAAAUAUUAUACAUGAAUUUUUUUUCAUUUUAGGGACCGGAUACUGUCAGCUCCUAUGACUAUGUAAGCCUUGAAAACAUCCUUUAUUAUUGCAUUUCUUUUUCUACGUUGGCAGUGGUGUGCUUUCGUAGAUUCUAGCCACUCCUUUUUAGAUAAAAUUUCCAAAAGGAAUAGAUAUUAUAUGAGGAAUACUUGGUUGAAGAAAGAAAAAGCAAAAAAACAAAAAAAAAAAUUGGAAAAUGACCUUACAUGAAACUACUCAUGCAAUUGGAUCAACUCAUUCACUCAACCUUUCAAGAGCUUUAUUUACUACUUGGAUACUUAAUAAUUCAUUUAUUUAAUAACUUAUUAUAGGGACCGAACAUGUCUUUUUCAUUUCACCGAAAAUCAAUUUUACAAUAUAAACUCCUAUGACCUUCCCUCUAUGUCUUGCAGUAAUGAUUCCUCUAACAAUUUCUCAAUUCAAUAAAAGAAAAAAAGAAAAGAGGUGAAUAAGAUCUUAAAUAAUAAGAGAUAUGUAAAAAGGAGGCCCGAUUAUGCCCAACCUAAACCUAAAUGGAAUGUAACGACGUAUGGAUCUAUAUGUAGUAUUCUAUAUUAAUAUAGUAAUAUAAUAUUACUAAUAGUAUCGACUCCUUUUUUAUUUUCUAGUUUAUUUUCUAUUUUAGUAUAUUUUACAUCUAAAUUAUAUAGAAUUUUUUAUAUAGAUAUAAAUUAUAUUUAAUCAAUCAAUUGAAUAGAUAUAAUUUAUUUUAUUUAGUUUAGAGUUGUAAAUAGAGAUAAUUAGAGUAAAAAAUCAUUUAUAUGUUUUAUGAUUGCCAACAUUUCUGUCAAAAACAAGUAUAUAUUUGCACCAAUUCAUCCGAGUUAGUGCAAACAUAUGAAAUAUUUAUAUGUCCAUAAAAUAUAUAUAAAUUGGGGUGUUAAGAAAACCAUGAAAUAUUUAUAUGUCCAACGAAAUAAAUCAUUCAGUACGUAAUCGGGCAACUGAAGAUUCAUAAGCGUAAACGAAAGCGAAUUCCGUGAUCUCGAUCCGACUAUUUUCAUGGUAAGCUUACCUAUCCUUUACUGUCAUUCACUAAUCAUUUUACUGUUUAUAUUCGCUUUUUACAUAUCAUGAAAACUAAUCAUUUCAAGAUUUGUAGUUGUCAUUUUCAAUAACUUUGUUUUCAAUACUUUUUAAUAUCAUUUUAAAUUUUAAAGUUCUUUUCCAAGUUAAAUACUAAUAUAUAUAUAUUAUAGCCCCAUGUUAUUCAACCUUUAAAUUAAUAUAAACAAGUACUUAUACUGUUAUGAGUUUUUUUUUCCCUUUUUUAUCUUCAAAAAUUGUGAAUCAAAGGCAAUUAGAUCUGUGAUUUUUGGAUUUGAAAACCUUAUCAACUUGAACAUAAAUCUUUGAUCAAAUAAACUCGAUAUGAUCUUAUUAGAAAAUUUAAACUUCAAAUAAUUUCAAAUUUAAAUUUUAAACUGAUUUGGAUGAAAUUAUCUGAAAAUUUCUAAUUUUGAAUUAUUCUAUUAUAGAUCUAGCUAUAACCCAAGACCCAUCACAAAUGUAUAUAUGUAUUUGGAUAAUUAGCUUCUUCCUAAAAGAUAUGUUGCAGUGCACUCGAUUAUUUAUUUAGGAUUCUUUUUCUUUCUGAUGUGGAAUUAACGACUUUGAUUAUGUAUUGAUAAAUUUUAAUUUUGAAAGUAAAAAUAGAGAAACUAAGUUUCAAAUGUACGAAGUGUGUAAAAACUUCGAGUAUAUUUUAAUCUUUAAAUCUUUUACUUUAUAAUUUAAUACAAAUAAAUAAUCAAUCCAAUGCAAAAUAAUGAGGGGCUAAUCUUUUUAACAACAUGCCUACAUCCUCAUUUAAUAAAUGAUUUUAAUUUUUAUAUAAUUCUCAUUCAGCUUAAUGUAGUAACUAAGUUGAUUAUUAGUAGUGAAGUCAAAAAAAUAUUAAUUUUGAGGGUUGAAAUUAAAUUGAAUAUUUUUACGAUAGUAAAAAUGUAAUUUUACCAUUUUCAUAGUCUAUAUAUAAUUUUACAAUUAUUAAUUUAAAAUUUUAUAAUUUAUAAGGGAGCCUAAAUGAAACUGGCAUUGGUGAUUAUAAUAAGAAUCAAAUUUUGACCUAUGAGGUUGUACAUUAUUUUUCAGUAAUUGAUUUUAUUUUUUUCGUUUUGGGUAACAUUUUCCCUAUGUAUUCAUUUAGUUGCCUUACAAAUAAUGUACAUUAUUGUAAAGAGAGUCGAUGUAUUAUUCUUCAAUACUUACCUUGUUUUUUCUAACCCUUUAUUUGCUAAUAAAACACAACGUACAUUGGGACCAUAAUUUCAUGCAGAAAGGGAAAAGACUUUGCCAUUCCCUAAUAUCCUUCUCUAAGCAAAGGAUCGUCUAUGUACUAGUGACAAAUGGGUUCAUAUCGGUCUCUCUUCGGAUUAGGAUUACCUCCUAUUUGAACCGGUUUAAGUUUGAGUAUUUAGAAUUUGGAUAAUUUUGAGUUUAGAUUGUCUCAAUUUAAAAUAAGUAUUUAGACUAGUUGAUUCACGAACCGGUUGAAUAAACGACCGAGUUGAUUUUUUAAAAUAUAUAAUUUUUAAUUUUUAAUAGUUUAUUCAAUUAAACCAAUUGGACUGAUUAAAUUGAGUAGAGGUGGUUUCUAUUGCACACAAUCUAAUGAAAGACACAAAAAUUUACAGAAAUGUUUUAAAGUUUAGGUAAAUAAUUUAAUGAAAAAUAGACAUGAUUAGUGGCGAAGCCCUAGUCCUCUAAAAUAGAAUAUUUUCCAUUUAAGUCUUUUAUAAUUUAUAAAAUUUUAAAUUAGUAAUGGUAAAAUUGCACUUUCCUCCCCUAAAAUUGAUAAAAAAUUGAUUUAUCCUUUUAAAAAUUAUAAAGAUAUAAACUAUUAAAAUGGUAAACUUGUAUAUACAAUUUAAUUUUGUCCCAAAAAUUUUUUUGACUUCGCCCUACAUAUCAUUAUCUUAAUAAAAAAGGUAAAAAUAUUGAGUAUACAAUAAUUAGGUUGAACAAUUUUUGUUGGGAAUAUAUGUUAAAUAAAAUAUAGGUUAGCUAUUAAAUGUAAAAUGGCAAAAGAAUAAAUUAUAAAGUGUACACAAGGUUGAUUUCGUAAAACUAAAAAUUACCAAUUUUUCACGUCUUUGUCAACUAUUAUACACUUGAGAUGGCAAGAGCCUUUUCUACUUUAAUCGGUGGUUAAUGGUUCGAUUAUUGUCCUGGAUAUGGAGUAACUUUAAAACUCGUUACCAACAUCUAUCCCGUUAAUGGGCCUAUAGAAUGUGGAGGGUUAGUUAUUAGGUUCGCUCUAAUAGAUACAUUGAUAAAUUAAAAAUAUGGAAUAAAAAAUGUUAGUAAAUUUGACAUUUGAAGUUGUUUAAAGUUAUAAAUUAAAUUGGUGAUAUAUAAGAGAUAUUUUUAUUUGUGUUUAUAGAGAAUUGAAGGAAUAAAAUUUUAAUAUUAACCAUAAAUUAGCAAAUAAUAUCUUCAAAAUUUAAAGUUAUAAAAGUGAAAUAAUAUCAAACAUGAAAUCAAUCACAUUAUUUUAUUUUUUAAUUUUUAUUAAAUAUAGUCAACAUUAUAUUUGAAAAUCAAUAUUACAUAUUGAGAAUUAAUUAUUAUGAACAUUUUAUUGUGGGGUUUUUUUACAUUAAUAAUAUAAAAUAAAUAAAUAAAUAAAUACUAGAAUAGGUUAAAGGGAAUAAUAUUUACAAGAAUAGGUAAAUGAAAUAGUGAAAUAUCGGUGUUGUCUGACCAAUCGGCGACACCAGACUAAAAUGUGAUGAUCUAAAAGGAUAAAUUGCACCCUAAAUCCCCCUUAUUUAUUAUUAUUUAGUAUUUUUCUUUAACACCAAAAAAUAGAUUGGCCUUUUAUAAAUUAGUCUAAAUUUUUUUUACCAAAAAAUAUUUUUGUAAGUAAACCGUUUCCAUUUAGAAAUAAAUUUUAUUUAUUUUAAAUAUAUAUUUUUAUUUUUAUUAUCCAUUUGAUUUACGUACACAGUAUAAAAUUAUAAUUAUAAAAGCUUUAGAAAAAAUCUUAUUAUGUAUAAAUUAUAAUUAUUAGUUAAAUUUAUAGUUUCCAAAUAUAAUGAGAGAAAAAGAAAACUACUAUAAAUACAGUUAAUUGUAAUGUCAAACAUAAUGUGAUUUUUUUAAAAAAAUAAAUAAAAUUUACUUCGAGUUGGAAUCAACUUACUUGAAAAAAAUACUUUUUAGUAAAAAAAAAAUUUAGACUAAUUGAUAAGAGGCCAAUUUCUUUUUGGUGUUAAAAGAGAAUAAAAUUUAAUAAUAAAUAGGGGGUUUAGGGUGGAAUUUACCCUUUUUAAUUUGGUGCUGUCAUACUGUCAGGAGGCACCCAUGAAGAUUUUUCGACUGUCAAUUAAAACGGAAAAUUUACAGAUAAAGUCCCUGGAAUUUUUAAAUCAUCACAUUUUAGCCUGGUGAGGCCGAGUGCUCAAGCUACACCCAAAUUUUUUUAAAUAAAGUGAUGCCGUUGAUUGGUUAGCCGGCACCGGUAUUUCACUAUUUCAUUUGACUAUUCUCAUAAAUAUUAAUCUUUUUAUCCUAUCCUGUAUUUAUUUAUUUAUUUAUUUUAUAUUAUUAAUGAAAAAAAUCCUUUAUUGUGACUUGCGGAAACGUGGAAUGAAAACCAAAUAGGUUUUUUUUUUUUUAGUUUUUCUUGAAUUAAAAUGCAACCAAUAAGAAUAAUUGAUAUUUUAAUUUAAUAAAAAUAAAAUUAAUUAAUAUUUGAGUAUUUAAUUUUAAAAAUGAUCAAGAUGUAAUUACAACAAUUAAUUUUAAAAGUUAUUAAAGAUAUUUAUAUAUGUCAAUUUUUUAUAAUUAUUAAUGACAUACAUAUAAAUUAAUUAAUAGCGUAUCUCUCAAAGAUGAUAUUGACAGUGGCGGAGUCAAAAAAUAUUUUUGAGAUAUCGGAAUUAAUGUAAAAAUGUACAAUUUAAUUAAUUUAAUAGUUUUUAUAAUAUUUAAAGAAUUAAAUCAAAAUUUUUAUCAUUUUAAAGAAGAACAAAGUAUAAUUUUACUUUUAUUAAUUUAAAAUGUUAUAAAUUAUAAAUAUUAUACAUGAAUUUUUUUUCAUUUUAGGGACCGGAUACUGUCAGCUCCUAUGACUAUGUAAGCCUUGAAAACAUCCUUUAUUAUUGCAUUUCUUUUUCUACGUUGGCAGUGGUGUGCUUUCGUAGAUUCUAGCCACUCCUUUUUAGAUAAAAUUUCCAAAAGGAAUAGAUAUUAUAUGAGGAAUACUUGGUUGAAGAAAGAAAAAGCAAAAAAACAAAAAAAAAUUGGAAAAUGACCUUACAUGAAACUACUCAUGCAAUUGGAUCAACUCAUUCACUCAACCUUUCAAGAGCUUUAUUUACUACUUGGAUACUUAAUAAUUCAUUUAUUUAAUAACUUAUUAUAGGGACCGAACAUGUCUUUUUCAUUUCACCGAAAAUCAAUUUUACAAUAUAAACUCCUAUGACCUUCCCUCUAUGUCUUGCAGUAAUGAUUCCUCUAACAAUUUCUCAAUUCAAUAAAAAAAAAAAAGAAAAGAGGUGAAUAAGAUCUUAAAUAAUAAGAGAUAUGUAAAAAGGAGGCCCGAUUAUGCCCAACCUAAACCUAAAUGGAAUGUAACGACGUAUGGAUCUAUAUGUAGUAUUCUAUAUUAAUAUAGUAAUAUAAUAUUACUAAUAGUAUCGACUCCUUUUUUAUUUUCUAGUUUAUUUUCUAUUUUAGUAUAUUUUACAUCUAAAUUAUAUAGAAUUUUUUUAUAUAGAUAUAAAUUAUAUUUAAUCAAUCAAUUGAAUAGAUAUAAUUUAUUUUAUUUAGUUUAGAGUUGUAAAUAGAGAUAAUUAGAGUAAAAAAUCAUUUAUAUGUUUUAUGAUUGCCAACAUUUCUGUCAAAAACAAGUAUAUAUUUGCACCAAUUCAUCCGAGUUAGUGCAAACAUAUGAAAUAUUUAUAUGUCCAUAAAAUAUAUAUAAAUUGGGGUGUUAAGAAAACCAUGAAAUUAAUAAUGAUGUAAUUGUCAUUUACUAAUCCUAUAAUUAAACUUAAUCUCAUUUUCUUUCCAUCUCAAAACUAAAAAUGGAAAAUACCACUUUGCUUAGUUGGUAGAAGCGAAUAUUUUCCCAUUAAAAUAUGUUUUGGUAUACGACAUUUUAUGGUGGUUGGCUAGUCAUUACUCAGCUGUUUCCACGAGACUUCCUUUCUUUUAAAGUAAGAUGAAGUCAUCUUUCUCAAAUCAUUACUUUCUGCCUUUGCUCUGUUAAGAAGGGGGAAAAUUAUCAGUUAUUGAUCAUAGCCAAAAGGUACGCCAUCUGCUUUGCUCUUACUCUUUUGAAAUACUUGUCCGUAUAAAUAAGCUUAGGCAGGCAGAUUUAACCCUGAAAAUGGACUUCUUUUAUGCUUUAAAUCUAUUUAGCUUUAAGAUUUUGAGUCCUGUACUUUUUGGAUUUAAAAUCUUCAUCUUUCCCUUCAAAUUUACACUUAGUGUUGUUGACCUGACAAAUAUAAAAAGAUCAAAUAAAUUUUUUAGCCUUAAUUUGAUCUUUACUUUUUAAAGUUACAUAAAAAUUCAGAAUUAAGAAGAAAACAUAUUUUCAGUAAAAAUCCAUUAAAAAGAUUGUGGAAAACACUCUUUAAAGUUCGUAGAAAAAAGGUUGUGAUCUAUCAACAACUUGUGCCUUCCACAUACUGGAAUAUGGUUAUUAAGAGGUUGAGUACUGCUUUAUCUCGUAGAAGAAGGAUUUGUACUAGAUGAUCAUAGGUUGGGUCAAUGUAAAAAUUUUAAAUUUGUUUUUCAGGUCCGGACUUGGCUCAACUAAACAAAUGCGCCUAAAAUUUUAUUUAAGUUCAACCUAGAUAAAAAAUACUAAAUCUGGACCCGUAUUAAAUUUUUUAGAUUUUUUUAUAUAAAAAUAAAUUUAAAAAAUAUAAUACAUUAAAUACUCUAAACACAUUAAAAUGAAUGUUUCUCAACAAAUUGAAAAUAUAUUAAAAAAAUUCUUUAUAUUUAAAUAACACUAACAUAGUUAUAACUUAGCAAACAAACAUUUCUAAAAUAAUAGCAAAAUUAAAAAUAAAAUAAGAGUUAUACAAUAUCUAAAUAAUAGUAGUAAAAUAGUAAUAAUAUAAUAGUGAAACAGUAGCAAAAUAACAACAUAAAAGCAGUAAACAGCAGCAAAAUAAUAAUUAAAUUCGAGUUAGGUUCAAACUAAAAAAAUCUUAUCAGAGGCUCAGCCCAUUUAAAACUCAAAUCUUAUUUUUUUCGAAGUUUAUUUUUUGGGUUUAUAUUAUUGCCUAAACUCUUUAUGUUUUGAAUGGACUUUUUAAAUUCGACUCAUAAUCAAGUCUACUUUAUAAUAAACGCUAUAUAUGGUUGGAAAGAUGGUUUGAUAGGGUACUAAAAUUAAAUGAAAAAUCAUUUAAAAAACAAAUUAAAUAUUCAAACAUUAAAUAUAUAUUUUAUAUAUAAUUGGUUUGAACUAAAUUAACAAAAUACUUUGAUAGUUUUCAGAAAAUUCCUGUAACGAGAGAAUUAGUCACUGUUGCUAGCGGCUAAUAUAUUUAAUUUCAAUAAAAAAUUACCAAAAUACUUUUUGAAUAUGAUUUAGUGCAAGUUGCACAGGUAGUUUAAAAUUUGAAGAUAUUAUUACUAUUUAAGGAGUAAAUAUAUUUUUUAAAUUGAAACAUUUAAUAUGAUUUAUUAUUUUCUAUUUUUUAAAAAAUUAACUAAAUUAAAAAAUGUGCAACAAAUUAAAUAGUUAGAAGUUUUAAAUUUAAAUCAAAAUUGAAAUUUAUGAUCUACAUGAAUAUAACAUAUAAUAUAAUGAUUGUAUCAUUAAAAUAUUAAUAAUAUAAAUAAUUACGGAAGUGUGUAAAAUUACUUUAAUUUUUUACAUUGCGUAAGUAGAUCAUUCCCCUUAAUAUUAAUAAAUUUUCAUAAAGUAAAAUUACUUUACUUUAAUUGUCAUAAAGUAAAACAUUAAUCUCAUAUUUAUAUUUUUAAGAUUAUGCAAAUGUGUUCUUUUUAAAAACUAUAUAAGAUAAUUCAAGUUUUGGUCUUUAUCGUCGCUGUGGUUAUUCAGUUUGCUCUCUUACUUGUUUGUUUACAGAAGCUCUACUUUUUACUCAUUUUUACUUGUAAUUUUUUCUUCUUGUUUUGUUUUGAUUUCUGUUGCGGCUGUGGUUUUUCAGUUUACUUGCUGUUUGCUCUCUCAAUGGAGUUCGUUAUUGGCAUCGUUAGCUCUAUUUUCACUAAAGCUGCAGAGUAUACGAUUUCUCCUAUCAUAAACCAUGUCAAAUACCUUUCCAAUCAUCAGCAAAAUGUUGAGACCCUCAAGGACCAAGCUGAGAAGCUGAAAGAUGCAAGGGACAGAGUGCAGCAUUCUGUUGAUGCAGCUCAACGAAACGGCAAAGAGAUCGAACGUGAUGUUAACAACUGGAUGUCGGCAGUGGACAGGAAGAUCCCUGAACAAGUAGAGAAAGUGAUGCAAGAUGAAGAAAAGGCAAAGAAAAAGUGUUUCAUUGGUUUGUGUCCUAAUUUUUGGACUCGUUACAAGCAUAGCCUGAAAGCUGCAGCGGAGGCGAAGGCUGUUGCCGAGCUACUUGAACAGGGCAAGUUUGGCGGUGUUUCUUAUCCUGUACCUUCACAGAGUAUCACUGUCCCACCGGGUAAAGGUUAUGAGGAAUUCGAGUCAAGAACGUUGAUUUUGAACGGAAUAAUGGAGGCACUAAAAGAUGAUAGCAUCAUCAUUGUUGGGGUGCAUGGUGCGGGUGGGAUUGGAAAAACAACGCUGGUCAAAGAAAUCGCUAGAAAGGUCAAGGGCAAGUUGUUUGAUUCAGUUGUCAUAGCAACUGUAACUCAAGCCAAGGAUAUUAAGAGGAUUCAGAACGAAAUUGCAGACUUCUUGGACUUGAAAUUUGAGAAACAGAGUAUGGUUGGAAAGGCAAUUCAACUAAGACAAAGAUUGAAGAAAGAGGAGAGGAUUCUGGUUAUCUUGGAUGACAUUUGGCAAGAGUUUGAUAUUGAGGAAGUAGGGAUUCCUUUGGGAGAUGAACACAAGGGCUGCAAAUUACUAUUAACUUCUAGAUACCUCAAUGUUUUAUCAAAUGGGAUGGAGUGUCCUCAGAUUAUAGCUAACCUUCCUAAGGAGAUGGAGUGUUCAGGACUUUCCUUUUUCCAUAUGGCCUAUGAUGGCACGGAUAAAAUUCCUCUCAAUUUCUUCAAACAAACCGAAGGCCUGAAAGCCUUAGAUUUGGUCGGAAUUCAGUUUCAAUCCCUCCGUGAAUCAAUUAUUCACCUUGCAGACCUUCGCAUGUUGUGUCUGAAAAAAUGUGCAGUUGAUGACAUAACCAUCCUUGGAGAGCUCAAGAGUUUACAAGUACUCAACCUUUCUCAGUCCGGUAUCAAAGAACUACCCAAGGAGAUGGCACAAUUGACUCAAUUAAGGUUGUUAGAUUUGCGUGGGUGUAGAGAACUCAAAAUCAUCCCACCGAAUGUCUUAUCAGGUUUGUCUAAAUUAGAAGAAUUAUAUAUGAGUGGGAGCUUUGUUGAAUGGGAAAAGGGAGGAGUAGUUGAAAAUGAGAGGAAAAAUGCAAGCCUUGAUGAAUUAAACAAUUUGCGUUAUCUAACUACUUUAUAUGUUCGUAUUCUUGAUGUCCAAAUGAUACCAAAACACCAGUUUGUUGAAAAAUUGGACAGAUUCAGGAUUUUUGUAGGUAAUUAUGGAAUAUAUGAUUGUUGCCAUAAUUAUGAAUCUCCGAAAGCAUUGAAGCUCAUGUUAUAUACAAACAUUGAUUUGGACAAUGGAAUGAAAAUGUUGUUGAAAAAGACAGAAGAUUUGUGCCUAGAGGGACUUGAAGGCGUCAAGAAUGUACUUGUGGAGUUAAAUAAUGGGAAAGAUCUUCCAAAUUUAAAGAGACUUCAUGUCAAAAAUGGUAGGCAUGUCCAACAUAUUAAAACGAACAAAAUUGGAUUUUCUGAAUUAUGUUUCAUCACACUUGAAAAUCUACCGCAACUCGUUAGCUUUUGCUCUCCAGACGAAAGGUGUUCCACUAAGCCCUUACUACUUUCCAAUAAACAGGUAUUUGUUUGGCUGUACUUAUAUUUUCUUAUACAACUUUUAUUUAUAUGCCCAUUAAUACUUCUAAUAAUAGAAAUAUAUAAUAUUGUGUAAUGGUUUUUCCGGAGCUCAAAAAUAAAUUUCAAAUCUAAAAUAAAUGAAAAUUUAAUUUUUAAUUCAAACCGAUUGAAAGUACAGAGUCAAUUCAAUAAUCUAAAUUUAAACCGAAAUUUUUUUUUAAUUCUGAAAAUAAAAUUUGAGCCCACAAAUCGAACUAAAAUUAUCUUUAAAAUUGAAAAUCAUAUUUUCAAAUUAUGUUACAUACUAUCUUUCCCUAUCGAAAAAGAAUUGUGUGUAAAUAUGUGCAAUUUAUUUUCCCUCACUUGGAAAGCUUGUAAUUGUGUUCCAUUAACACCAAAAUUAUAUGGCACAACCAGACAUGUCAUUGGGUUACGAAUUUGAGGAGCUUGAUCAUCAAAGGAUGCGGCAAGUUGGAGCAUCUGUUAUCACCCUCUCUCGCUAGAAGUCUGGUGCAGCUCCAAUGCUUUGAGAUAGAGGAUUGCAAUUGCUUAAGGGACAUAAUACUUACAGAGGAAAUUGAUGAAGAAAGGAAAGAUGUGAUUUGUUUCCCUCGAUUAAACUCCCUGUAUAUAGAUGGUCUUCCAAACCUCAUCUUCUUCAACUCAGGAAACCACAAUAUUGAGUUCCCAUUGUUGAAAGAGCUAAGGAUUAGGCGUUGCCCCAAGUUAAUAGAAUUCAUUAGUCAGAAUAGUAAUCAGUCCGGCAUGCACGCUCUCUUCAGUGAGAAGGUGAUUUAUUUCAUUAGUCUUACACUCUUGCAUAAAUCUGUUGAUUUGUCCUUGUUUUUUUUUUCUACCUUCAUUAUUUGAGCUAACCUUAUUAUGGGCAUGGAUUAUAUAUAUAUAUGAAUAGGUUGCAGUUCCUAGCUUGGAAGACAUGCAUAUCAGUGACUUGAGUAAUGUGAAGAUGAUAUUUUAUAAUUGUUGGAGCUAAGUGCAACAAAUAGCAAGGUUCAACAAAAAGCUUGCCGAGCAAGAAUCGAGACUUGCGGCAGAAACAAAGAAGAAAAAUGAAAUAAAUUUUAAGCAAAGCUAAAAUAGAGAGUAUAUGGAUGAAAUCUUGAUUGAAUUCAUUCAUUUUUUUUAAAAUGGCAUAAAGCCUAUUUAUACAAGCUUACAACUUGACAACUUAGUUGGAAUACAACUAAGUUUCAUUAUUACAUCCACUUAAAAUAAAUCACCACCUACUACCACUAACAAACUUAGUUGGAAUACAACUAAGUUUCAUCAUUAUAUCCACUUAAAAUAAAUCACCACCUACUACCACUAACAAACUUAGUUGGAAUACAACUAAGUUACAUCAUUACAUCCAAAUAAUAAUAAUAAUAAUAAUAAUAAUAAUAAUAAUAAAACAUGUGAUUGCUACAUGCUAACCAUUGCUUCAAUACUCCUCCUUGGUUUGCAUGGAGCAAACACCUAGCUUCCUUCUUAGACAUUCGAACCUUGUGACAUUAAGGGCUUUAGUCAAAAUGUCUGCAAGUUGAUCCUCAGAAUUACAAUGGAUCAGCUUCACUUCCUGAGCUUGCUCCAUUUCUCGAACAACAUGCAACUUGAUGCUGAAAUGCUUUGUUCUUUCAUGGAACACUGGAUUUUUAGCAAUUGCAACUGAAGAUUGGUUGUCACAGAAGAUCUCAGUAGCUUCCUUUUGAUGCACUUUCAAAUCAGCUAAGAUUUUCCUUAGCCAAAUGACUUGGUUGACAGCACUUGCAGCUGCCACAUAUUCUGCUUCAGUAGUAGAUUGAGCCACCAGACUUUGCUUCUUCGAGCUCCAGCAAAACAUGGCUGAACCAAGGUUGAAAGCAUACCCUGAGGUGCUUUUCAUGUCAUCUAUCGAGCCAGCCCAGUCACUAUCAGUGUAGCCAACCAGCUUCAGAUUUCCUUCCUUGCUGUACCUUAAACCAUAGCUCAAAGUGCCUUUGACAUAUCUAAGCACUCUCUUAGCAGCUUGUAAAUGCUUUUUAUUGCAACAAUGCAAGAACCUUGAGAGCAAUCUUACAGCAUACAUUAUGUCUGGUCUAGUGGCAGUUAAAUAUAACAGACAACCAACUAGACUUCUGUAGGUUGUUUCACAAACCUUCUCAAAAUCACCUUGGCUCGAUAGUUUUUCUCCAACAGCAACAGGUGUUUUAGUUGCUUUACUGUUUUGCAUGGAGAACUUGGUCAGAAUCUUUGUGGCAAAGUUUCUCUGACUUAGAAAUAUCCCAUUUUGUGCUUGAGUCACCUUCAUUCCAAGGAAAUAAGACAUUUCCCCUAGAUCAGACAUUUCAAAUACUUCUUGCAUCUUGGUCUUGAAAUCGACCAGCACUGCUCGAUCUCCUCCUGUCACCAACAGGUCAUCAACAUAUAGGGAUACGAUGAGCUGUGUUUGUGUCCCUUGCUUCUUGACAUACAGUGUUGGCUCACUCUUGCUUCGAUCGAAUCCCAAAUUAGUCAAGUAGCCAUCGAUUCUGCUGUACCAGGCCCUUGGAGCCUGUUUUAAGCCAUAUAGGGCCUUCUUCAGUUUGUAGACCAUAUGCUCUCUGCCAGCUAUCUCAAACCCUUGUGGUUGUUCAACAUAGAUCUCUUCAUCUAAGAAACCAUUCAGAAAGGCUGAUUUCACAUCGAGUUGAUGGAUCUUCCACUCGAGCUGUGCUGCUAAGGCAAUCAGUAAUCUGAUGGUGUCUAGCCUGGCCACUGGUGCAAAGGUCUCCAGGUAGUCCAGGCCAUACCUCUGACUGAACCCCUUGACAACUAGCCUUGCUUUCAGUUUGUUCAAGGUACCAUCAGCAUUUUGCUUGGCUUUGUACACCCAUUUCACCCCAAUUAUCUUCCUUUUGACUGGCCUUUCAACUAAUUCCCAGGUCUGGUUCUUCUCAAUCAUGCUAAUCUCCUCAGCCAUUGCCUGCUUCCACUCUUGCUGAGCUUCAGCCUUUUCAAAAUUGCUUGGUUCAACUAUGACUACAUGAGCUCUUUCAUAAAUCUCAGUCAAUGGUCUUGUUCCUCUAACUGGUUCAUCAUCAAUGUCCAUUUCAGGAACAUUUUGAUCUGGCUCAGCUUGAUCUGCUGCAAGUCCUUCUGAAACUUCCUCAGGUUCAUGUUUUUCCCAGUUCCAACAUGACUUUUCAUCAAAUACCACAUCCCUACUGACUGACACUUUCUUUGUUGAAGGAUCCAAGAUCCUAUAAUCCUUCUUAACAGUGCUGUAGCCCACCAAAAUACCAGGUCGAGCCCUUUCAGACAAUUUGUCCCUUUUGACAGCAGGUACAUGAGCAUAACAGAUGCAUCCAAAGACCUUCAGAUGAGCCAGUGAUGGCUUGAAUCCAAACCAGGCUUCGAAUGGAGUCUUCUGAUCCAAGACCUUGGUUGGAAGCCUAUUUUGAAUGUAGUUUGCAGUGUUAACUGCCUCUGCCCAUAGUGCUUUAGGCAGAUUCUUCUGAAUCAUCAAGCACCUGGCCAUAUCCAUCAAACUCCUAUUCUUCCUUUCACUUACACCAUUUUGCUGAGGUGUAUAUGUGUUGGUAAGUUGAUGUUUGAUGCCUGCCUUAUCACAGAAGGCUUGGAACUGAGCUGAGGUGUACUCAGUCCCAUUAUCAGACCUUAUAGACUUCAGCUUGCAACCUGUUUCAGUCUCAGCAGCAGUCUUGAACUUCCAAAAUACUGAGGCCGCCUCUGAUUUCUGUUUUAGGAAGUAAAGCCAACAAUAUCUUGAAAAAUCAUCAAUGAACAGUAUGAAGUACCUGUUUCCACUUAAUGACUCAGUCCUCAUAGGGCCACACACAUCAGUGUGCACCAGUUGGAGUUUUUCAGAGGCUCUCCAGGCUUGAUUCGAGGGAAAUGGGAGUCUGGCCUGCUUUCCUAGCUGACAUACUUCACACACAUCAUCAUGAUCCACUGAGUUGAUGAAGUUUUCAGCCAAGUCCUCUCUGACCAUUCGAGCCAUCGAUCUGAAGUUGGCAUGUCCCAGUCUUUGAUGCCAAAGCUUAGAUUCAUCUGAUGUGACUGUGUAGGCAAUGUCUGACUCCCUGGUCCAGUCAACUACAAAGCUCUUAUUAGCCAUAGGAACUGCCAUCAGCUUGGAUCCACUUGGAUCAUUGAUUUGGCAUUGGUUGUCUUUGAACACAACAGAAUAACCUUUCUCCAGCAACUGAGCUAUGCUGAGCAGGUUUCUGUCAAUUUUAGGCACCAAAAGCACAUUUGAAAUCACUUUGGCACCUGUGGGGGUGCAUAUCAGCACAUCACCCUUGCCUUCAGCUUGAAUAAAAUGUCCAUUUCCUAUCUUGACUUUAGUUCUGCAGCUUCUGUCUAAAGACUUGAAGAUUGCAGCAUCAGGUGUCAUGUGGUUGGUGCAUCCACUGUCUAGAAGCCAACCAGAUGAGAACCUUUCUUGAGCAGCUGAGCAUAACACAGCAAAGACUUGCUCCUCUUGGUCACCGUCCUCCUUAGCUACUCGAGCCUCAGCUUUCUUCUGUUGAAACUGACUCUGCCUUGAUUUGGCCUUGCUCUUGCAGACUUUCUCAACAUGACCCUUCUUUUUACAAUGCUGACAUACAUCAUCUGGAUUGAACCAGCAUUUUUCUUUUGGAUGACCAGCCCUUCUGCAGUGCUUGCAAGUCUGACCCUCUUUUCUUGCAACAUCAGUCCUUGGCUUGUCUCUCUAGGCCUUCUUGCCUUUGUAGGCAGUGUUUGUUCUUGCCUGAAAGGCACCUUCUUGAUGCUCCUCCAGUCUGCUUGCUCUUCUUUGCUCUUGAGCAUAUAAAGCAUUGAUAAACUCUGUCAGGGAGAUGGUGUACAGGUCCCUUGAGUCCUCGAGAGAUGAGAUUUUUGCCUCAUACCUCUCGGGCAGAGUUGCAAUAACCUUCUCCACUAUCCUAGCUUCCUUGAGCUGCUCUCCAAGGAGCCUUAUGCUGUUAACCACAGCCAUAAUCCUGUCAGAGUACUGCUUGAUAGUUUCUUCUUCCUUCAUCUUCAAAUUCUCAAAAUCUCUCCUUAAGUUCAGCAACUAUUGCUGCCUUGUCCUCUCUGUCCCUUGAAACUCCUCUUGCAACUUGUCCCAGGCUUGUUUUGGUGAUUCACAGGCCAUAAUCCUUGUGAAAAUCACAUCUAACACUGAGUUCUGGAUGCAAGACAUGGCUUUGUGCCUCUUAGUCCUCUCAUCAGCAUGCUGCCUGAUUUGAGCCACUAUUGGAUUGCCUCUAAGUGGCUCUGGUUCAACAUCUGAGUUGACUACCUCCCACAGAUCGAAAGCUUGUAGGUAGGUCUUCAUUUUAACCACCCAUAUGUGGUAGCCUUCUCCAUUGAAGACUUGAGGUGCAGUUGGUGAAAAGCUUGAUGAAGCCAUGAAUUUGUAUAACAGAUCCCUUAAGAAAUAGGCUCUUGAUACCAAUUGUUGGAGCUAAGUGCAACAAAUAGCAAGGUUCAACAAAAAGCUUGCCGAGCAAGAAUCGAGACUUGCGGCAGAAACAAAGAAGAAAAAUGAAAUAAAUUUUAAGCAAAGCUAAAAUAGAGAGUAUAUGGAUGAAAUCUUGAUUGAAUUCAUUCAUUUUUUUUUAAAAUGGCAUAAAGCCUAUUUAUACAAGCUUACAACUUGACAACUUAGUUGGAAUACAACUAAGUUUCAUCAUUACAUCCACUUAAAAUAAAUCACCACCUACUACCACUAACAAACUUAGUUGGAAUACAACUAAGUUUCAUCAUUACAUCCACUUAAAAUAAAUCACCACCUACUACCAUGUAAUAGCCCGAUUUUAGGCUUAGUCGGAACAGUGGUUUCGGGACCACAAAUCCGACGAAAAAAAAAAUGUAAUGGCUUGAAUUUUCAGAGGUGUCAGAACGGUGAUUCGAGAUCACUAAAUUCGACAAAUGGGUAGAAAAUAUUAUUAAUUUAGUAAGUAUAAGUUAAAUAUGAAGUUAGGAAAAUUUUUGAAAUAGUGAAUAGUGCACUAGAAAUAAAUAUUAAAAUAAUUAGAAUCGAAAUGAGGUAUCAAGACCUCGGGGAUUUUAAACUGAGCCAUAAAUAUUUUUAUAAAUAUUUAUGGAGUGUUAAAAAGUUAGUAUUAAAGUUUCGUUAAGAAAUUUUAAAGUUCCGAUAAUUAAUUGAACAAAAAGGACUAAAUUGUAACAAAUGCAAAAUUUUGGAAAAUGAUUAAAUAACUUAAAUGAUAAAAGGAAGAGGGCUUAAAAGGCAAAUAGACCCAAGGUCUAUUUGGGCUGGACGGCAGAGGCAUGAAAUCAGCAAAAAAGUAAGGAGAAUUAAGGGCAAAAUUGGAAAAUUGCAAAAUUUGCUUAAUAAAGUUAGGACCCAAGUGGAAUUAUCUAGAUUUCUCUUCAUUUUUCUGAAUUCUCAUCAGCUAAAACACCAUGGAAGGGCUUCUUCAAGCUGGUUCUUCAUAUUUUUAUUACAAGUAAGUUCAAUUCUUGACUAUUUCUUGAAAUUUUUGUAUUUUUAUGACUUUUACAACUAGGCCCACUUGUUAAAUCCAUUAGUUUUUGAUUUUAUGAAAGAAUUUGAAAGUUGAUAUGAAUAUGUGCUGGAAGUAUAUGAUGAUUUAGCAUGAAAUUAGAGAUUUAAAUUGUUCAUAUGCUGAUUUUAUUGAAAGAAUUGAAUAGAAAGUGAAUGUUUGGGACCUAAUAGUAAAAGAGUUUGAAGAUAGAGUUAUAUGUGGAAAUUCUGAAUUUCAAUAGUUGUGUAACAACUUAUAAUGUCUAGUAAAGUACUAAUUGAGAAAAUUAGAUUAAUUGAGGGGUUAAUUGAGAAAGGACCGAAUUGUAUAAACUGUGAAAUUUGGGGCAAAAUGGAAAUCAACAUUUUGCACUAAAGCAGUUUUGGACAGCAGCAGUAGUGUAACUUUGAAAAAUCACCAAAAAUUGUAGAGAUUGAAUUAGAGGAUGAAUAAAAUAUGAAACUAAAGCUUAUUGAGUCUAGUUUCUUAUAAAAGAAAUGAUGUGAGCAAUGGAAUUGUAAAUCAUGAGAUAUAAUAGAUUUUGUGAGACAAGGUCAGAAUGAAUUCGGGUUCCCCUGUUCUGACUUUGGAAAAAUCAUUAAAAAUUGUACAAAAAUGAUUAUGAGUUAUAGUUUAUAUGGUUAGAAUCCUUAAUGAGUCUAUUUUUAGAAGAAACAAGCUAAAACAUCAUCCGAAUUCUGUACAAUGAGAUAAUUAAUUUUUAGUGAAGAGUGGUCGGAACUGUCAGACAGCGAAACAGGGGAAACUUUAAAGAAUAAACUGUACUAUUUGGCUGAACCAAAAAUUAUGAAAAUUUUAUGGUAUGAAGAUAUGUGAGUCUAGUUUCAGGGAAAAUUAACGGAUCUUAAUUUGGAGCUCUGUAUCUCCGGAUAAAAAUAUUUUAGUGACUCUGACUCGGAUAAACAGCUUUGAAUAUACAUGUUAGUAAAUAUUGAAAUUAUGGUUAAUGUUGUUUAAGUGUGUUAUACACAUUAAGGAUGUGGAAUGGAGAGGAGGAGGAGGAAAAUUGGGAAAUAUAUGAAUGAUUCGUGUAUAAAUGGUCAUAUGUUUGAUUAUAACUCAUAAACGAUGAAAUAUGAAUGAUGCUUAUUUUUGUGCAUUAUUGGUCAUGGUUUAAGCUCAUGUGUGAAAAUAAAGUUUCAUAGUAUGUGUGUAUGGUAUAUUCAGUAUAUGAUUUGGCAUGAAAUAAUACCAUGAAUGGUUUAUGAAUUAACACAUGUUGGUAAGCCUGAUAUAUGAAUAAAUGAUCAAAUUGAGCGGAACGCCGGAUUUGAGUACUUCUGAUCAAGUGACAAAGUGAUAAGUGGUAGCUUUAGCUACACUUAUCUGAUCAAGUGACAAGUGGAAAGUGAUAAGUAAUAGCUUCGGCUAUACUUAUCUGAUCAAGUGACAAAGUGAUAAGUGAUAGCUUCGGCUACACUUAUCUGAUCAAGUGACAAGUGAAAAGUGAUAAGUGAUAGCUUCGGCUAUACUUAUCUGAUCAAGAGACAAAGUGAUAAGUGAUAGCUUUAGCUACACUUAUCUGAUCAAGAGACAAAGUGAUAAGUGGCUACACUUAUCUGAUCAAGAAACAAAGUGAUAAGUGGCUACACUUAUCUGAUCAAGAAACAAAGUGAUAGGUGGCUACACUUAUCUGAUCAGGGACAAGUGAUAAGUGAUCAUACGUAAGACCAUAGUUAUCCUAUGGCAAAGUGAAAGUGAAGUACUCAAUUUUCCGUGACCGUUCCCUAAUUUGAUUAAGGAUGGUAAGUGACAAAUGGGCCCAAAAGAAUUAAAGUAAAUGGAUAAGUGGUAGUGUAUUUAUAUCAGGACGAUGUUGUUAUUCAAACUAAAGUGAUAUUUUCAUUGCUAAAUUGAGAAUUUCAUAAAUGUGUUAUUGAAUGGUAUAAUCAAUAAACAUUGAGUUAAAUGGUAAAUACGUAUUAGUUUUGAAUUUGAUGUCAUUGAAUUGUACGUGAAUUAAAUGAAAAUUGCUAGUGAUAUGAUUUAAAUUAUGAGCAUGAGAAAUUGCGAAUUGAAUGAAAUGGAAAUGAAGCAUUAAAUUGCAUGAGUAUGUAUCGGGUCUCGCAGGCCCUAAUUAUUAUGAUUAUAAUAUUUUGAGGAUAUAUUGUGAAAAGUUAUAGAAACAUGUUAAUUAUUUUGAAAGUUUUAAUUUUGAUGAAAUUUUAUAACUCGGUUAAAUACGUUUACAAGUGUAUGUGUUUUGGUAAUGCCUCGUACCCUAUUCCGGUGUUGGAUACGGGUAAGGGGUGUUACAUACCACCAACUAAGUUUCAUCAUUACAUCCACUUAAAAUAAAUCACCACCUACUACCACUAACAAACUUUGUUGGAAUACAACUAAGUUACAUCAUUACAUCCAAAUAAUAAUAAUAAUAAUAAUAAUAAAACAUGUGAUUGCUACAUGCUAACCAUUGCUUCAAUAAUAAUGACCUACCACCAGGUUCCUUUAAAAAUAUACGAAAAGUAAGUGUUUGGGGAUGUGGGAGUUUGAAAAAUCUAUUUCCAGUAUCAAUAGCCAAAGAUCUUCCACAACUUGAACAUUUAAGCAUCACUGGUUGUGGAGUUGAGGAGAUUGUAUCGAAAGGGGAUGGAGUGGAGGAGCAGCCUGUGAGGUUUGAGUUUCCGCAAGUGUCUUACCUUGACGUUUCAUUGGUAGAAAACCUCAAAUGUUUCUAUGAAGGGCAACAUACAAUAGUCUGGCCGAUGUUGAAGAAAUUGACAACAGAUAGGUCUGCUUUGCCAAAGAUAGUGGCAUCGGAACAUCUUAGAUUAAUCCAAGGAAAUGAGGAGCCAGUUUUGUUGGGUGAAGAGGUAUGUAUAUCAUUACAACUAUAUUUCUUUUUAUGAUUUAAACCACUGCCACAAGCAUCUCAAGUUGAAAUAUGCCACGAUCAUGCAUUUCUAAUUAUUAUAUUUUGUUUGGUUUGGAUUUUUUUUUUCGUAUUUUUGAAUUUUCACUAUAUAUAUAUUUUAAAUUUUUUGUUACAUUUAUAAUUAUUUUUUCAAUUUUUUUAAAAACAAGACUGAAUAAACAUAAUAGGUAAAUAUUGAGUGAAUACAGUUCAAUUUGAUAAAAUGUAUAAAUAUUGAGGGUUAAAUUUAUUAUUAUGUUAAAAAGAUGCUAAAAAAAAUAAAAAUAUUUUAUUUGUUUUUAAGUAACCAAAAUAAAAAUAUUUUAACACUAAGUGACUAUAUAUGUAAUUUACCCUGCAUUUAAGUAGUGGAUCGAAACUAAAUAGGAUCUUUAAUUUGCUUUAAAAAAUUGCCACUCAAUAAAAAAUCAAAACUUUAAAAGUUAAUUACACUAGACAUCUCAAACUAGGACCUUCAUUUUAAAUUAGUCCUAAAAUUUAAAACUAUUGAGGUUAUAUCAAUUACGUCUUUCUGUUAUUAAAUUCGUUAAUUUAACCAUCAAAUUAAAUCAGUGUAAUAUUUUAAAACAUUGGUGUUUUAUCUCCACUGUUCUGCUUAUACUUUUUAUCAUAGAAAAAUAUAUAUAACAAUGGUUGUUUAUCUAUUUUAAUUUAGAUUUGCUACUCUUCUUUCGGCUUUCAUGUUCUGUAAUUUUUAUCAGUUUUAAUUCUCAAGGUAUUGUGUUUUCUUAAAACAAAAAAUUCAUCUAUUCUGGAUUCGUUUGAUUUAAUAUUGAUUUUGUUGGGAUUUAAUCAUCAAAAUCAAACACUAAAAUUGUAAAUCUUCUUUCUUUCUUUUUUAAAGCAUAUACAUCAACAUUGAGCCUAACUUGCUUAUAUUUGAUUGGUUUCCAAGGUCAUUCCCAAAUUAGAGGAACUUGAGUUACAAAAUUUUGGUGAUAUGGACCAAUUUCCACCAGACUUGUUUCAACAUAUUAAAGUUUUUGCACUGAGUGGUGGCUCUCCAUUUUCUUUAUUUCCUUUCGUCCGAAGAUUCUACAAUAUGGAAAGACUUAAGUUCUCUUUUUUAGAUUUCAAACAUGUAGUCCCUUGUAAAGGAGACGCCGGGACUCUCCCACCAAUUAGAAAUCUGGAAUUGUUUUCUGCCAGAAAUCUUAAUCAUAUUUGGAGGAAAGGUUCGGAGCUUUACCAUAUUCUUUCUAAUCUUCAAACACUCACAGUUCUGCGUUGUGAUGAUUGGAUAAAUAUUAGAGCCUUCUCAUCAUCUUUACAAAAUCUUACAAUUUUGAAUGUGUCAUUAUGUAAAAUGACGACAAACUUAGUCACACCCUCAGUACUUAAGAAUCUUGUGCAAUUAACGACAAUAAAGGUAGAAGACUGCACUAAAAUGACAGAAAUAGUGGGCAACGAGGGAGACUGUCAUCAGACAAUAGUUGUUAGUAAAUUGAAAUGUUUACAACUAUGCAAUUUGAAGAGCCACCGGGUAAAGAUCUUUUGUUCACAAGCUUUUGUCCACGGUAUUACAACUUCGAGUUUCCUUGUUUGGAAGAAUUAGUUGUGGAACGUUGUCCUUGGUUAAAGAUCUUUUCUGAGGGAGUUUUAAGCACCCCACAAUUACAGAGAAUAAAACAGUCGCGUUACUUUGAGGAAUGGAGUUGGACAAGUGACCUUAAUACCACCAUACAACAGCUCUACACAGAAAAGGUACAAAGUUAAUAAGUUCAUAAUGCUAGUUAGAUUCCUCGUGUCCUAAUACAAUUAAUUUUAUUACUACUUCAAUAACCAUUGAAGAGUGUUAAUCGUUAUUUUGUUAUUGUCUGCAUUUUCUAUUUAUGAUUGCUAUCUAGUGGAAUAAUAUCAGAUUAAUUUUUAGGGUGGACUCUAUGGCCAAUGUGAUUUCAACAUCUCUGACACAUUUCCGGAGUCGAUAGAAAUAUGGACUAGAAACACUCAAGAAAAUUUGGGCAUCAAAAACCUUAGGAGCCUGCACUUUUAUAAAUGUAGCAGCUUGAAGUACAUAUUUACUCCGUCUAUGCUUUUGGGCCUCAAUCUACUACAAAGGAUAAAAGUGAGAGAAUGCAGUUCAAUGGAACAAGUAGUUAGGGAGGAGGAGGAAGCAAUGACACAUAAAUUUACAUUUCUUUCGCUACGCUCCGUAACAAUUGAGUCGUGUUCCAACUUGACAAAUUUCCAUUUGGGAAGUCAAGCUCUUGAAUUUCCACAGCUGAGUGAUAUCAGGAUAGCUGAGUGUCCAAAAAUGACUGCAUUUUCUUCCUCAGUUUCAAGAGAGAGUGGUGAUGCAAGUGAAAACGUGGUUGGCAAAGGGGGCAUCUAUGAUAACACUGCAACUUUUUUCAGCAAUAAGGUAAGUUUGGUAUUCAAUAUAUAUCUGCACAACUUAUUUCACAUUUUCUUUUGAUUUGAUCAACAUGAGUGUGUCUGGUCUACAUAUCCAUACUAGUGCUACACCUUGUCAAAAUUUAAUAUAAUAAAAUCCAUAAAAAUAUUAAUAAAUAAGAUGAUGUUAAAAAAAAAUUGGAGUUUAAAGUAUAAAUAAAUAUAUAAAAUAAGAUUUGAAGGAAAAACUUAAAGUGAAAUACUAAAAAACAAAAAGAAUUUAAGAGAAGUUUAAAAUUAAAUAGUAAUAGACAAUAAAUAAUAAAAUAAUAAUAGAAAAAAGAAAACAAAUCUUCCUUCAUUUUAAUUUGUUGAUGACCUUCACAAAGGUCAUUUGAGAUCAAAGGAGAAGAAGCCUGAAAACAAAAGGUGAGGAGUUUGAAGAAGAAAGAACCAAAUAUAUAGAGGAGAAUUGAAGUGAGAGAGUGGAUGGGUUUUAUUUAAAGAUUUAAUGCUUUUUUUUUUAAUUUCAUAUAUAGAAAAAAUCAUUGAAAGAAAAAAAAGUUUAAUAUAAUUAUUUAAAUUUACUUGUCGGGUUUUUAUAAAAGUAACUCAAAUUUUUUAUUAAUUAUGAAAAUGACUCAAUUUAAAAAUUAUGUACAUAAAUUAUUCGAUUUCUAUAGUGUUUGUCGGUGCCGCUAGACACAAUGGUGGCAUCGACCUACCAUCAUUGACUAAUGAUUGUAUUUUAUUUAAAAAAUAAUAGUUUUCUAGUAGUAUCGUUGGAAAAAUUAGUGAUAUCAAACUAAAGUGUGAUUAUAUAAAAUGUUUGUGGACUUGACAAAGUAAUUAUCCUUUUGAAAUUAAAUUUAAAUAACCCUUAAGAAAUAUAAGAAUAACAAAAAUAAACCAUUCUCAUUUUUUUUUAAAAAUAAACUUAAAAAAUUAUAUAAAAUUCUUAUUUAAAUUACCCAAAUAUAUCCCUCGCACAGCUUCCUCAAGUUUAUCUAAAUUCAAGCAUUUUCAAUUCAUUCCCUAGCAUAUUUAAAUUUAGAUAAACUUAAGGAAAUUUUUUGAGGAAUAUGUUUGGGUUAUUUGAAUAAGAAUUUUAAAUAAUUUUUUAAGUAUUUUUUCAAAAAAUGAAAAUGGUCUAAUUUCAAAAGAAGACAAACAUAACAUGCAAACAGGUCAAAUGUUGAAAAACAUUUAAUUUGGUUCAGAUACCAACGACACCCCUUUUUCAAACAAUCUAAAAACGUUAACCGCUUCAAAAGAUCCCUGCAUGUUUUAUAUAAUCACAUUCAGUCUGGUGCCGUCAAUUUAUUAGACAAAACCACUACAAAUUUUUUUAAAAAGCAAUCAUUGGCUGAUGAUGGAGGCUAAUGCAGUAAGCACUAUAGAAAUCAAGUCAUUUACGUACAUUAUUUUUAAGUUGGAUCAUUUUCGUAAUUAACCAAAAAAUUUUGGUUACUUUUAACUGUCUAGUUGAUGUGUGAAUAUUAACCUUUAGAUCAGUUUAUAAAUCUUCAUACUCAUCUACUCAUUUUGAUUGUCUUUCAAAGUAAAGAAGGAAGAGUGAUACUAUCUUAUAAUAAUAUUUAUGUCAACAGGUUGUCAUUCCUCGUUUGGAGCGUCUGGAUUUGUCCUCCAUCAACAUUCAUAAGAUAUGGCACCACUCAUCCUCCCCAUCUAUCGGAUACCUAAAUUUCUUGCGGGUGAAGAGGUGUCACAAUUUGAAAUACCUGUUCCCGUUUUUCUUAGCAAAAGAUCUUGAGCAACUCCGAUUCCUUGGAAUUUUGGACUGUAAUAUGAUGGAACAAGUAAUAUUCACGGAUGGAUUGGUUGAGGAACAUCAAGGGAGGAAUCAGAUGUUUUUCUUUAAUCAACGUUCGCUGUGGCUAAACGACCUUCCCAAACUCACAAGUUCGUGCUUUGAAAAUUACUUUGAAUUUCACUGUUUAGCAGAUUUAACACUAAGAAAUUGUCCAUUGCUAAAAACAUUCAUCUCUAAAUGUGUACCCGGAGAUGAACCUCAAAUUGGCCAACAUGUACAGGCAAGUAACUUGGAGGUUCAUAACUCAUCUCUCCUCAAUGAAAAGGUCAUUUCUUCACGGAUUCUCCUUUUAAUUUAUUUUACUUCGAUUUAUCUUAUUCAUUUGAAGUUCUUUCUUUUUCAUACAUAUUUCAGUAUUAACCUAAUGAUAUGAUUUAUUAGGUUGUUUUCCCUAGUUUGAAGAGGCUGCAAAUUCAAAAUUGUGAUUUGUUAGAAGAAAUUAUCGAGCUGCAAGGAGUCAUUGCUGAUGAGUCACAGUCAACAUCAGCUGCUCAAUCUAUUGUGGCUGAAACAGUGACGACCAAGUUUGUAUUUCCCAAACUAAUAAACCUGGGAUUGGAUAAGGUGCCAAGAUUGAAAAGUUUCUACUCUAGGAUGCAUACCACCCACUGGCCUUCAUUGAAAAAAAUGGACAUUAUUGAAUGCCCCAAAGUACAGAUAUUUACUCCACAAUGUCCCGGGAGUCAGGUUGGAAUCUCAAACCAACAACCCUUGUUUUGCGUCAAUGAGGUAAGCUCGCGAACAGUUUCAUAUUCCAUGAUCAUUACUUGAGAUUACCUAUAAAAUGCUUUUUGAAAAAACUAAUAUUCUCUCCUCUUUUAAUUUUAUGAGAGUCUAGUUCUUACUAAUUUAAAACUCUUUCAUCGAUGUCUAAUAUAUUCUUUGCCAUCCAGGACACUUUCCCUGUAUUAGAAGAACUAACUCUGAAGACGAAUGAUAUGGGGAAGGGGAUAUGUGAUGGACAACUCUCAUUGCAGUGUUUCCAAAACCUUAAGCAUCUUAACCUCCAAUUCUUUCCCGAGACAUCCACUACUCUUCCGUAUUCCUUCAUUCGGUCACUACCAGUGCUUCAUAAGCUUGUUAUAGACAAUGCUUCCAUUUGUCAAAUAGUACAAUCUGAAGGACUCAGCGACUAGGAAUGGCAUACAUCAGCAUUCUAUCAGCUAAAGGAAUUAAGUUUGUCUCAACUUCCAGAGUUGACGUUAAAGACUUUUGAACCAUCUUUGCUGUCUUUCAAAAAUCUAACAACACUGAAAGUUUCAAGAUGCCAUGGGUUCAUCAAUUUAAUCGCAUGCUCAACAGCUAAGUGCCUGACGCUACUGGAAAGAUUGAUCAUAGAUGAUUGUGAGAUGAUAGAGGAAAUCAUAGCGUGUGAGGCUGAAGAAAUACAAGGCGGCAUUGUAUUUCCCAAACUGAAGUAUUUGCAACUAAGUUGUCUGCCAUGUCUAGCAAUCUUUUCCUUGGCCCAUCACUUGUUGGAAUUCCCAGUCUUGCUAAUGUUGAUGGUGACAAAGUGCCCCCAAAUGAGGAAUUUCUGCCAAGGAGAUUUAAGCACGCCAAGGCUGGAACAAAUGCACUUAACAAGAGAUGAGGAAGGUGAACUGAAGUGGGAAGGCGACCUUAACACUACCAUAAAACAUAUGUUCGAUGAAAUGGUACAAAUCAUUUAAAGGAUUUAAAUUCAUGUGUUUUUACAUACAUACAUACAUAGUUAAUUGAACAAUUCCUGGUUUGUUAUGAUCAUGCACAGAAUGUGCAAAAUUCUGAGGUGACGGAGGUUACUGAUCAGUUGCCCAAUCUGGAAUAAGGAAAUAUGUUUGGGUGCUUAUGCGAAAAGCUCAAUUUCGUUUGAAUUCAAAACAAACGGUAAUUGACUCCUCUAUUUUCAUCAUGGCUUAACUAAUGCUUUAUAAAGUGACCAUAGAGACGCCCUUUUCAUUGUAGGUUGAGUUGCUCUACUGAAGUACGAGGCUGCAACUUUUGGUAAAAUGUGAAAGGUUAUUUCAGUUUUUGUAAAACUACCAUUUGAACUGUUCCAUUUCACAUUAUACCCUCAAAAUUGAACUUCAAGUGCAUCAUGCUUGGCAUUGGGCUACAAACAUGUAAACUUUUACUAGUAAGGUUGACCCCUGUUUUAAGGAUUUGCCAACUUUUGAUGGUUACCAUAUCAAUGUCAGCUUAAAGCUAUCAAGUAUCUUUACAAAUAUAAUAUAUAUAUAUUAUUCCUUAAUGAAGGAUAAAAGUAGGCAGCUAUCUAUUAAUGGUACGGCUGAUUCUGAAAAGACGGCUGAAAUUGAAUCAAUGGGUUGUUGGUAAUUGCCUGAUGGAAGAACAGGGCCUAAUGUUACGUGGAUCCUGAUCAAGUUUUAAAUUUUCAGUUGUAGGCAUUACUGAUUAUUGCCAUUUGGUUGUUGAUCCUCUGAUUUUACGGUUGACUGUCUUGCUUAUACGUUGCAAGGUUGGCGGGUCUCAAGUAUGAAUUUCCAAGCCGGCUGUCAUCCAUAAUUAACUAAGUGUUCCAAUCUGUUGAAAGGUGGUUAGCAUGCAGCAUUGAAGACCACCAUGCAGAAGCAGCAGUUUGCACGAGAAAGCAAGGAUGUUUAGUUUCAUUUGAAUUUUUUUUUUUGUUUAUGUAAUGUAAUCUAGUUCAUUUUGAACUAUGAUAAGAUGAUAUUUGAUGUAAACUUGAUGGUGAUUGAGCUGUUUACCAGCUUUAUUCAUUUGCACAAGUUAUCAUUCCAAUUUACUAGGAAACUUAGUGGUAGUAGGUAUAGUUUUGGUUAACCUACUGUCUUGACAAGCUAGAAGCUUGAUUUAUGUAUUGGCAUUAAGCCUUUUUUUGAUGAAUGAAUUUAAUCAAGUUUUCAUUCAAAAACUCUCACCAUUCUCCUUGCUUUAUUCUUUUUAGUUUUCUGCUUGUUUCUGCUGCAAGUCACGACACUUGCUGCUCAAGCAAUAGGCUGAAACUUGUUGUUAGUUGCUCUCAGCUCCAACAGAAUCCAUGGAGUUUAUGGUUUAUUAGUGUAACUGUCCAUUUGGUUGUGGAUUGGUUCUUAAGGUGUUUUGAUGCUUGUAUGUUACAGUGCCUGCUCCAAGCAACACCCUUUAAUUUCUAAUGAAUUUUAUUUGUUGAGGAAAAAAAUAUGAGGAUUAAUCUGAUAUUUUAUGUUUGGGUUUAUGAAGAUUUUUGUACCUUUAAUGAAAAAAGCAAAUAAAAUAGAGAGGUACAAGAUCACAUCCAUAGAUCAACAAAGGGGUUUAAUAUUUCUAUAAAAAAAGUUGUCCCAAAAAGGCCUUCUAAUGGGAAUUGAAAAAAAAGCUUGUAAAAAUUUACAAAAGGAAUUGAUGAGAAUCUGAUACAGCCAUCACAUGCGACAGCUUUCCCUUAAAAGCAUUCGUGGCUGAGUCUAGUCUUAAUUUUUAUUUGUAUCUUUUAUAUCCGUUUUAUAAUUCAUAUUUAAGAUUUGUAUUAUGCGCUUAAUAUUUCAUUAUUUGUUGUCUAUGAUGCUCAUUCUUGAAAAAAAAAACAAACAAACAAAUGCAAUGCAUGCAUAAACCAUAAAAAAAAUAAAGAACAUAAGCAACUAAUAAUGAAAUAUAUUAAAAUGAAGACCGGUAAUUGAUUUAAGAAUUACCCUAAUUUCGGUAAAUAUAUUAAAACAUGUGUCCCUAAUCUUUUUCAAUUUUGAUAUUGAAAAAAUUGGUAUUCUUAAAAUUAUGAGAGUUAUUCAAUUAUUUUCAUUUUUGAAAUUGAUAAAUUAAGGACAAUUAAUCACAACGUUAAUGUUUUUAUCAAUUAUAUAUGAUUUUCUUGAUAUAAUGAUAAAUUUAGUCCUCAAAGUUUACACAUUCUAUCAAUUUGUUAUUGAUUUAACAAAUUUAACCCACAAUAUUUACACAUUUCGUCAAUUUGAUCAUGAUUUAACAUAUUUAACCCGUAAUAAUUAUACAUUCUAUCAACAUUUACGCAAAAUAUAUAAUCAUCAAGGAUUAAAUUUGUUUUUAUACUAAUCAAAAUUAUGUAUAAUUAACAGAAACUAUUAGCGCUUGAUUAAUUGUUCGUGGUUACUUUCAAAAAAGAUAAGGAUUAAUUUGUUCAAUAUCAAAAAGAUGUUUUUUAUUUUUAUUUUUUAAUUUCAUAGGUAAGAAAAUCUCAAAAAAAAGAAAAUCUUUGAAAUAAAAAAUAGAAUGUUUUAUAUAAUUAUUUGAAGUUACUCUCACGUUAUUUUUACCCAUUCAAAGCUAGCAAGUCUUUAUGUACAAAAUGGUAUAGCUCUGCAAUUUGGAUUAACAUUUUGGUGACCUCCAUGUGAAGUGAAAGAAAAUUGAGAAUGUCACACAAUUAUUAUUUUUGCCUCCAUACCCCUAUGCCACCAAAGAAAGUUGAAUUAUUAAGGCACAAAAGUACUAAGGAGUAGGAGCUAGAAAAAGAGGGGCAUGAAAAUAAAGAGACUUACAUUUAUUAUUUGCAUAAUACAAAAUCAGUCUUUAAUAUUUACAUAUUUUAUUAAUUUGAAUUUUAUUUUUAUUUAGUUAAAUUUAACUUUAAACCCUUUAAAAAAAGUUAAAUUUGAUCAUCAACAUUUUAAAAAGAGUCAAAUUAUUAUUUAACGGAAAUGUUAAAUUUUGAAAUACAUAUAACAAUUCGCGUGUAUUUCAUAUUAUUUUUUUAAAUUUUUUAUAUUUUUUUGAAAUUUUUAUUUUUGAAUAUUGUUAGAAAAAUAUUUGGAACAUUGUUAGUGGAGUUUUUAACCUCCACCAACAAAAUUAAUGGGUUAAUAAGUGUCUUACAGGGAUAUAAUAAAAUAUUAAUAUAUAUAUAUUAAAAUAUAUAUAUAUAUGUUAAUUUUUUUAAAGUUGUGGAAUAAAAAUAAUAUAUUAUUGGCAUACCAAAUACUCACCUUUUUAAUUAAGAUUUAAAAAUAAAAAAUAGUUAGUAAAAUGAAUGGAUUGCAAAUUGAGAAAUUUGAUAUUGAAUAUUAAAAUUUUCUUAAAAAGAAGACAUAUAGCAAGAUAAGAAAGUUAGUGAUUUAUUUGAUUUAAUUUUAAUUUUUAAAUUGAUGCAUUUUAUUAUGAAUUUUUAUUCUUUGUGUAUUUUGUAUAAUUUGUUUGAAAUUUUCAAUUUUCAAUUUCUCACAUGAGUUUGAGAUAUAAAAAAAAUUACUCUUAGGAUUGGUGAAACAGUGGAUACAAGAGUUCAGCUUAUCAUAUAUUGAUGAUUUUGUUCUUCGAAAUAUUGUCUACAGAUAGGAUAUCAGAGUUCUAUUAAUUAGAGUUCCGUUAAAAAGUCGAAAUUUCUAUUUUAGCCUAGGACUCUAGGAGUUCUGUUAUCGAUAUUCUAAUUAUGAUCAUGAUCUAUAAAAAAUAUGAGUAACAUGUGAUACGUAAAUGAAAAUUUUUAUGAUAUGAUAAGUCAUAAAUUAAGUGAAAAUGUAUGAAAGUGUAUGAUUAUAUGAAAGACAAAAAUAAUUAAUUUAAUUUAAUGAUCUGUAAAAUUGAAAAAUGAAAUACAUGAAUUAUAUAAGAGAAUGUUGACGAUCAAUAUGUGGUAUGUAAAUGAGAAGGAAAAAAUUAUAUGACCAAAUACUAAAAUAAAUGAAUAAUGAAAUUAACUAAAUACUUUGUAAGUUCAAUAAUUUAAAAAAUUGUUAUUUUUCCCAUUCAAAGUUGAAAAGUCUUUUAUGUGAAAAAUAGUGUAGCUCUUCAAUUUGGGUAUAACAUUUUGGUCUUCUCCAUGUGAUGUGGAGGAAAAUUGACAACAUCACACAAUCAAAUCCAUUUUUUCUGCCAUACCCUUGUGCCUCCGAAGAAAGUUAAAUUAUUAAGGCACAAAAGUACCAAGGAGUAGAAGCUACCAAAAGAGGAGCAUGAAAAUAAAGAGAGAUACAUAUAUUACUGGCAUGAAAUAUUUACAUUUUUUAUUAAUUUGGAACUUCUUGCCUUUUACUACUAGCUUGAUUUGUAUCAUCGCUCUCACCUUUUUGAGCUUGUAUCUGAUAGUGAAACCAAAGAUUAGUGAAAGCCUUCGCACCAAAACUGAGUUCUAGGAACUGCAAUAGGAUCAAUUUCAACAACUCUAAUGGGAUAUUAAACAUUCCCAACUCUUAAGAUCACCAUCUCAUCAAUUUUACACAAUUAAAAUGAAUGUUUCCCUUCACAAAAGGUUUAGGAUGAGCAGCACCAUCGUCCACACUAAUAAAACUUCCCCAGUGAUUGGCGAUGUUUUUAAAUGUAGAGAUCGGACAAGCAUGGAUCGGAACCCCUAAAGUUGUUCUAUAAUUAACCAAAAUGUUUUCAGACCAUGACUCAACUUUUGUGAACCACCUCAUCGAAAUUUCAAUAAACUCUUUUAUAACCUUCUCCACCGUUAAACUCCAUUAGCAACUUGGAGGCCACCCUCUUCUAACCGCAGAGCAAGGUUCUCAAGAGUACAUAAAUCUCUACACCAUCCCAUAAUACAAAUUGUAGCUUAGAAAGUUUUUCUUCCUCGAUAAUCCCAUCUAUAGGAAUUGACUCUAUCUCUUUCUUACCUGUAGCCACCUCCUCCAUGAAACAAUUCUUGUUUAUAGCUUUUUCACCUCCGAGGGUUCCACUCGUAUCUAGAGAAUCCUUUGAUACCUCCAGAGCCUUUGAAGCGUGCAAAGUUGACCCAUAUUCUAUGUCCAAAUAAAUGGAACCGUUCAGACGAAGCGUCGCCCUUCUUGCAUCAGUAAAGUUUGCGAAUCUCACAAAACCAAAUCUUUCUCCUUUUUAUGAAGACAUCCAUAACCCUGCCGUGAUACUCGAAUAUCUUCCAAAGACCUGUCCAUUGCAUUCGUGGAGGACGAUUCACUACAAAAACAGUAACACAACUCUGUCCAGUGUCCACCACCCAACCCAUUACUCAUUAAUAAAACUCCUACUUCAUCACUUAACUAAAGCUUUCUUUUUGAUAUUUUUAUAUAUUUUAAUUUUGUUUUGUAUUCAAAUAAUUUGAUAAUUAACUUUUAACAAUUAUCCCAUAGUUUUUACUAUAAAUUUAAGGAAGACAAUCUUGAUAAAAUUAGUUUGAGGUAGGAACAGUUUAUUGGAACAGCGUAGUCUUUUAUAGGAUUAAAAAUAUUAAUGCAAGAAAUAAAAAACAAGUGAUUAAAGGUUUAGAACAAGCAAUCAAACUUAUUUUAUGUUAAAAUUUUCGAACAAUAUGAAAAUAUAUAAUUUUAAUUGUUCUUUUACCAAUUAAAUUGAUUUUUGACAGGUUUAACUAUUGACUUAAAAAAGAGUGUUAAUUUGAAUGGUUAAAUGUAAUGAUGCAUGGUUUGUCUGACAUCGUCACAUGGAAAAUGGGAUUAAAAAUGGAAAUUAAGCAAAGGCAAAAUGAAUAUAUUUAUUGUUUUCUAAUUUGGUGUAGGGUGCCAUAUUUGUUGAUAGCCACUCACUAAUACAUUAUAAAUGGAAUAAUUGCCUAUUUUACCUUUUUCAUGAAAUUUAUUGACAUCACCAGCUCAUUUUUCAACCACAUUACUCAAAUGAUUGACAGAGAGAGGUAAAAGUAAUUUAUAAAUGUAUUUCUUUUUUUUCGAGUAUAAUUUGUAUUUAUUUCUAGCCAUUUUUAUAAAGUUAUUGUUUAAAAAAGGGGUAAUUAUCAAAUUCAUAUAUGAUUUGGAUCCAAUGUACAAUUUGAUACAAACUACAAUUUGGUGUAAUUAUACACAUAAACUUGAAUUGUGAUUCAUAUGAGCACAUGAAACUUUGAUUUUGAUUCAAUUGUAUGCAUUUAAUGAAUGUAUACGUUUAAAAAAAAUGAAUAUUUACAUUUAUUUUCAUAUUUGAUUAUAUACAGGGGCGAAACCAGAAAAUUCUUUUAGGGGGCUGAAAUUAAAUUGUAAUUUUUACGAUAGCAAAAAUGUAAUUUCACCAUUUUAAUGGCCUAUAUCUUUAUAAUUUUUAAAUGAUUAAAUCAAAUUUUAUAUUUUUAGCGGAGCAAAGUACAAUUUUACCUUUACUAAUUUAAAAUUUUAAAAGGCCUAAAUAGAAAAUUCACCAUUUCAAGGGGACUGAGACUAGAGGUGAUCAUGGGUUGGGCCCACCCGAAAAAUAGGAGGGUCCAAGUAAAAAUAUAGACCCAAAAUAUGGGUUUCGGCAAAAAAAGAAGCCCGUUUAAAAAACGGGCCGGGCUCGGGUAAAAAUUUUUUGGCCUAGGCCCAACCCGACCCGGCCCGAAUUAUAUAUUAAAUAUAUAUAGUUUUUAUUUUUAAUCAAAUAUGUAUUAAAUAUAUACUUUUUUGGUGUUGUACAAUUUGAUAUGGGUUGGGCUCGGGCUUAGCAAUUUUCUUUUGGGCCGAGCUUGGAUAAAUUUUUAGGCCCAUAUUUUGGGCCCAGCCAAGCCCGAGCCUAAAAAAUGGGCCUAAAAUUUUGUCUGGGCCCUGCUCAGCCCAUGAUCACCUCUAACUGGAACCCCUGUCAGCCCCUUAGUUUCGCCCCAAAUUAUAUAAUAGUUUGUAUAUGCAAUAUAUCAACGUAAAAUUGUGCUAAUUCAAUAAUAUUGUUAGUGAUUUCUGAAAAUUGAAUCAAAUCAAUAUUUCAUAUAUAAAAUUGUACAAAAUCAAAGUUCAUAUACAACAUAAAUAAAUAAAUAAAAAGUUCAUAUAGAACAAUAUACAUUAAAUCAAAAUUUAUAUAUAAUUUUGAUAUUUAUCUCAUUCUUUAUUAAUUAUAACGUGUGAACGAGGUGAAUCCAAAUUUUGUCAUUUAUUUUCCUACCAUCUUUGCGAAAUAAAUUUCAACUUAAGAAGGAAAAAAUAAUUAACAUUUUCAAAUUCUAUCAAGAUAGACAUGUUCAUAGGUCAGACUCUCGGCUUAGGUUCAAAAGUUCACUAAAAUUUUGGGAGGGUUUGGAUAAAAAUAUCAUACCCAAAGAAUGGACUCGAGCAAAAAAAAAAGACCUGUUUAAAAUAUGGGUCGGGCUCGGGCUUGAAUAUUUAAGGCUAGACCCGUUUUAAGUUUAUAAUUUUUUAUAUUAUGUUAUUUUUUAUAUAUUAUGUAAUUUAGAACACAAUAAAAAAUAAACAUAUAGUAAAUAUAUAAUAUAACUCUAAUGUAAACAUUAAAAUAAUAUUAAAAUGACUAUAUAAAAAAUUUCAAUAAAUAAAAAUGUAUAAAUAUUAAAAUAAUAUAAUAUAAAUACUUUUUAAAAAAAUUAAAAAAUAAUAUAAGCGAACCUAAAAUGGGUUUAGAUUAGUUUUUUGUAAAUAUGGGAGUGUUUUGACAAAAUUUUAGGCCUAAAUUUCAAACCGGACCGAACUUAAACAAAUAUAAAAUAUCUUAAUAUCAUGCUUAAACCAACCUAUGAACACUUCUACAUAAAAAUAAUAUAGACGAAUUGAUGUCGUUUAGUUCCACAAGGUCAAACUUCAAAUUAAUACGAGUGUAUUAUUAAAAGUUUUCGUCCUCGCAUUACUUGUAAUUAGUUUAUGUCUUUUAAUUCAUUGAGAAGUAACAAGCAUGUAUGGAUGUCCAUUGUACAGGCCCAUUUUGACCUAAUCCAUUACAACCCAUAACCCAAGCAAAAACAAAACCUACCCAGGCCCAACUAAGCCUAACCCACCAAAACCAAAGCCCAAAUCAGCAACCCAAUUCAGCCCAAUCUACCUAACCCUAGCCAAUUUGUAGAAAAAAGAAACAGCAGCCACCCUAGGUGCGCCGCACCUAGGGCCUUCGUCCACCUACCCCCUGCCACCGCCUCUGACCAGCGCCGCACCUGCUCUCUGCCAUCGCCCAACUGCACCUGCAAGAAGAGAAACCAACACGCAACAACAAAUAGUAGACAUAGAUAAAAAAAAUGUUAAAAUCGGCUAUAAAAGCCGAAACCAGAGGAAUGUAAAGGGUUCGGCCCCUCUUUGACGAUUAAAAGAAAUAAAAGUUUUUUGAAAAUCUUAAAGGUGACUACUACCUUUUUAGAUCUGUUUUUUUUUGUUCUUUUAAAUAUUAUUUUUGUUUUUAAAUACAAACAAAUUAAAAAUAAGAAUAAAGGAGAAGGCUUUUUACCUUACCUGCGCCGCGACGGAGGUGGAGGAAGGCGAACGGUUUCGCCCCAUUUUUUGGGUCUUCGGCUUUCUAUUCAGGAGAUUCAGCCCCGGAUCUGUGGCCUGGAGGCCAUGGACUUCAAAAAAGGACGAAAAAGGUCCGAUUUUGAACCUCCGGCGGCCACACACGGUGGCUCUGCGGCGGAGACUCGUCGGAAAUCUCGAGCCGGACCAUGGCCGGACCUGAGAGAAAAAGAGAGAGUUUUCUCUCUGUUUUUUUAAAAAGAAGAUGAAACUGUUUCUUUUAGCUUUUUUUAGUAUUUAUAUUAAACGUGAAACGACGCCGUUUUAGCAAAAGGAUCCGCGCGUCGACCCGACCCGACCCGGAGGAUCCGCGUGUUUUCAGUUUUUGGGAUAUUUCGCGUGCAGUCCCCCUGAUUUUGCAGCGUAUUACAAUUUUAUCCUUUUGUUAUUUUCUCUUAUUUUUAAUUUAGCCCCUGCAAUUUUAUUUUUAUUUCGACUUGGUCCAUUUCAACGCUGCGUUUUGGGGCUGUGGUUUAUUUGCAGUUUUGGCCCUUUCCUUUUCAGCGCGCGUUGCAAUUCGGUCCUUCUUGUUUUUUUAUUUCAAAUUUGCCUAGUAUAUUUGUUUUUAUUUUGAUUUAGUCCCUUUUUAGCAAUCUUAUUUAUUUUGAUUAAUUAUUUUAAUGUAUUAUCAUUUAUUAUUAUUAUUGUUGCAUUUAUUAUUCUGAUUAUCAUUUACCCAUUCGCAUCGUUUUUGGAUUUGGUUAUACAUACAUACUUAUAUAUAUUUUUAUAUUUUAUAACUUAUAUACAUAUAUCUAUAUUUAUAUUCUUUACCUUCACAAAUAUAUGUAUACGUACCUAUAUAUAUAUAUUAUUUUAUAUAUAUACAUCCUUUUACAUUUUUAGGUUUUUAUAUUUUGUUCAUUAUUUAUUUAUUUAUUUACAAUUUUGUUAUUAUUUUAAAAGAAUGCUUUAACUUUAUUUGCUUAUAUAUUCAUUUUGUAUGCUAUUGAUUUGUCUUUUUUUAUUUAUCUUAUCUUUGAUGCUAUUGCUCGUGUUAUUUUACUUGCAUUAUCAUCAUCAUUUCAUUAUACCCAUUUUUAUUUAGAUUUCGAAAAAGAAAUUUUAGAAAUAAGUAAUAUUCGGUAUUUUGGAUCUUCGAGAGAAUCGAGCCCUAACGUAUUGGGUUCCGACUUUCUUCGUUGAACUUAAAUAAUUGAGAUUAUUCUUUUAAAAAUGAUAAAAAGCUCGUUACCGAGAAUUCAAUAUGUUGUGUCCUAACGCAUUGGAUGUGACACGUUAUUUUUUCGAAACGAGAAUUUUUCUAAAUAAAUGUAAUAUUCAAUGUUUAAUAUUUUGAGAAAUUGUGCCCUAACGUAUUGGGUUGCGAUUUCUUCAUUUGAUUUAAACAAUUGAAUAUUCUUUUAAACUUUAUUACACGAAUUUUUUCAAACUCAAGUUAAACGAUAUCGGGAAUUAAAAAAAGGAUCGUGUCCUAACUUACUGGUCGCGAUAUCUUUUUUUAAUCCAAGAUAGUUAAAUAUCUUUUAAAUAAGCAUUUUUCAUUCGCGUAUCGGGAAUUCGAGACAUUGUGUCCUAACUUAUUAGAUAUGAUUCUCUUUCUCGAAUAGCGUGAAAUAUGCCCCUUUUUCAGAAAUUUUUCAACGUUUUAAUACAAGGAUCGUAUUUUUAAAAUUCUUCAAAGUUCUCAAUUUUCGACAUUAAGACAUUAAGUAGUCAAUUAGGUACCAAUUUUGGGCGUAUCGAGGGUGCUAAUCCUUCCUCGUGCGUAACCGACUCCCGAACCCGUUUUUCUGAAUUUCGUGGACCAAACUUGUUGUUUUAAUAAAAUCAAACCGUUUAUUAAAAACAACUAAUUUUAAGGUGAUCCAAUCACACCUCAUAAAAAAGGAUUGGUAGCGACUCCCGUUUCUUUUUUCAAAACCCAAGUCGACCCCGUUUUCCAUCCAAAAAAUGGUGUCAACAUCCAUCUUCUACCAUAGUUGUCUUCUAAAGAACUUUAUAAAGGGAAGCUAUGCCACUCUAUUUAAGGGUUGGUUUUGGAGAUUAAAGUGUAAUUUUAUCAUCAUAUUAACUUAAGUUUUUUUUUUAAAUUUAAAAACGUGUAAAUGGUAAAUUUACUAUUUUUGGAAGGUCAAGGCUAUUGCUUCCCCUUAUCUUUGCCCUGCUAGUAGUUGACUAACACGGUCUCAUACAGUAAUACUCUUAUCGAAUAUAAAGCCUUGUUUAAAUGGAGAUAUUUAUAAGAGGAAAAAUACUAAAUAAUGCAAGCUCGCCCAUGCCUGGUCACUGUGAGCCCCUUUGUGAGGAAGCACCUGAUCUUCUCUCGAAGUUACGAGGUUAUUUUGUCAAGUUCUUUAGAGAGAGUUGUCUCACACCCCUAGGUAUUCUCUACCUACCCACUUGUGUCGGUUUUGGGUACACGUACCCUUUUGAUGAAGGUCGUUCAAGCUUUUCCUGGAAGUAUAAUUUUUACUUCCACUUACAAUUUCAUAAAAUAAUAAUUUAUCAAAUCAAAAUUAUUCAAAUACAAAUUCAAAAUAUUUGAAUCAAAAUUAAAUUGGAGCUCCUCACUCAGGCUUCUACUUUUGUGCAUUGAUAAUUCAGUGGCAGCACUUCCCCCUUGCCUUAAUUGUUGAAAAUUGAAUAAAAAUUGUACCUUUCAUUUCCUUCCCUCAGACAAGUUGUUCAUUGUUGCUCCCACUCUUCAGUCUUCUCUAAAAUAAUGUAGGAAUCCCAAGUCACUAUAAUUAGGUGAUGAGGAUGGUACUUACUUUUUUUCCAAUAUCAGGGUAUUUAUCGUUAAUAAUAGUGAUUGAUUUUUUUUGUUGCGAAUUUGUACAAGAGCUUAUGUAAGAGUUUAAUAUAGUUCAAUGAUUAUUUUAUAAUUUUUUAAAGUUAAAUAAUCAAAAUAGAAAUUAAUUAACAAUUUAGCUAGAGAGCUUACACGUAGUUUACCCAAAAACAUAUCGACAUGAUCCCCCAUUGGAGUCCGAAGCCAAAGCUCACAAAUUGGGUUAACAUUUGACAUUUGGGGUUUCAAAUUGAGAAUUAAUUGAAAUAGAUAACAAUUAGCAAUUAAUUGAGAAUAAACAAAUUAUAUUCCAUAUAGUGUAGUAUUGAAUAUAUGUUUACUUCAUUAAAGGUCUCUUUUUUAUUCAAUUAAUUUCUCCAACUCAAAUUUAGCAACUUAUUAUGGUACUAUGAGAUUAUAAGAAUGGUUUUUGGAAGUAAAUCAGUGAGUGAAGUUGUAAAAUUACUGAUUUUCGAUUUAAUUACUUUAAUCAUUGGUCUAGUUUCAAUUAAAAAAUUUAUUCAUGAUUUAGCCUAUAAAUUAUAUAUAUUCUCUCACUUUAGUCUAGUUUAGACUUGCCUAUGGCCCUGCUCGAAUGUCCACCUGAAAAGCGAGAUGAUUUAGGUAAAUAUAUAUGCCCAAAAAGUUGGUCUGGAUAAAAAAAUAAUGCUCGUUUUCUAAACGGAUUGGGUCUCAGGUAAGCUUUUCUUGCUCAACCUGGCCCGAAUUUGCAAAAAAAAAAACUAUUGUUGUUUUUUUUACUAUUUUAUCAUUGUUUUUCUAUCAUUUCGUUAUUAUAUUGCUACUAUUUUAUUAUUAUUGUUUGAAUAAUGCAUAACUCUUGUUUUAUUACUAAUUUUGCUACUAUUUUAGGGAUAUUUACUUUUUAAGUUACACUUAUCUCAGUGUUAUAUAUUUAAGUAUUUUUUUUUAAUUUUCAUUUGUUCGGAAACAUUUAUUUCAAAUUUUUUAGUGUAUUUGAUGAAUUAUUUUUUAAAAUUUAUUUUUAUAUUAAAAAUAUAAAAAAUUAAUAUGGGCAGACUAGGCUUUUAACAUUUUAAUCUAAGUUGGGCUUGGAUAAAAUUUUAAGCCUAUUUUUCGAGCUGAACCGAGCUCAGGCCUAGAAAUUAGGCCUAAAUUUUUUACUUGGCCCUAUCAACCCAUGGACAACCCCAGUCUAGUUUCAGUUGGGAAUGAGAAUUACUACUAUUUUGUUGUUAUUAAAUUGUUAAACCAUUGUUUUUUUUUUUUGGUGCCACUUCAAAAAGCCAUUGGGCCUUAGUCAAGACGAGGUAACAUAGAAUAGUUCAGGGUCCUAACUGGAAAAUAUCCCACAUUGAUUAUUGUGAUGUAGAAAGUGGAAAAUAUGUAACGAGCGUCAUUGGAAAGAUGUAUGUCAAACUAGUGGAGCCAUAAAUUGGUAGUUUUCUAAGGUUGGUUUCAAAAUGAAGGGGGAGCUCCCAAGUCAAAAUAAAAUUGUUUAGUAUUUUUUAGUGUUUCCCUUUUAGACAGGUUAAAUUGUGUAUUUAUAUGUAGGGGUGUUCAUUCGGUUAACCGAUCGGUUAAUCGAAUCGAACUUUUUUAAAAAAAAUUAACCGAACGAAAUUUUUUCGGUUAAUUCGGUCGGUUAAUCGAAAAUUAUAUGUUUUUUUAUUUUUGGUUAAAAAUUAACCGAAUUAACCGAAUUAACCGAAUUCCCGAAUUACCCGAAUUAACCUAAUUGAAUCAUACAUAAUUAAAUUAUUUUUAGACUUUAAUACUUUAGUUUUAGUUUUAGUUUUAGAAUUUGUUUUUAUUUAUUAAAUUAUUUGUAAAUUUUAUGAUUGGGUUGGUUUGGGUAAUUGGGUUGGAUUGAAUACUUGGAUUUGGAUUGGGUUUAGGUGAAUAGUGGACCUAUUUAUAUAUUAAUAAUUUUAUUUAUUAAUUUUUUCGGUUAACCGACCGGUUUCGAACCGAAUUAACCGUUAACUGAAAAUUCAUAAAAAAAUUAACCGACCCCCGACCGAAAAAAUUCGGUUAACCGACCGAUUACCGAAUUUUUUCGGUUUUACCCGAAUUAUGCACACCCCUAUUUAUAUGAUAUGAUUACUGUUCACAGAUAUGAUAUCGUAGGUAGGUUCCCAUGCAAAUCAACGUAUACCCUACUUUAGGUUAACAUGUAUUUAUAUGAGGUGGAUUUACAUAGUGCAAACCCACAUCAUGCUGUCUCGUAGAAGGUUGCAAACACCUUACAUGCGAACUCAAAGUGCGAACUGUAAUGGAUCAGUAAUAGUGAAUAUCAUAACAAAAGUAAAUUAAAAUAUUUAAUUCCUUCCAAAUAUUAAUUUCAAUAAUUAUUCAACUCCUAUUAUUUUAUCCUUUUGUAUAUUGAAUUCCUCUAAGCAAAGAAAAUAUCCAAAUUAAAAUUUUUAAUUUUUUUAGACAUAAUAUCAAAUUUAACCUUCAACGUUUACAUUUUUUUGUCAAUUUGGCAAUUAUUCUUUUUUGAGCUAAAUUUGACCCUUAAUCUUUCAAAAAAGAGUCAAAUAUUUUUUUAUGAAAUCUUUUUUUAAUGAAAACAUUAAUAAAAACAUUAAUUUUUUUAACAAUAAUGGUGUGGCAACCCGCAUGGUAGUCCACGUAUACUUCCAUACUAGUAUGACACUAUUUGUAUUAUAUGUCAUGUCAACAAAUAAUUUUAAAAAAGUAUUUAAAAUUCAAAAAAUUAUAAAAAGCUCAUAAUAUGUAAAAUAAAAAAGCAUGAAGUACAUAUAGAUUGUCAUUCAAACUAUCAUAUUUGAAAAUUUAAUGUUAUAAUCGAAAUUUUUUUUAAAAAAAUAACAAUUUAACUCUUUUAAAAUAUUAAUGGUUAAAUUUAACUUUUUAAAAAAAAUUGAAAGUCAAAUUUAGCUCAAAAAAUAAAGAUUAAACUGACAAAAAAUAUAAAUGUUAAAAGGUUAAAUUUCAAAUUAUAUCAUUAUUUUAUUAAACAAACCUUAUUAAAAAUGUAUUUAAAUUUUAUAAAUCUUAUUAAAAUAAUAUUAAUAAUUAUUCAACUCCUCCACACAAAGAAGCAUCCAAAUUAAAAAUAUAUAUUUAAUUCCUUUCAAAUAUUAAUUUGUUCAACUUCUUAAAUUAAGUAAUUAAUCAAUUUUCGUUUUAAACAAAAAACCGGAUAGGAAAACCAUCAUUUUCUCGGGAAACAAACAGAGAAAGCUGCAAACUUUCCAAAUAUAUACCUUACUCGAAAAUCUGCCACGUCUUAUCCUUGAUAUGAUGGUUUCUAACAUUGCCACUUGGCAAGUUAUUCAGUAACAAUGCCAAUCUGCCACCAUUAUGCUUUUCCUUGCAGUACAAAAUUCCAGGAUGCCUUUACUUCUUUUGCCUCUUGGAUCAGCAUUUACUAUCACCAAAAUCAAAAUCCCAACUUUGAAAAAAAAAAAGUUUAAUUUUUAUCCUUUUUUUAAAAAAAUUUAACAAUUUUUUAUUUUCCAUUGUCAACCUUGUAAAAUUCUUUUAUAUUUUUAUGUUUUUAGUGGGAUUUUUACAUUUGUUCCAAAUUAUCAGUUUGUCAAGUUCUUCAUGCUUUCCAUGUCCCAAAGGAUCACAUUUUAUUUAAGAAAUAGAAAAAGACAUUAUUUUUGUUCUUCAUGCAACUUAUAAGUUAUAGAGAAUGAAUUUCUUUGAUUUUAGCAACUAAUAUUAUGAUUCCAACAUUUAGGGUUUUAUAUGUUUUUUUUUCUGUAUGAAUUUGAACUUGAGUUAGCCAUAAAAACCCCACCUUUAAUCUCAAUAUAUGAACUUGGCUUUGCUUCUUAUGGUUAUUAUUGUUUAAUUUAAUUAAUGUCUUGAAAGGGUAUUCUAGUUUAAUUUAAUUAACUAGUCCAUUUAUUUUGAUUGAUAAUGAUGUUGCAGGUGCUUAAUCUUUCCAUUGAAAUGGAGAAAAUCAACUACCAGGACGAGCUGAAGAAAGAGCGUAGGCUUGUUCGGAGUCUCGUAUACGAGAUCGGUUACAGGAAGGAACAGGUGUCCGAAAUGGAACAUAAAUAUGACAAGACAACCACGGCUUUUCAAGAACUCGUUGAUGGCCUUGUAGCGAAAAUUGACUCCAAGGACAGUAGUUUGCGGGAUUGGGAGCUUCGAUAUAAGGAAAUGGGGAAAUGGUACAUAAAUAUGAUGAGACGACCGCAGCUCUUCAAGGACUCGUCGAUGGCCUUGUAGAGAAAAUUGACUCCAAGGACAGUAGUUUACGGGAUUGGGAGCUUCGAUAUAACGAAACCGUGAGACAAUUGAAGGGCGAGAACGCGGUGUUUCACCUUGUGUUUGCUAAAGGUAUACUUUAGAUUAUAUAUUGCAUACAUAGCGAGCAGAAGACUAUGCAUUAAUCCAAUCGUGUACGAUGAACAACAUGUCGUUUUCGAAGUUCCAAGGUUUGCAUUUAGAGCUUUGAUUGAUCUUUAGGCUAUUUUACACAUCUAGUUGCUUAGUAUUAGAUUCGGUGAAGAAGUUGCAACUUUAGGAUAGUGAAGGAGACAUAAAUGUCAGGAUUCGAACCCCAAACUCUGCUUUUAUAUCUGUUAUCACGGGAACCGGAUGAACUUAUGGAAACGAGGCUUGGAACCUAAAAGGAAGCAUAUAUAUUUGAGAUAUUCCGAUUUUCUUCCUGUUGCUAAUGCUUCUAUCAUACACAUUAGGAUUAUGUGAUCUUAUAUAUAUACACACGCAUAUAUACGAGAUACUGAUGAAUUUCUGCCUCCUGUUAUUGCUUAUAUCAUAUGCUUUAUGGACUGUUGCUUUACAUUUUUUAUGCAGAAAUUCAGAAGGAAAGGGAUGAAAAUCUUAAGCUGAAGUGCCAACCUGGCUUUCGAACCAAGUUGGUCGAAGAUUAUAUAUCUCGUAAUGAUAACGAUAUGGAACGAAGUAGCUUGUUGAAUGAAAUGGAAGGGGUUAGCAUACUCAUCUUAAUUUUGGUUUUCGAUAUAUGAACUAUCUUUUGUCGAGUUUGUACCUUUGUGUAAAUGAAUCCUGUUAUCAUGUUUAGGUUCAACGUUUUUAAUGGUUAUGAUUUGCCGAGUAGACUUUUAACAAUUCGGAUUAUAUCUGAUAUAGCCGAAAGAGAAUGUGGCUUGCCAAAAUCUUAUUGAACUCGAGAAAACUACAAGCGAGCAGAUUACUGCUCUAAAGAAAGAGUUGGAGGAAAAAUCAGAAGCGUUGAAAGAUAUGGAAAACCGAAACAGUUGUCUAACGGUGAAACAAGUCCUAACUAAUCAAGAGCUGCAAGAUGUUCGAAAAGAAUCCAUACGUGUAUUUUUCAUGUUUUCCUUUGCUUCCUCCUAUGUUUCCUCUUCGAAAUCGGGUUUAAACUUGAAAGUGUUAAACCCAAGACUUCUCUGGUUUUUGAUGUGCAGGGUUUGAACGAUUUUCUGAAUAACCAGACUAAUCUUAAGAGUGAAAAGAACGGGAGAGAUUGAUCAAAAAGCAUUCAAAGUUGCUUGCUCGUUGAAGUUCCAGGACGAAGAUUGGCGAGAACCGUGUGCUAAAACAUGUUCAUUAUGUUGUUCCAAUAGGGUCGGAAGCGUGUAAAUUAUUGUACUAAAAAAUCACAAAAAGUUCAAUUCCCAGGGAAGAGAGGUGGAUCACAUGGAUCUCUUAAAUACCAAGUCUUUUCUUAGACAGAAUAUCCCUUCUAUAGUAAUUUAAUAGCACAAUUAAAUACUACUAUUAUACCCUCAAAUAUUGAAAGAAAAAUAGGACAAGAAAGAACACAAGAGAUUUAACGAGGUUCGGUAAAUUAUACCUACGUCCUCGGGCACUAACACCAGAUGAUAACUUUACUAUCCCCAAAGUAUUACAAACAAAUAGAAUUCCUUAAGAAUUCUCAAAUGGGAGAAGAGAGAAAACUAAGAGAGAAAGAUUGGUUGGGAUGAAUUGAAAUGAGAAAUGAGAAGGCCUAUUUAUAGUUGAGGUUCAAGGACCAAACAAUAAAUAGCACAUUAUCUCAAGGACCAAAAAAAAAUUAUCCCUUGCCACUUUUCCAAAGUUGGUGGUUGUCAUUAUUGAUUGUCUCCCAUUAAUGUUAAUGGCAACCAUUAUUAAUUGUCUAUCAUUAAUGUUAACAAUCUCCACCUUGAAGAUUUGAUUAGGAUAAUCACAUCUUCACACACUUCCUUCAACUCCCUAAAUUCGAUAAAGCUAUCUUUUGUAGUGCCUACAAAUGCGCUCUCGAGCGCCAUACACCUGAAGGUGCUCAAAUUCUCAGGAUGUUAAUCAAGUUCAAACAAUGAUUAAACUUGAUUGUUGUUACCACCUUGGUCAUCAUAUCUGCGGGAUUAUCUGCUGUCGGAAUCUUCUAAAGUAGAAUUUUUCCUUUUUCAAAGACUUCUCGCACAAAGUGAUAUCUUACGUCAAUAUGCUUGGUUCUUGAAUGAUAGACUUGAUUUUUCGCUAAAUGAAUAGCGCUCUGACUGUCACAAUAUAAACUUAUGUGACUUUGAACAACUCCUAAGUCUUUCAACAAUCCAUUAAGCCAAAUAGCCUCCUUAACAGCUUCUGUAACUGCCAUAUAUUCUGCCUCUAUAGUAGAUACAGCUACUGUAGACUGUAAGGUAGACUUCCAACUCACUGGGGCUUUCGCAAGAGUAAACAAAUACCCCGUAGUUGAACGACGUUUAUCUAAAUCACCAGCAAAGUCGGAAUCAACAUAUCCAACUACAAACUGACCAAGUGCUUCAUCCUGUUCAAAAAUUAAACCAACAUCUACGAUUUUUCAAAGAUACCGUAGAAUCCAUUUCACAGCUUGCCAAUGUCCUUUUCUAGGAUCAUGCAUAUACCUGCUCACAACUCCAACAGCUUGUGAAAUGUCAGGCCUCGUACACACCAUCACAUACAUCAAACUCCCAACUGCAUUAGUAUAUGGGACUUUCGCCAUAUAUUCUCUUUCUUCUUCAGUUUUCAGAGAUAAUUGAGCACUAAGUUUCAAAUGAGAAGCAAGUGGGGUACUUACAUGUUUUGUGUUUUCAUUUACACCAAAACAUUGUAAUACCUUUUUCAGAUAUUGCUUCUGAUUCAAACAAAGCUUGCCUCUCUGUCUAUCUCUACUUAUCUCCAUGCCGAGAAUCUUCUUGGCCUCACUUAGAUCUUUCAUCUCGAACUCUUGAUUCAACUGAGCCUUCAGCUUAUCUAUCUCUUUUUGGCUCUUCGAAGCGAUUAACAUAUCAUCAACAUACAAGAGUAGAUAAAUGAAAGAUCCGUCAUGCAGCUUCUGCAAAUACACACAAUUGUCAUAUUUGCUUCUUGUGUAUUUCUGCCUUCUCAUAAAGCUAUCAAAUCGCUUGUACCACUGCCUCGGGGAUUGCUUCAAUCCAUAUAGCGAUUUGUUAAGCUUACAAACCCAAUUUCUACCACCAGCAUCUGUGUAUCCUUCUGGCUGAGUCAUAUAGAUCUCCUCUUCUAACUCACCAUGCAAGAAAGUCGUCUUAACAUCAAGUUGAGCUAGCUCUAAAUUCAACUGUGCUACCAAGGCCAACAAAAUUCUAAUGGAGGAAUGCUUCACAACAGGGGAAAAUACAUCAUUGUAGUCAAUUCCCUCCUUCUGAGCGUAGCCUUUAGCUACCAAUCUUACCUUGUAGCGAAUAUCCUUCUUGCUAGGAGAUCCAUCUUUCUUUGCGAAUACCCACUUGCAUCCGAUUUCCCUUUUACCUUUCGGUAAUUGCGCCAACUCCCAAGUAUUGUUCUUCCGGAGAGACUGCAUUUCUUCAUCCAUGGCGCUUUUCCAUUUAUCACUUUCUAAGCUUUGCAUUGCUUCUUGAUAAGUGAUAGGAAUAUCAUCAACAACGGGAAGGGCGUAGGCCACCAUAUCAGUAAAUCGAGCAGGUUUACGAAUUUCUCUCCAUGGCCUUGCAACUGCAACUGGUUCUGGUGUACUUAGUGGUUCUUGGGUCAGAACCUCUUCAACCUCUAAUUCCUCCAUUGUGGCUGGAGAAUUAGACUUAUUAACUGGGCAAAUCCCCAUCUGCUCAAACUCCACCUAUUUUGGAGUACACUCCACCUGCUGUGGAGUAUUGCUCGUCUGAAUAUCUUUAUCUGCUACCUUUUUCAAUGUGGCAGAUUCAUCAAAGGUAACAUCUCUGCUACAGAUCAUUUUCUUUGUGCUUAAGCACCAAAGACGAAAUCCCUUCACUCCAGAAGUGAUUCCCAUAAAGAGAGCUUUUUUUGCCCUCGGAUCUAACUUUGACUCCUUCACAUGGUAAUAUGCAGUGGUUCCAAACACAUGUAAGGAAUCAUAAUCUGUAGCCGGUUUUCCAGACCAUACCUCCAUAGGAGUUUUUCUUUCUAAUGCAGAUGAUGGCAAACGAUUAACAAGAUGGCCAGUGUAUGUCACAGCCUCAACCCAAAAUUGCUUGCCCAACCCAGCAUUGGACAACAUACAUCAAACUUUCUCCAGCAAUGUUCGAUUCAUACGCUCUGCCACUCCAUUCUGUUGUGGUGUAUCCCUAACUGUGAAGUGUUGAACAAUACCAUACUCUUGGCACACAUCGAAGAACGGAUCACUUUUAUAUUCCCCUCCAUUGUCCGUCCUAAGCCGCUUGAUUUUCUUGCCAGUCUGGUUUUCGAUCAUAGUUUUCCAUUUAAGAAAAACUCCAAGCACUUCAUCUUUAGUUUUCAUGGUAUACACCCAAACUCUUCUGGAAAAGUCAUCAACAAAAGUAACAAAGUAGUGUUUUCCUCCCAACGAAGGUGUUUUGGAAGGCCCCCACACAUCUGAGUGAAUAUAUUCCAAAAUACCUUUUGUAUUAUGGAUAGCAGUGCCGAAUUUCACUCUCUUUUGCUUUCCCAGAACACAGUGCUCACAAAAUUUUAAUUUGCAAGCCUUUGCACCUUUCAACAAUCCUUGUUUUGCCAGAAUUUGUAAGGAUUUUUCGCUGGCAUGUCCCAACUUCAUAUGCCACAACUGCAUUGAGUCCAAGUCUUUGUUACCGGAAGCUGCAGCGACUGCUCCAAUAACUGUACUACCUUGGUAGUAAUACAAGUUAUUUUUCCUGAUGCCCUUCAAUAUCACAAGUGCGCCAGAUGUCACUUUCAAAACCCCAUCUCUCAUAGUAACAACUGAACCAUUGGAUUCCAAGGCUCCCAAUGAGAUGAGAUUUUUCUUCAAACUGGGCACGUACUGAACAUCAGUCAGAACUCUGGUUGAUCCAUCUUUAUUCUUUAAUUGGAUUGAACCUAUCCCAACAAUUUUACAGGCAUUGUCAUUGCUCAUAUAAACAACUCCUCCAUUUAGUUCUACUAAAUCAGAGAACCACUCCCGGUUAGGGGACAUAUGAUAGGUACAACCCGAAUCCAAUAUCCACUCAUCUGAAUGGAACGACGAUGAUGAUGCAACCAGUGAUAGUUCAGAGUCACUAGUAUCAUGCUUAGCAACACAAGCAUCUACAGCAGCUUUUCCCUUAUUCUUCAGCUUUGGACAAUUUUUCUUCCAGUGGCCUUUCUCAUGACAAAAAGCACAUUCAUCUUUCCCGAGUCUGGACUUUGACUUUGAUAUCCCCUUUUGAGUUUUCUUCCGAGUGUAUGAACGACCUCGGACUACUAAAGCUUCUGUAUCUCUGAUUGAGUUUUUCUGUUUGUCCUUCUUUCUCUGUUCAUAACUGUAUAAGGCCGCACAGACUUCGCUCAGAGAUAUAUCACUCCUGCCAUGAAGUAGAGUAGUUUCUAGGAACUCAAACUCCUCAGGAAGUGACCCCAACAGCAUCAAAGCCAAAUCUUCAUCUUUGAAUGUCUCAUCCAUAUUCAGCAAAUCAGUGACUAACUGAUUAAAUUUGGUGAUGUGAUCAUUCAUUGUGGUACUUACGUAUGUGAAGCGAAACAGUCUUUUCUUCAAGUGGAGCUUAUUUUGACUGUUUUUCUUCAAAAAAAUUUCUUCAAGUGCCACCCACAACUUAUUUGCAGAAGUCUCCUUUGAAAAAGCAUACAUCUGCUCUCGAGAAAGGCAUGAUCGAAUUGUGCCACAUGCCAACCGAUUGAUCGCCUUCCAAUCUUUCUCCUGUACAUCAUCUGGUUUCUCUUCAUCAAUGGCAAUGUCUAGACCCUGCUGAAAAAGGGCAUCUAGAACCUCACUUUGCCACAUACCAAAAUGGCCCGUGCCAUCAAAGAUUUCCACGGCCAAUCUUGCAUUUGCAAUUGUCGGUCUUGUCCACAUGGACGAUGUUGAAGCUCCUACACCGACCGUUUUCUCCAUAAUCUUUCAAUAUAUCUAAGGAAAUCUUUUCUGAUGUGGAAGAUCAGUUUAAACUGCAACCACAGAGCAUACUACGAUUAACCUUCGGCUCUUGAUACCACUUGUUGUUCCAAUAGGGUCGGAAGCGUGUAAAUUAUUGUACUAAAAAAUCACACAAAGUUCAAUUCCCAGGGAAGAGAGGUGGAUCACAUGGAUCUCUUAAAUACCAAGUCUUUCCUUAGACAGAAUAUCCCUUCUAUAGUAAUUUAAUAGCACAAUUAAAUACUACUAUUAUACCCUCAAAUAUUGAAAGAAAAAUAGGACAAAAAAGAACACAAGAGAUUUAACGAGGUUCGGUAAAUUAUACCUACGUCCUCGGGCACUAACACCAGAUGAUAACUUUACUAUCUCCAAAGUAUUACAAACAAAUAGAAUUUCUUAAGAAUUCUCAAAUGGGAGAAGAGAGAAAACUAAGAGAGAAAGAUUGGUUGGGAUGAAUUGAAAUGAGAAAUGAGAAGGCCUAUUUAUAGUUGAGGUUCAAGGACCAAACAAUAAAUAGCCCAUUAUCUCAAGGACCAAAAAAAAUUAUCCCUUGCCACUUUUCCAAAGUUGGUGGUUGUCAUUAUUGAUUGUCUCCCAUUAAUGUUAAUGGCAACCAUUAUUAAUUGUCUUCCAUUAAUGUUAACACAUUAUGGCAACAUAAUGUGCAGGAUCCGAAUUGGCACCCGUAUAAGAUGAUCAACAUCCGAGGCAACUUGCAUACACCGAUUGCUCAGAAAACCGUACUGUUAUCAAACAUCUGUUGUUCUACGAAAUGCGAGCUGGUUCAUUACUCAAAACUUACAUAUUAAUGGGAUGCCUUCUCGGUAAUGCAGGAAAUAAUAGACAAGGAUGAUGAGAAGCUGAAGGAGUUGAGAAAUGAAUAUAGUGACACAGCGUACGAGGCUGUCAGCACCGCACUGAUGGAAAUGAACGAAUAUAAUGCCAGCGGAAGGUAUGCGAUCCCGGAAGUUUGGAACAGAAAGGAGGGAAGGAGCGCUACCAUGAAAGAAAUCGUUCAGUACGUCGAGCAACUGAAGAUUCACAAGCGUAAGCGAUUUUCUUAAUGCUGAGCUUAGCAGUCCAUUGCUUUCAUGGAAAAUAAGUAGAAUUAUACACAAUCCUUAGGUAGGUAUUAAAUUUUAGAAUUAUAUUUGACAUUAAAAAGAGCUAUUUGUUCAUUCCAGCAUGAGCUCCAAAAUUAGGCUCCAUAUUUACAAACCUAAAUUAAACUUACUCCAUAUUUACAAACAGAAAUUAAACCUACCUACGAUAGUUGCAUAAAAAAAUAUUAUCAAUUUAAAAAAAAAAGUAAUUAAGUUGUUGGUAUUUUUCAUUUAAUUAAAUACUUCACUUUUUAAAAUGUAUCAAAAACUUUCUUUAAAUUUUAAAAAAUAAUAAUUAAAUCUUUGUUUUUCUUUUACAUACUCAAUGGCUACUUCAACUAUCAAAAAAAAAAAAAAAAGAAAAGACUUUUUGACAAUUAAAAGUAACUGCUUUAAUUUUUUUAGUUAAAGUCAUUCAGCGUCACAACCAUACAGGCGUGAUGUGUAAUAAAAAAUUAUAAAAAAUAAAAAUUAAUAAAAUUAUUAAAUUCUAAUAAAAAAUAUAAAAAUAUUUAAAAUUUAUUUAAAAUGUCAUAAAUGUAUAAAUAAAAUAUAUUAAAAAUGUUAUUUAACCACUAACUUUAAUUGUUGACUAGUAAAGUCCAUAAUUUUUUUUUCAAUUAAAGCCAUCAUGUGUCGCAAUGCAAUGUGACCUGUGAUGAAAAAUUAUAAAAAUAAAAAUCAAUAAAAGUUACAGAAAAAUUAAAAAAUAUUUCUUUUGGUACAAUAAUUUUUAUAAUUUUUUUAUAAAUUUUAUAUUUUUAAAUUUUUAUAAUUUUCUUACUAUUUUAUAAAAUUUUAUAACUUUUGCAUUUUUUUAUAAUUUUAAAUAUUUUAUAAUUUUUAAAUUGUUUAUAAAUUUUAACUCUUUUUUAUUAAAAUUUAAUAAUUUUUUAACUUUGAUUUAUUUUUAUUUUUUUUAUAUUUUUUUACAUGUCACACUAUAAUUGUGACCUUUAGUGUUUUACCAAAAUAUUAGGAGUGGUUAAUUUUAACAUUCAACCGCUAAAAUUAACAAUCACAAGACUUUUAACAGUUCAAAUAUUCAAUUGGAUAAAAAAAUUUAUUAUUUAAUAAAAUAUAUUAAAAUAAGGGUUUCGACUCAAAUCAUGAUGAAUUGAGCCAUCGAACUUGAGAAAUUAAAAUGUGAACAGAAAUGGGCUCUUCAAAAACCCUUACCCGAGCCCAAGAAGAUCCCCCAAAAACCUUCAACUUAUAACCCUAAUUUGCCUCUCAACUACACUAUAAAUCCUAUCUUCAACAAGACUCAUUCAGCAUUUAUAUCUUCUAAAAAACCCUUCGUUCGUCUAAGGUUUCUCUUUAGAAAUUUUCUCUUCGCAGAGAGUAAUUUUUGCCUUCAUUUUUUUUUCUCUUUAUUUUCCCAUUUUCAAUCUGGGGUUUUUUCCAAAAUGAGUUAAAAAUCCAAUCUUUACACUAGAUGUGAACCCUAAUCACAUUUAUUUUAUCUGGGUUUUGAAUAAAAUCUACACUUGUUUGUAUACUUAUGAAAUAAAAGAACCAUUUUUAAUGCUUUGUUUCUUAACAAGAGUGCAGAAAUAAAAAGCUUGAUUUUUUGCUUCUUUUAAAACAAAGAAACCAAGGAUUAAGCAGCGGCCAGACAACCGUAGCGAUGAUAUCCACAGAUGAAGGGCUAAUUUCUUCUUUAAUCCCUUUUUUGUCUACUGAUUCCAUCUCACAUUUCGUUUUUUAAGUUUUUAGGGUUCAUCACUUUUGAAUUGAUUGAAAAAGCUCUAAUCAAAGUUGAAACUUGGUUAAAAAAUGGGUUUUUUUAUAUGAUUUUACCAUUUUCAAUGCUUUUUUUUUAUGUUUUUUCAAUUUGUAAAAUCAAAUGAGAAACAAUCUCAAAAAAGAAAAAACGACAUUAAUCUAUCAAUCAAUCAAACUGAUUUUGAUUUGAUCAGAUAAAAAAUCAUUAAAUAUCAUAUUCAUGGGAAUUGCAGAGGUUUACUGUUGUAAUUCUUACGAUAUUUUAUCAGAUAUAUUUUACAUCUUAAUAUAUCAUUAAUAUAAAGUCAAAUUUUUUUAACAGGUUAUAUUUUGAUAUUAGUCCCUAUAUUUUGUUGAAGUUAUGAAUUUAGUCUCUAUAUUUUUUAAAUUUUAAUAUUUUAGUCUUUAUUAAAUGAUAAUUGUUAAAAGUUAAAGUUUUGUUAUUUUUAAAAUCUAUUGCAUCAAACAUAUUAUCACAUGCUCAAUGUCAUGUCAACUUGUUAUUUUCAUGUAUUCUUUACUAAAAAUUUAAGGGUAAAUUAUCAAAAUAGUCACUUUUGUUUGACUCAGGUUACAUUUUAGUUACUUACGUUUGAAAUGUUACGUUUUAGUCACUUAUGUUAUCACGUUGUAACAUUUUAGUCACUGAGCCGUUAGUUUUUGUUAACGGUGCAACAGUAAACUGAUGUGGCACGUUAAAUCAUCAUUUCAAACAAAAAUUCUAGGUUAACUUAUACAAUCGGUCCUCAUAUUUUUUCGUUUUGAGCAAUUUAAUUUUUUUCUUUUAUGUUUUUUUUAACUUUCUUUCUUUUCCAUUCUCUUAUGCUUCUCUCUUUGUUUUCCUCCCUUCUCCAUUUCUUUCAACGUAGUUUUUCUAUGUUUUAUUUUUUUGAACAAUUUAAUUUUUUCGAGUGAGGCGAGCUUGUGGACUAGUUACAAAUGGAAAGCAUAGAAAAACUAUGUUAAAAGAAAUAAAGAAGGGAGGAAAAUAGAGGGAGAAGAAUAAGAGAAUGGGAAAAAAAGUUAGAAGAACAAAAAAGAAAAUUUUUAAAUUGUUGAAAAUGAAAAAAUAUAGGAACCAAUUGUAGAAUUUAACCUAAAAUUUUCGUUUGAAAUGAUGAUUUAAUGUGCCACAUCAACUUAUCGUCCAUUGUCGACAAUUAACGACUCAGUGACUAAAAUGUUACAACACGAUAACGUAAGUGACUAAAAUGUAACAUUUCAAACAUAAGUGACUAAAAUGUAACCUGAGUCAAACAAAAGUGACUAUUUUGGUAGUUUACCUAAAAUUUAAUUAAUAGAUUAACAACUGUUAUUUGAGUCGAAACUAAAAUAUAAAAAAUUACGACUUAAACUGAUCCAAUUAAAACAUAUGGACUAAAUCUACAACUGUGCUUACAAUACAUAAUUAGCAAUUGAAUUUAAACAAUUAGAUUUAACAAUAACUAUUUGUGUUAAAAGACUAAAAUUUAAAAAAGUACAGAGAGUAAAUUUGAAAUUUUGACCAAUUUGAAAAGUACAGAGACUAAAACUAACUAAAUUAAAGUACAAUGACUAAAUCCAUAAUUUUUAUAAAGUACAAGGAUUAAUAGAAAAUUGUAACCUUUUUAAUAAAGUAAUUUUGAUUUUUAUUAAUUUAUUUAUAUCUUUUGCUUUUGUAAAUAUAAUAUUUUUAAAUAUUAUUUUGAUUUUUUAUUAUUUUUCAAAAGUUUUUACUUUUAGAAUGAAUGGUCUAAUUUAACCUUCAGUCCAAUUCUUACAAAAUUGAUAAACACUAACAAUGCAUAAUUUAAUAAAACUUUUCAAGUAAUUUAUAAAAAAACACUCAAAUUAAGUAAAUUAAACACACAUUUCAUUUUAAAUUAAAAUUAUAAAUAUUUAUGUGUUAAAAAAUAAAAAUAAAGUAUCAUCGAAGCUGCGGGCUGCAAUCUUCCCAAGCAACUUCAGCCCCCAUUACUUCCCCACUCUUUUUUUUCUCUUUUUACCAACACUCAGAAAAUCAAAAUUUUACCACACUUUCCCUCAUUUUCCCGGAAAAUAAAAUAAAGAUAUUAAAACCAAACAAAAAUCCAAAAAAGGAACUCGGUGAAGAUUUAGAUUUAGACCCUGAAAUUUUUGCCAGUGAAAGUUUGACCAAAUUGCCAAUGAGAAGGGACAAUGUUCCACGAAGUAGAGGUCCGAUGGUCGCUGCCGGUGACCCUAGACGACAGAGAUUGGCCGACUAAAACGGCGUUGGAUUGCCAGUUUUGGCCUCAGUUUCGGCUCAUGCUCAUCCACUCCGUUUUCGACCCUUUAAUGCUUGCUUUCACGAUAUCGCCGGCGCCGGCCACGUUUGUGAUUAGGACCAAGUUGAAGUAUCGGAAACCGUUGAUUGUGAAUCUGAUUCCUCCUCGUUUCUGGCAUGGCACCCUGAAGAAUCAUACGAAAAAGGAAAUGAAGAUUGGGUCAAAUCUAUUGACACUAAUUGUUGAAGUUCGAAAAUCGGUCUAAUAUUUAAGAAGGUAAAAGCGUUUGAACGGGAUGAGAUCAUCUCAACAUAUUGGUUAGACCGCGAAUCGAUUAAAAUAUCGGAGAAAGUAACUUGAUCAAUUAACUCGAAACUAAUACAAAUCAAGAAAAUUACUAGACAAGUUAACUCGGGAUUUGAUACAUCUAAGUUUGAUUUUUAUUAUAUAUAAUUUUAAUUUCGGUUUUAAAAAUAAAAAGCUAAGGGAAUAUACCUUCUAAAAUAGAGAAUAAAAGGGGCGCAACUGGCUAAUCCUUUGUUCUAUUGGCUAUUGCUAAUGCCUUGGAAGUUGAAAGUGUACCUUACUUUGAUUAGUGAAUGGCCGAAUAUGCUUACAAGAAUAAAUUAAGAAAUUCAACGUGGCUUAACAUACAUUUGUAUUUACUGUCACAUGAAUUUGGAUAACAACGAUUGAGAUGGAGAGAAAAAUCAUAUCCAAUUAUGUUUAACACUAGCAUUACGUACAUAAGCUCACACCGACUGAAGAAAACUUUACAUAUACAAGUAGAAGAAAUUUCCGAAUGAACAAAGUCAGUCUUCGCAUCCUAGUUGUUGUUCCAUUCAAUCUCUGUAUGCCCAAAAGAAAAUGAGAGAAAACAAUUACUACGACUAAUGACAUUGUUGAUAACAGGAAAUAUCAUUGUCAGAGAAUUCAAGACUCAAGAGGGAGCAUAUAUAAUUAAUCUAUACUAUAUUACCAUACAUAUGCCCUCAAAUAUUUUUAAAAUUAAUCGUUCAAAUCUAAAUAUAUAUUUGAAAAGAGUAUACGAUAUUAUAAAGGAUCGUAAAAAUCGAAAUAAUAUUUAAUUCUAUAUCGUCUUCUAGAAAGAACAUGAGCUAUGGUGAUAAAAUAUUCGAAUUAUUCCUCUAAUCUCAUUUAUAUCAUAAUUUAAAUUUGAAGAACUUACGAGUAUCGAUGAGAAAACCCACAGGGUCUUUAAUGAGGGAGUUGUUUUAAUUUCUUGACUUAAAUUCAUUGAUUCUAAGGAAGCCUUUACAAACAGACAUAAUUAUUAAUUGAUCCAAUUUCAACAGCAUAAAGUAGGAUCAUAGGAUAAGGGCUUAGACAGAAACAACUUUAUUCUUUUUCUUUUAUGAGCGAAUCCAAAAAUUUUAUGUUGGGAGUUGUUUUUCCGCAAGUGGUGGGAACGGGCAUCAAUUAUUGCUUAAAAGUUAAGCUUGUAAUUUACAAUCAAGGCAUCCAUCAUUUUCUUCAUCCUGGUUAAUGAUAAUUCGAGAUAAAUGUUCCAUUUCCAGUUAAAAUAAAAAUUUUCUCAAGUUAAUUGUUUGAGGAGUAAAUUUAAAAAUAAUAAUAAGAUUGUUUUCUAAAUUAUAAAAAUAAAGAUACAUCAAAAUUAAAAUUUUAAAAAUAUAAAAAUUUUAAAAAUUAACAUAGAAUACACAUAGAUUGCUAUGUAGGUUGUCGUGUUUAAAAAUUUAACAUUUUAAUUAGUAUUCUAGUUUUUUUUUAAAAAAAACAUCAUUUCAGCUCUUUUUCAAAACUAAUAAAUAAGAUUAGAAAACUAAAAAUCGAAUAAAGAAUCGAAUUUAACUAGAUGUUGAGGCUUGUUUUACACAGUUUCCUUAACACAAAUUUGUCCGCUUCUACGGUACUUGGAGAAACAUUGGUCGACUGUCUCCCAUGAUACAAUAACACGAUGACUGAAAUAGCAUCACCUUUACAUGAAAUUGGCUGAUAUUAUGACGAUACUAGGUAGCAUAGAUAUCAUUAUGGGAGAAGUGGAUCGUUGAAAUGAUAAUUUAUACGACAGAAGUAGAAUAUAUCAAUUCCUUUUACACAUUGGAAUCUUUAAAAGAGGUCUAUGGGAUCAUAUGGAUGUUGGUCCCUAUUUUGACUCUUGUUUUGGGAAUCACAAUAGGUGUACUAGUAAUUGUAUGGUUAGAAAGAGAAAUAUCUGCAGCAAUACAACAACGUAUUGGGCCUGAAUACGCCGGUCCUUUGGGCAUUCUUCAAGCGCUAGCAGAUGGAACAAAACUGCUUUUCAAAGAAAAUAUUUUUCCAUCUAGAGGCAAUACUCGUUUAUUUAGUAUUGGACCGGCUAUAGCAGUCAUAAGAGACCAAUGAACAAACCUUGCAUUUUUCUGUCACCGGAACGUUGGAAAAUAUAGAGAGGAAAAGAGAAGAAUUUUCGAGAGCAAAAUAAACUUGGUUUUAGAGAGUCUUUUAGUGUAAAAAAUUUGAAGAAUUCUUAAGCAUUCAAGAUGGAGGAAUUUUGGAAAUAUCCAUAAUUAAAUAUAUAAAAUUUGUAUUAAAUGAGCAAUUAAAUCAUAAUAUAUGUCUUUUUUAAAUUAGAUUUUAUAUAUAUUUGCUGAGAAAAAUAAAUUUUGUGUUGGGCUUAAAAUAUCUAUCCCUUUUUGGGCCUGACCAGUUUAGACAUUUCACGUUGCCUACGUCGUGCGAGUGCGCUCCAACCCCGAUGGGUUUGGAUCUACACCCCUGCGCGUGAGACAAAGUUUCAAACUUAGUCAUUCAAUCAUCCUUCAAGUGGGUUCUCAUAUAUAGAGACAUCUCACACUUGGUAUUCAAUCAAUGUGAGAUCUAAGCUUUUCUUUUCCUCAACAAAUAUUCACAAGUAACUUACUUUGAGCAUUAAUUUCUCACUUAUCACUCAACCAUUUUGAGCAUACGAUAUACUGUUGUAAAGAUAUCAUUGAGUAGAAUAUAAAAUCAUAAUUUUAUGAUUCAAUUCUCCACCUUUACCAAUUGAGAAUAUGCUUUAAAGUUUCCAAAAAUUACAAUUUUUUCAACAUUUUAUACAUCUAUUUUAAAGGCAUAAUUGAGCCAAGUAGAGCCCGAAUAAUGACAAGUUGAACUUGACUCGAACAUCACUUUUUAAGGUCAAUCUUGAUUUAGAACAUAAUUGAGUUGAUUAAGCUCGUUUAUCAAUUUUUAUAAUCAAACCCAUUCAUAAUUAAGCUCUUUCUAUAUAUCAAGGAUAAAAAUGUAACUUCAUAAAUAAAAAUAUAUUUAAAUGGAAUGCUUAAUUAGGUUUGUGGCCUACUUGAAUCAAGUAUUACAAUAUUUAAAUUCGACUCAACCAAUAGCUCGAGCUCUACUCAAUAAUUUUCAAUAAAAUUUUGAGAUUUUUUGAAUCCAACUCGAAUUGCUUGCAAAUAUUAAUGUAUCACUUAUGCUUUUAAUUUUAAAUUUACAUUUUUAAUUCUUAAAAUAUUAUUAAAACCCAAUCAAUUGAAGGCUUUGUAGAAAGUGGUGGCAAAGUGCAUCCUUUACUUUAGGUCUCACUAUAUCUAAAAAGAAAUUAAUGCGAACCGUAGAAAGUGGUAGGAAUGUGCAUCAUUAUUGCUUUAAAAGAAUUUAAAUCUUUAAACGGAUAGAAUUAAAUUUUCAUAAUUUGGAGGAGUUAAAGUGUACUUCUUUUUACUAUUUUAAAAUUUUAAAAUUUUAAAAUUUUUUAAAGAGUUAAAAUAACAUUUUUUAUUUUAAGAGGGCCGAGCUCCCUGUCAACCUCUAGAUUUACCUCCGUAAAUUUCAAAAUUCAGUUAAAUUAUGUUAUUUUGAAUAAAACGUUAAUUGAUAAAGAAAUUCUUUUAGUUUCAAAAAUUCAAUUUUUCUGUUUUAAAAAAAUAUAUAUUAAAAUUUAAAAUUUAAAAUAUUAAAGUAAUAAAAUUUAAAUAUAUCAAUGUCUUUUUGAUACAUGCAUGAAUGGGGUGAAACUUAUUAGAUUCCAAUCAUCAAAACUGCCAAUUUUCAGGCUCGGAAAAUCAGCAGACUUGCGGCGACUGGAUCCUGGUAUUUUUGGGUUGAGAUGUCUCAUGGCGUUUAAAGAUCUAUCUCUUAGCUUUGAAACGCAUUUUGAAUAACUCGAUUUUGAGUUCGGGAGCUCAAGUUAUGACCGUUUUAGUGAAGACUACGCGAGAAGAAUUUCUGAACGGGAUUAUGACGGGAAUUACAAAUUUCGGGCUUUUAAUUCGAGUUUAAAUCAUAUUGGAUUCGGGUUUUAGACUUAAUUUUUAUUAUAUAUGAGCCCAAUAUUAUAUUUGUCAGAUCUUAUUAUUUUAUUAUUAUUUUAUUCUAAUUUUUUUUAUAAUUAUUAAGUAUUUUAAGUUAUUAGAGUUCUAGUAUUUUAAGCUAUAAAGGCCAGAAAAAUGUAUUCUUGGGGGUGAUUUUUGAAGGUAAAAAAGCAACAGAAAAUCAAUACAAAAUAAUCAAAAAUUUCAAACAAAAAAAGAGAGAUUUAGAAGGUAGUUUUUUUUUCUCUGUUUUUGUUUGUUUUAUUUAUUAUUUUUUCUUUCUUUUUCUAAACAGAAACACAGAAAAUAAAACGGGACCGAAAACUCACCUUUUUAGAGGGAGGGCUGAGAGAGAGUUGAGCAAGAAGAGAAGGAUUUUUUUUUUAAAAAAAUGAGGUUACCAAUGAUUUUUUAAAGUUUUUUUAAAUUAUAUAAACACCCCAAAACGACGUCGUUUUGAGUUUGGCUUCUGACACUUAAAACGGCGUCGUUUCACCCUUGACCCGCGUGCGACCUGACUCGCUCCAUGGGGAUCCUCGUGUUUUCAAUUUUUAGGCUAUUUACGCCUCUGGUCAUCCCGCGUUUUCCGGUUGUUUUAAUUUAGUCCCUUUUUUACUUUUUUUCUCUUUAUAUAUUUGGCCAUUGAUUUUGUGGCGUGUUUUAAUUUAGUCUCUGGCUCGCUAAAAAGGACGCGUGUCAAGGAGAUCGGGUUAUUUUCCCAUUUGGUUCUCGUUUGUUUUCGGGCCUUUCGAAUUAGUCCUUUGUUCUUUUUUUAUCUUAAUUUAUCCUGCUAAUUUAAUUUGAGUAGCAAUCGGGUCCUUUAUUCAUUUAUUUUUGUGUAUCUUUAUUGUGUAUCUUUAUUUAUUUUGCUUUAUUAUUUUUACUUUAUUACUCCUUUUUAUAUAUUUGUUUAAAAUUGGAUUGUGUAUAUGUUUAUUAGUUUUUUUUUUCUUUUGGUUAUCAUUCUUUUACUUUUUAAAUAUUUAAAUCUAAUAUUAUGAACAUUUACUUUAUCUAUUUACUUAUUUAUUUAUUAUUCUUUUACUUUUCAAACGCUUAAAUUUAAUAUUAUUUACAUUUGUUUUAUCUAUUAUUCACUUAUUUUUUCUUUUACUUCUAAAGAAAUUUUAAAUUCGAUAUUAUUCGUAUUUGUUUUAUUAAUUUAUUUUUUAUAUUUCAAUUUAAUGAUAUUUGUUUUAUCUAUCCAUCAAUUUAUUAUAUAUAUAUAUAAUUAGAUACCACUUAUAUUCAUUAAGCAACUUUCAUUUUCAUUUAUAUUUUGAAUUAUUUUAUUUAUUGUGUUGUGGUGUUAUAAAUUGAUUUUUUUAUUAUUGCUAUAUUCACUGUUAUUGCCAUAGUAUUUGGUCAUUUAGUUGUCAUUUAGUAUCCUAAUAUAAAUCGUACUCAUAGUCAUAUCACAUUAUUUCAUUACCAUUGUAUUAUACACUAGGUUCACACAUAUUUAUCCAUUUUUUUAUAGACGAUGCCCGAAUUAAACAUGUAUGCCUUGUAAGUGUUACAUUAAUAUUUUAUUCGGUGCACAAAAAGAAAAUUAUUUUAAAUAAGUAAUAUUUCGUAUUUUAGAAUUCGUAAAUUCGUUCCUUAACUUACGGAGUUUCGAUCUUCUCGAUAAAUCUAAAUAAAUGAACCUUUUUUAAAAACAUAAGUUUUUAAAUAAUCUCAGGAAUUAAGAAGAGAUCGUGUUCUAACUUAAUGGAUAUGGUUUCAUUCUAAAACUGAGAUAAUCGAAUAUCUUUUAAAAUAAAUAAAUUUUCGGUGUUUAUUCUCGUUUCGAGGAUUUAAGGUAUUGCGUCCUAACUUACGGGAAGUAAUCCUUUUUCUCGAUUAACGUAAAAUAUUUUUUUGUAAAAAUUCAAUUAAGCGAUAUUGUAACAAAGGAUGGUAUUUUAAAUCUCUUUAAAGUUUUUAAUUUUCGACAUUAAAACAUUAAUUCAUCAAUUAGGUACCAAUUUUUGGCGAGACGAGUGUGCUAAUCUUUCUUCGCACAUAACCGACUCCCGAACCCGUUUUUCUUAAAUUUCAUAGACCAAAAUCAUUAUUUAAGUAAAAUCGAAACGUUUUAUUAAAAUGAUUAAAUUACAAGGUGAUCCGAUCACAUCUCGAAAAAAUAUCGGUGGCAACUCCAGUUUUUUCAUUUUCAUUUUUAAAAUAAAAGUAGACCCCUUUUGUUUCAAAAAUGGAGAAAGUGUGUUCCUAUCUUUUGUCAGCUUUACCAAAAGGGAAAAUAAUUGGCGAUAGAAUGUUGCUUUCUUUUGUCAACUUUUUAGCUGUAUCCACUAAAUGAUAAGAACUGCAUUCUCAAGUAUUUGUGUUUCUUUAGGAUUCUAUUGUUUACAUCUCAAUUUUUUUUUUACAUUGAGUUGCACUUUGUCAAAUUACUUCUCGCAUUACUCUGUUAAGAAAAUUAUCUUUUCGCUCGUUCGUAACUACGAGAACUAAUCGCUGAAUCCUUCUCUUAUUCGUUGGAAAGGUACGCCAUCUGCUUUCAUUUUGGUUGAUUUGGUCUUACUUCUUGGUUUACAGAAGCUUUACUUUUUGCUCAUUUGAUUUGUAACUUUUUCUUCUGAUUUUGUUUUAAUCUUUGUUGUCGCUGUGGUUAUUCAGUUUACUUCUUGUUUGACCUCUCAAUGGAGUCUGUUACUACCCUAGUUGGCUCUAUUGUCACUAAAGCUGUAGAGUAUACGAUCUCUCCUAUCAAAAACCAUGUCAAAUACCUUUCCAAUCAUCAGCAAUAUGUUGAGACCCUCAAGGACCGAGCUGAGAGGCUGAAAGAUGCAAGGGACAGAGUGCAGCAUUCUGUUGAUGCAGCUCAACGAAACGGUGAAGAGAUCGAAGGGGAUGUUGGCAAAUGGUUGUCUGCAGUCGACAAAAAGAUUCUUGAACAAGCAGAGAAAGUGAUGCAAGAUGAAGAAAAAGCAAAGAAAAAGUGUUUCAUUGGUUUGUGUCCUAAUUUCAGGACUCGUUACAAGCUUAGCCUGAAAGCCGAAGAGGAGGCAAAGGCUGUUGCCGAGCUACUUGAACAUGGCAAGUUUGAAAGGGUUUCCUAUCGUGCAGCUCCGCAAGGUAUCGUGGUUGCACCAGUUAAAGGUUAUGAGGAAUUCGAGUCAAGAACGUCCAUUUUCAAUGGAAUAAUGGAGGCACUAAAAGAUGAUAGCGUCAGCGUUGUUGGGGUGCAUGGUAUAGGUGGGAUUGGAAAAACAACGCUGGUCAAAGAAAUUGCUAGAAAGGUCAAGGACAAGUUGUUUGAUUCGGUUGUCAUAGCAACCGUAACUCAAGCCAUCGAUAUUGAGAAGAUUCAGAACCAAAUUGCAGACUUCUUGGGCUUGAAAUUUGAGGAACAGAGUAUGGUUGGAAAGGCAUUUCGACUACGAGAAAGAUUGAAGAAAGAGGAGAGGAUUCUGGUUGUCUUGGAUGACAUUUGGGGAAAGGUUGAUAUUGAGGAAGUAGGGAUUCCUUUGGGAGAUGAACACAAGGGCUGCAAAUUACUAUUAACUUCUAGAGAGCUCAAUGUUUUAUCAAAUGGGACGGAUGCUCAGAAAAAUUUUCCCAUUGGGUUUUUAAAUGAAAAGGAAGCCUGGGACCUGUUCAAGAAGAAGGCUGGCGACUGUGAUGAAAGUUGCGAUUUGAAGCCUAUAGCUAUGGGGGUAGCCAAAAAAUGUGCAGGACUGCCGAUAGCUAUUGCGACAGUUGCAGGGGCUUUGAGAAACAAAAGAUUGUUUGAAUGGAAGAAUGCUUUACGAGAACUGGAGAGGCCUUCGUCAAGCAACUUCACGGGGAUAACUGCGGCAUAUUCAGCUAUAGAGUGGAGUUUUAAUUAUUUAGAAAGCGAGGAAGUUAAGCGGACUUUCUUGCUUUGCAGUGUAAUAGGCCAUAAUGGUCUCGUUGAGGACUUGGUAAGAUACACUCUAGGUUUGGGUUUAUUUGAUGGUGUCAACACUAUGGAAGAAGCUAGAAAUAAAGUAUUGACGGUUGCGGCUAAUCUCAAAGCGUCUGCCUUGUUGCUUGAUAGUUAUAAUGAUAAGCGCUUUGAUAUCCAUGAUGUUGUUUGGGAUGCUGCUAUAGCUAUUGCAUUGAAGGACUACCGUAUGCUUGUUUUGAGAGAUCAUGCUCCAAAGGAGUGGUCCGAUAAGGAGAAAAUGAAGACGUGGAGUGUGAUCAGCUUACGUUGUCCUCAGAUUAUAGCUAACCUUCCUAAGGAGAUGGAGUGCUCAGGACUUUCCUUUUUCCACAUGGCCUAUAAUGGCGCGGUUAAAAUUCCUCUCAAUUUCUUCAAACAAACCGUAGGCCUGAAAGCCUUAGAUUUGGUCGGAAUGCAGUUUCCAUCCCUCCCUGAAUCAAUUAUUCACCUUGCAGAGCUUCACAUGUUGUGUCUAAAAGGAUAUGCAGUUGAUGACAUAACCAUCCUUGGAGAGCUCAAGAGUUUAGAAGUACCCAACCUUUCUCGCUUAGGUAUCAAAGAACUACCUAAGGAGAUGGCACAAUCGACUCAAUUAAGGUUGUUAGAUUUGCGUGGGUGUAGAGAACUCAAAAUCAUCCCACCGAAUGUCUUAUCAGGUUUGUCUAAAUUAGAAGAAUUAUAUAUGAGUAGGAGCUUUGUUGAAUGGGAAAAGGGAGGAGUAGUUGAAAAUGAGAGGAAAAAUGCAAGCCUUGAUGAAUUAAACAAUUUGCCUUGUCUAACUACUUUAUAUGUUGAUAUUCUUGAUGUCCAAAUGAUACCAAAACACCGGUUUGUAGAAACAUUGGACAGAUUCAGGAUUUUCGUAGGUAAUUAUGGAGGAUAUAAUUGUUGCCAGAAUUAUGAAUCUCCGAAAGCAUUGAAGCUCAAGUUAUAUACAAACAUUGAUUUGGACAAUGGGAUGAAAAUGUUGUUGAUAAAGACAGAAGAUUUGUGCCUAGAGGGACUUGAAGGCGUCAAGAAUGUACUUGUGGAGUUAAAUAAUGGGAAAGAUCUUUCAAAUUUAAAGAGAUUUCAUGUCAAAAAUGGUAGGCACGUCCAACAUAUCAAAAUGAACAAAAUUGGAUUUUCUGAAUUAUGCUUCGUUAAACUUGAAAAUCUACCGCAACUCGUUAGCUUUUGCUCUCCAGACGAAAGGUGUUCCACUAAGCCCUUAUUACUUUUCAAUAAACAGGUAUUUGUUUGGCUUUACUUAUAUUUUCUUAUACUACUUUUAUUUAUAUGCCCAUUAAUACUUCUAAUAGUAGAAAUAAAUAAUAUUGUGUAAUGGUUUCUCCGGAGCUCAAAAAUAAAUUUCAAAUCCAAAACAAAUUAAAAUUUAAUUUUUAAUCCAAACCGAUUCAAAAUCAAUUCAAUAAUCUAAAUUUAAAUCCAACAAUUUUUUUUAAUUCUGAGAAUAAAAUUUGAGCCCACAAAUCGAACUAAAAUUAUCUUUAAAAUAAAAAAUCAUAUUUUCAAAUUAUGUUACAUACUAUCUUUCCCUAUGGAAAAAGAAUUGUGUAAAUAUGUGCAAUUUAUUUUCCCUCACUUGGAAAGCUUGUAAUUGUGUUCCAUUAACACGAAAAGAAUAUGGCACAACCAGACAUGUCAUUGGGUUACGAAUUUGAGGAGCUUGAUCAUCAAAGGAUGCGGCAAGUUGGAGCAUCUGUUAUCACCCUCUCUCGCUAGAAGUCUGGUGCAGCUCCAAUGCUUUGAGAUAGAGGAUUGCAAUUGCUUAAGGGACAUAAUACUUACAGAGGAAAUUGAAGAAGCAAGGAAAGAUGUGAUUUGUUUCCCUCGAUUAAACUCCCUGCAUAUAGAUCGUCUUCCAAACCUCAUCUUCUUCAACUCAGGAAACCACAAUAUUGAGUUCCCAUUGUUGAAAGUGCUAAAGAUUCAGCGUUGCCCCAAGUUAAUAGAAUUCAUUAGUCAGAAUAGUAAUCAGUCCGGCAUGCACGCUCUCUUCAGUGAGAAGGUGAUUUAUUUCAUUAGUCUUACAUUCUUGCAUAAAUCUGUUGAUUUGUCCUUGUUUUUUUUUCUGCCUUCAUUAUUUGAGCUAACCUUAUCAUGGGCAUGGAUUAUAUAUAUAUAUAUAUAUGAAUAUAUAUGAAUAGGUUGCAGUUCCUAGCUUGGAAGACAUCAAUAUCUGGGACUUGAGUAAUGUGAAGAUGAUAUUUUAUAAUGACCUAGCACCAGGUUCCUUUAAAAAUAUACGAAAAAUAAAUGUUUGGGGAUGUGGGAGUUUGAAAAAUCUAUUUCCAGUAUCAAUAGCCAAAGAUCUUCCACAACUUGAACAUUUAAGCAUCACUGAUUGUGGAGUUGAGGAGAUUGUAUCGAAAGGGGAUGGAGUGGAGGAGCAGCCUGUGAGGUUUGAGUUUCCGCAAGUAUCUUUCCUUGAGGUUACAUGGGUAGAAAAGCUCAAAUGUUUCUAUGAAGGGCAACAUACAAUAGUCUGGCCGAUGUUGAAAAAAUUGAGAACAGAUAGUUCUGCUUUGCUAAAGAUAGUGGCAUCGGAACAUCUUAGAUUAAUCCAAGGAAAUAAGCAGCCAGUUUUGUUGGGUGAAGAGGUAUGUAUAUCAUUACAACUAUAUUUCAUUUUAUGAUUUAAACCACUGCCACAAGCAUCUCAAGUUGAAAUAUGCCACGAUAAUGCAUUUCUAAUUUUUAUAUUUUGUUUUAUUUGGAUUUUUUUUUCGUAUUUUUGAAUUUUCAAUAUAUAUUUUAAAUUUUUUGUUACAUUUAUAAUUAUUUUUUCAUUUUUUUUAAAAACAAGACUGAAUAAACAUAAUAAGUAAAUAUUGAGUGAAUGCAAUUCAAUUUAAUAAAAUGUAUAAAUAUUGAGAGUUAAAUUUAUUAUUAUGUAAAAAAAAAGCUUAAAAAAAUGAAAAUAUUUUAUUUGUUUUUAAGUAUCCAAAAUGAAAAUAUUUUAACACUAAGUGACUGUAUAUGUAAUUUACCCUGCAUUUAAGUAGUGGGUCAAAACUAAAUAGAACGUUUAAUUUGCUAAAAACAAUUGCCACUCAAUAAAAAAUCAAAACUUUAAAAGUUAAUUACACUAGACAUCUCAAACUAUGACCUUCAUUUUAAAUUAGUCUUAAAAUUUAAAAUAUUCUAAUUACAUUCUUAAACUAUUGAGGUUAUAUCAAUUACGUCUUUCUCUUAUUAAAUUCGUUAAUUUAACCAUCAAAUUAAAUCAAUGUAAUAUUUUAAAACCUUGGUGUUUUAUCUCCACUAUUCUGCUUAUAUUUUUUGUCAUAGAAAAAUAUAUAUAUAUAACAAUGGUUGUUUAUCUAUUUUAAUCUAGAUUUGCUACUCUUCUUUCGGCUUUCAUGUUCUGUAAUUUUUAUCAGUUUUUAUUCUCAAGGUAUUGUGUUUUCUUAAAACAAAAAAUUCAUCUACUCUGGAUUCAUUUGAUUUAAUAUUGAUUUUGUUGGGAUUUAAUCAUCAAAAUCAAACACUAAAAUUGUAAAUCUCUUUUUUUUGUUUGUUUGUUUUUUUAAAGCAUAUACAUCAACAUUGAGCCUAACUUGUAUAUGUUUAAUUGGUUUCCAAGGUCAUUCCCAAAUUAGAGGAACUUGAGUUACGAAAUUUUGGUGAUAUGGACCAAUUUCCACCAGACUUGUUUCAACAUAUUAAAGUUUUUGCACUGAGUGGUGGCUCUCCAUUUUCUUUGUUUCCUUUCGUCCGAAGAUUCUACAAUCUGAAAAGACUUGAGGUUUCUAAUUUUGAUUUCAAACAUGUAGUCCCUUGUAAAGGAGACGUCGGGACUCUCCCAUCAAUUAGAAAUCUGAAAUUGGUUUCUGCCAGAAAUCUUAAGCGUAUUUGGAGGAAAGAUUCGGAGCUUGACCAUAUUCUUUCUGAUCUUCAAACACUCACAAUUCACAAUUGUGAUGAUUGGAUAAACAUUAGAGUCUUCUCAUCAUCUUUACAAAAUCUCACAAUUUUGAAUGUGUCACUUUGUAAAAUGAUGACAAACUUAGUUACACCCUCAGUACUUCAGAAUCUUGUGCAAUUAACGACAAUGAUCGUAAGAGGGUGCACUAAAAUGACAGAAAUAGUGGGAAACGAGGGAGACUGUCAUCAGACAAUAGUUGUUAGUAAAUUGAAAUGUUUACAACUAUGCAAUUUGAAGAGCCUCACAAGCUUUUGUCCAUGGUAUUACAACUUCGAGUUUCCUUGUUUGGAAGAAUUAGUUGUGGAACAUUGUCCUUGGUUAAAGAUCUUUUCUGAGGGAGUUUUAAGCACCCCACAAUUACAGAGAAUAAAACAGUCGCAUUACGGUGAGAAAUGGAGUUGCAAGUGAGAGUGGUGAUGCAAGUGAAAGCGUGGUUGGCGAAGGGGGCAUCUAUGAUAACACUGCAACUUUUUUCAGCAAUAAGGUAAGUUUGGUAUUCAAUAUUUAUCUGCACAACUUAUUUCACAUUUUCUUUUGAUUUGAUCAACAUGAGUGUGUCUGGUCUAUAUAUACAUACUAGUGCUACACCUUGUCAAAAUUGAAUAUAAUAAAAUCCAUAAAAAUAUUAAUAAAUAAGACAAUAUUUAAAAGAAAAACUGGAGUUUAAAAGUAUAAAUAAAUAUAUAAAAUAAGAAUUGAAGGAAAAACUUAAAGUGAAAUACUAAAAAACAAUAAGAAUUUAAGAGAAGUUUAAAAUUAAAUAGUAAUAGACAAUAAAUAAUAAAAUAACAAUAGAAAAAAGAAAACUAAUCUUCCUUUAUUUUAAUUUGUGGGUGUAUAAGAAGGAGAUAAUUGUGGAAGACCUUCACAAAGGUCAUUUGAGAUCAAAGGAGAAGAAGCAUGAAAACAAAAGGUGAGGAGUUUGAAGAAGAAAGAACCAAAUAUAUGGGUUUGAUUUAAAGAUUUAAUGUUUUUUUUUUAAUUUCAUAUAUAGAAAAAAUCAUUGAAAGAAAAAAAAAGUUCAAUAUAAUUACUUAAAUUUACCUGUCGGUUUUUAUAAAAGUAACUUAAAUUUUUGAUUAAUUAUGAAAAUGACUCAAUUUAAAAAUUAUGUACAUAAAUUAUUCGAUUUCUAUAGUGUUUGUCGGUGCCCCCAGACACAAUGGCGAUAUCAGACUGAAGUGUGAUUAUAUAAAAUGAUUGUAUUUAUGUACAUAAUUUUUAGUAGUGUUGUUGGAAAAAUUGGCGAUAUCAGACUGAAGUGUGAUUAUAUAAAAUGUUCAUGGACUUAACGAAGUAAUUACCCUUUUUUAAUUAGCGGAAAAAGGGGUCUUCCGGUGAAUAUGGGGCACCAAAUUAAAUGAUUUUCAUCUUUUGGUCUAUUUGCAUGUUUCCCUUUUUGAAAUUAAAUUUAGAUAACCCUUAAGAAAUAUAAGAAUAACAAAAAGAAAUCAUUCUCAUUUAUUUUAUUUUAUUUUUAAAAAAUAAACUUAAAAAAUUAUAUAAAAUGCUUAUUUAAAUUACCCAAAUAUAUCCCUCACACAACUUCCUCAAGUUUAUCUAAAUUCAAGCAUUUUCAAUUCAUUCCCUAGAAUAUUUAAAUUUAGAUAAACUUAAGGAAAUUUUUUGAGGAAUAUAUUUGGGUAAUUUGAAUAAGAAUUUUAUAUAAUUUUUUAAGUAUUUUUUUUCAAAAAAAAUGAAAAUGUUAUAGUUUUGUUAUUAUUAUAUUUUUAAGUGCUAUUUAAAUCUAACUUCAAAAGAGGACAAACGUAACAUGCAAAUAGGUCAAAUGUUGAAAAACAUUUAAUUUGGUUCAGAUACCAACGACACCCCUUUUUCAACCAAUCUAAAACCGUUAACCGCUUCAAAAGAUCCCUGCACGUUUUAUAUAAUCACAUUCAGUCUGGUGCCGUCAAUUUAUUAGGCAAAACCACUACAAUCUUUUUUAAAAAGCAAUCAUUGGCUGAUGAUGGAGGUCAAUGCAAUAAGCACGAUAGAUAUCAAGUCAUUUACGUAUAUGAUUUUUAAGUUGGAUCAUUUUCGUAAUUAACCAAAAAAUUUUGGUUACUUUUAACUGCCUAGUUGAUAUGUGAAUAUUAACCUUUAGAUCAGUUUAUAAAUCUUCAUACUCAUCUACUCAUUUUGAUUGUCUUUCAAAGUACAGAAGGAAGACUGAUACUAUCUUAUAAUAAUAUUUAUGUCAACAGGUUGUCGUUCCUCGUUUGGAGCGUCUGGAUUUGUCCUCGAUCAACAUUCAUAAGAUAUGGCACCACUCAUCCUCCCCAUCUAUCGGAUACCUAAAUUUCUUGCGGGUGAAGAGGUGUCACAAUUUGAAAUACCUGUUCCCGUUUUUCUUAGCAAAAGAUCUUGAGCAACUCCGAUUCCUUGGAAUUUUGGACUGUAAUAUGAUGGAACAAGUAAUAUUCACGGAUGGAUUGGUUGAGGAACAUCAAGGGAGGAAUCAGAUGUUUUUCUUUAAUCUACAUUCGCUGUGGCUAAACGACCUUCCCAAAACUCACAAGUUUGUGCUUUGAAAAUUACUUUGAAUUUCACUGUUUAGCAGAUUUAACACUAAGAAAUUGUCCAUUGCUAAAAACAUUCAUCUCUAAAUGUGUACCCGGAGAUGAACCUCAAAUUGGCCAACAUGUACAGGCAAGUAACUUGGAGGUUCAUAACUCAUCUCUCCUCAAUGAAAAGGUAAUUUCUUCAAGGAUCCUCCUUUUAAUUUAUGUUACUUCGAUUGAUUUUAUUCAUUUGAAGUUCUUUCUUUUUCAUACAUAUUUCAGUUAUUAGCCUAAUGAAAUGAUUUAUUAGAUUGUUUUCUCUAGUUUGAAGUACUUGUCGAUUCAGAAUUGUGAUUCGUUAGAAGAAAUUAUUGAGCUGGAAGGACUCAUUGCUGAUGAGUCACAGUCAACAUCAGCUGCUCAAUCUACUGUGGCUGAAACAGUGACGACCAAGUUUGUAUUUCCCAAACUAAUAAACCUUGGAUUGGAUAAGGUGCCAAGAUUGAAAAGUUUCUACUCUAGGAUGCAUACCACCCAGUGGCCUUCAUUGAAACGAAUGAGCAUUAUUGAAUGCCCCAAAGUACAGAUAUUUACUCGACAAUGUCCUGUGAGUCAGGUUGGAAUCUCAAACCAACAACCCUUGUUUUGCGUCAAUAAGGUAAGCUCACGAACAGUUUCAUAUUCCAUGAUCAUUACUUGAGAUUACCUAUAAAAUGCUUUUUGAAAAAACUAAUAUUCUCUCCUCUUUUAAUUUUAUGAGAGUCUAGUUCUUACUAAUUUAAAACUCUUUCAUCGAUGUCUAAUAUAUUCGUUGCCAUCCAGGACACUUUCCCUGUAUUAGAAGAACUAACACUGAAGACGAAUGAUAUGGGGAAGGGGAUAUGUGAUGGACAACUCUCAUUGCAGUGUUUCCAAAACCUUAAGCAUCUUAACCUCCAAUUCUUUCCUGAGACAUCCACUACUCUUCCGUAUUCCUUCAUUCGGUCACUACCAAUGCUUCAUAAGCUUGUUAUAGACAAUGCUUCCAUUUGUCAAAUAGUACAAUCUGAAGGACUCAGCGACCAGGAAUGGCAUACAGCAGCAUUCUAUCAGCUAAAGGAAUUAAGUUUGUCUCAACUUCCAGAGUUGACGUUAAAGACUUUUGAACCAUCAUUGCUGUCUUUCAAAAAUCUAACAACACUGAAAGUUUCAAGAUGCCAUGGGUUCAUCAAUUUAAUCGCAUGCUCAACAGCUAAGUGCCUGAGGCUACUGGAAAGUUUGAGCAUAGAUGAUUGUGAGAUGAUAGAGGAAAUCUUAGCGUGUGAGGCUGAAGAAAUACAAGGCGGCAUUGUAUUUCCCAAACUGAAGUAUUUGCAACUAAGCUGUCUGCCAUGUCUAGCAAGCUUUUCCUCGGCCCAUCACUCGUUGGAAUUCCCAGUCUUGCUAAUGGUGAAGGUGACAAAGUGCCCCAAAAUGAGGAAUUUCUGCCAAGGAGAUUUAAGCACACCAAGGCUGGAACAAAUGCACUUAACAAGAGAUGAGGAAGGUGAGCUGCAGUGGGAAGGCGACCUUAACACUACCAUAAAACAUAUGUUCGAUGAAAUGGUACAAAUCAUUUAAAGGAUUUAAAUUCAUGGGUUUUUACAUACAUACAUACAUACAUACAUAGUUAAUUGAACAAUUCUUGGUUUGUUAUGAUCAUGCACAGAAUGUGCAAAAUUCUGAGGUGACGGAGGUUACUGAUCAAUUGCCCAAGCUGGAAUAAGGAAAUAUGUAUGGGUGCUUAUGCGAAAAGCUCAAUUUCGUUUGAAUUCAAAACAAAUGGUAAUUGACUCUUCUAUUUUCAUCAUGGCUUAACUAAUGCUUUAUAAAGUGACCAUAGAGACGCCCUUUUCAUUGUAGGUUGAGUUGCUCUACUGAAGUACGAGGCUGCAACUUUUGGUAAAAUGUGAAAGGUUAUUUCAGUUUUGGUAAAACUACUAUUUGAACUGUUCCAUUUCACAUUAUACCCUCAAAAUUGAACUUCAUUGGGCUACAAACAUGUAAACUUUUACUAGUAAGGUUGAGCCCUGUUUUAAGUAUUUGCCAACUUUUGAUGGUUGCCAUAUCAAUGUCAGCUUAAAGCUAUCAAGUAUCUUUACAAAUAUAAGAUAUAUAUAUAUUAUUCCUUAAUGAGGGAUAAAAGUAGGCAGCUAUGUACUAAUGAUACGGUUGAUUCUGAAAAGACGGCCGAAAUUGAAUCAAUGGGUUGUUGGUAUUUGCCUGAUGGAAGAACAGGGCCUAAUGUUGCGUGGAUUCUGGUCAAGUUUUAAAUUUUCAGUUGUGGGCAUUACUGAUUGUUGUCAUUUGGUUGUUGAUCCUCUGAUUUUACGAUUGACUGUCUUGCUUAUUCGUUGCAAGGUUGGCGGGUCUCAAGUAUGAAUUUCCAAACCGGCUUUCAUCCAUAAUUAACUAAGUGUUCCAAUCCAUGGAGUUUAUGGUUUAUUAGCGUAACUGUCCAUUUUAUUUGUUGAGGAAAAAAAAUAUGAGGAUUAAUCUGAUAUUUAAUGUUUGGGUUUUUGAAUAUUUUUGUGCCUUUAAUGAAAGAAAGCAAAUAAAAUAGAGACGUACAAGAUCACAUCCAUAGAUCAACAAAAGGGUUUAAUAUUUCUAUAAAAAAUUGUCCCAAAAAGGCCUUAUGGGAAUUGAUCAUAUAAACUAAUGAAGGCCAUUGAAAAUAAAGCUUGUAAAAGUUUACAGAAGGAAUUGAUGAGAAUCUGAUACACUAUUCAUUUUGUUGCGAUAAGAGUUUAUGGCCUUGUAGGAGCCUCUCCCCAAAUUGCUAGCAAAAGAAACAAAAGGAUUAAUGCACGUCGAUAAUGGCAGAUUUAUAUUUGCUACAAAAGGUGAAGAGCCCAAGACCCUCCAACCUCCUCGGAACAGUUUGAAAUCGUUCCAAAAUAUGCUCUAGCAAAUGUUCCAAGCCAUCUCAUGCGACAGUUUUCCCUUAAAAGCAUUAGUGGCUGAGUCUAGUCUUAAUUUUUAUUUGUAUCUUUUAUAUCCGUUUUAUAAUUCAUAUUUAGGAUUUGUAUUAUUUAAAAAAGGAAAAUCUUUGAAAUAAAAAAAAACAGUAUGUUUUAUAUAAUUAUUUAAAGUUACUCUCACAUUAUUUUUACCCAUUCAAAGCUAGCAAGUCUUUUAUGUACAAAAUCGUAUAGCUCUGCAAUUUGGAAUAACAUUUUGGUCACCUCCAUGUGAAGUGAGAGAAAAUUGAGAAUGUCACACAAUUAUUAUUUUUCCCUCCAUACCCCUAUGCCACCAAAGAAACUUGAAUUAUUAAGGCACAAAAGCACUAAGGAGUAGGAGCUAGAAAAAGAGGGGCAUGAAAAUAAAGAGAGUUACAUUUAUUAUUUGCAUAAUACAAAAUUAGUCUUUAAUAUUUACACAUUUUAUUAUUUUUAUUUUUUAUUAAUUAAAUUUGGCUUUAAACUCUUUAAAAAGAGUUGAAUUUGAACAUCAACCUUUUAAAAAGAGUUAUAUUAUUAUUUAACGGAAAUGUUAAAUUUUGAAAUACAUAUAAGAAUAUAAUUUUAUUAAAUUAUAUAUUUUUAUUAAAUUAUAUUAAAUUAUAUUUAAUAAUAAUUAUUUUAAAUUAUAUUUUAUAGUAUUAUAUAUUAUGAUUUUAGUAAAUUCAUAUAUUUUAUUAAAUUAUAUAUUUUUAUUAAAUUAUAUUUAAUAAUAAUUAUGUUAAAAUAUGAUUAAAUUAUUUAUUAUUUAUAUUAAUAACCUUAUUAAAAUUUAAUAACAAUAACAAUAAUCAUCGACCUAAAAAAAAUUCUACUAAGGGUAUUCUCGUCAUUUUAGCUUUUUUCCUUAUGCUAUUACACCAUCAUUCCCUUCAACCAAACACAAGAAUAUUAUUACGCCUCUAUUCCAUUCCAUUCAACCAAACAAAAGGAUUACCUAUUACGCCUUUAUUCCAUUACGCCUCUAUUCCAUUACGCCUCUAUUCCAUUACAGCGAACCAAACGUGCCCUAAAGGUUCAAAGAUUUCUGCUUAAAUUUGGACUUCACUCCUUAAGCUUCAAGUUCAAGUUUUUUGGUAUAUAAAUUUUGGACCUUAAUUUGGUAUGUAUUUAAGCUUAUUAGUAAUAAUGUGAAUUAUGUACGAAAGAUAAUGUUUUGUGUUAUAAAGUAUCUCGGUUAUAAUGAAAUAAGAAUAAAUUGAAGUGAUGAGUUUAGUGUUAAAUGUAGCAUCUCUUACUCAAAUUUGUUAUCGAAUCGGGUGAGAGGUGUUACUACUAGAAUAUAAAUUACCCUUUCUUUUUUCUUAAGAUAAAUGUAUUUUUUUUAAUUAAAUUCGUACAUAAAAUGAUAUUUUUACUAAAAUAUUAAAUUCGAAAAAGAAAUUUAAGACAAAAACAUUUUAGCCAACAACAUAUUCAUUGUAGGAUCAAAAACAUUAAUGCAAGAAACUUAAAACAAGGAAUCAAAAGUCUAGAACAAGCAAUCAAACUUAUUUUAUAUGAUCCACCAUUAAAAUUUUAGAAUAUGAUAAACAAGCAAUCAAAUAUUAAGUGCACAAUUUUAGAUUCACUAUACAAGAGCUGAGAACGAGAAAGCUAUCACAUCAGAUGGCUUGGUACAAUUAAUUAGACCGUGUUGCAGUACCUCUCUGGCAUCAACUUCGCUUGUAAAUUUCUAUAAGCUGUCACUUCAAUGGCCUUCAUCAACUUGCAGCUCUAAUCUAAAUUGUACAAAACCAAUUGAUAACAAAUUCACAAUCCACAGAUUGUGGGCUCAUAAUGCUAAUGACAAAUCAAUGUCUCGUUAUGAUUCAAGUAAUCCAUACACCGUUGGAUAGGUGCAAGGAUUGUUUGGAUCAUAAGAGAGCAUUGGUUUGUUCUUAGAAUUAUGUGUCCAUAUACCAUGGAUCUUGAACUCAUUAAGGAUUGGUGGUGUACAACUCAGACUAAAGCUAUAGGCUAAUAAAGGCCAUUGAAGAAAAAGCUUACGAAAAUUACAAGCGAAGUUGAUGCCGGUAGGGGUGCUGCAAAUGCUGCUCAAAAUGAAAAGAGAAGAACAAGAGGAGUACUCUCUCUCUCUCUCUAUAUAUAUAAGUAUAUACUCUUCUCCAUGCUGCACAUUAUUGCAAAAAAAGAAAACACACAAGGGACCAAUCUUAGAUCUUCACAAAGGUCAUUUGAGAUCAAAGGAGAAGAACAAGAAAAACAAAGGUGAGGGGUUUGAAGAAAGAGCCAAAUAUAUAAAGGAAAAAUUAAGUGAGAGAGAGGAUGGGUUUAAUUUAAAGAUUAAAUGUUUCUUUUUUGGUAAACACAUUUCUUUGGUCCCUCUCAAUUUUGAUGUUGAGCAAAUUAGCCCAUUUCUAAAAAUUUUGGAGAAAUUUGAUCAUUGUUGAUUUUGAAAGUGAGCAACUAAAUACAAUUAAUCAUAACGUUUAUGUUUUUCAUCAGUUCUACAAUUUUUUUCUUGGUAUAAUAAAAAAUAUAACUUUCAAAGUUUACACAUUUUGUCAAUUUGAUCUUGAUAUAACAAAUAUAACUCAUAACAUUUUCACAAUAUUCCAUCAAUUUGGUCCUAAUUUAACAAAUUUAGCCCGUAAUAUUUACACUUUUUGUCAAUAGUUACGCAGAAUAUAUAAACAUCAAUGGCUAAAUUUAUUAUUAUACCAAUCAAAAUUAUGUAGAAUCGAUGGAAAACAUUAAAGCUAUAAUUAAUUGUCCGUAGUUACUCACAUUUAAAAUUGACAGGAAUUAAAUUGUUCUGAUUUUUUAAAAAGAUCGAUUUACUUAAUAUCAAAAUUGAGAGAAAUCAUAAAGAUAAUUUUACUUUUCUUAAUUUAAUAGGUAAGAAAAUUUAAAAUCAUUGAAAAAAAAAAGUAAGUUGUAUAGAUUUAUUUAAAGUCACACUCACAUUAUUAUUUUUCCCAUUCAAAGUUGAAAAGUCUUUUAUGUAAAAAAUAGUAUAGCUCUUCAAUUUGGGUUAACAUUUUGGUCCCCGCCAUGUGAUGUGAAGGAAAAUUGACAACAUCACAACAAUCAAAUCUAUUUUUUCUGCCAUACCCCUGUGCCUCCGAAGAAAGUUAAAUUAUUAAGGCACAAAAGUACCAAGGAGUAGAAGCUACCAAAAGAGGAGCAUGAAAAUAAAGAGAGAUACAUAUAUUACUGGCAUGGAAUAUUUACAUCUUUUAUUAAUUUAGAUUUUUUUAGUUAAUUUUAAUUUUAAAUCCUUUAAAAAAAAGUUGAAUUUGAUCAUCAACGUUUAAAAAGAGUUGAAUUAUUAUUUUUUAAUAAAAAUAUUAACCAAAAUGUUAAAUUUUGAAACAUGGCAAUCCGUAAAACAAUCCAAGUGUAGUUCAUGCUUGUUUUUAUUUGAUUUUUUAUGAACUCUUUUUGUGGGAAAUUUUUAUUUUUUUAAUAUUUUUAUAAUUUUUAAUUUAUUGGCGUGACAUAUAAGAUAAAUAAUACUAUGUCAACAUAAAUGACAUGUAGACUGCCACAUGGGUUGCCAUGCCAACUUCGUUAAAAAUUAAUAUUUUAGUCAACAUUUAAAAAAACACGAUUUGACUCUUUUUUAAAGGUUAAUUGUCAAAUUUAAAUUAAGAAAUAAUAAUAAUCAAAUUGACAAAAGAUGUAAAUAUUAAGUGUUGAAUUUAUUAUUAUACUUUUAAGUAAAAUUUUUGGAUUUGAAUUUGAAUUAUUUUGGGAAAUUUAAAUAGUUUUGAGCUCAGAACAUUUCAAGAGAAAAUUAGCAAGUCAAAUUACAAUUAUAAAAUAAUAUAUGUCAUUUAUAUGUUUGUCUAUAUAAGUUUAAAUUACAAAUUAAUUACUAAAAGUGAUUAGGGCAUUAGUAUUUGUGUUGUCACAUGGGAGUUUAGGUUCAAUCUCUUGAUUGAAAUAAUAUUUUUAAAAUAUUUAUUUAAUAUUUCUAUAUACAUCAAAAUCCUUGUUAAAUUUUAAUUUUGUUUUUGUUAUUAGAAUACUUGAAUCAAUAAAAUUUUAAGGCACAUAUCAAACCCAACAAUCAAAAUUAAAUCACACCAAAAUAAGGCCAAGAAAUUCUUAAACAGCUCACCAAGCAACAUUCAAAUAUCAUAACUUAACCCCCUUGCAAAUAAUAAGAGCAUAGACGCUUGCUGCAGACAAAAGGUCCCAUGCCCAUUACAAGCUCUGCCCAUCAGUUCCUGCCAGAGGAGCCAUGGCCAAGAAAACUAUUAGUCUUAAUGCAAUCCACAAAACGUGUGGGACUUUUCCUUAAGGUCAGCUCUUUUGAGUUCAAGUCCUUUUCGCUGGCAAAUUUGUUGAUAUAGGAGCAACAUUGGUCAUCACAAUCAACAAAGGUCUUGUGAAAAAAAAUAGAAUGUCGGUAAUGAUAAUAUACCGCAAAGAAAAGAGAAAUAAAAAUAAAGAACAUAGAUUUUACGUGGAAACCCUUUCGGGAAAAAACCACGGGUAGAGGAGAAGUAAAUUCACUAUGUCGAAUUCGAAUGAUUACAAGAGGAGCUUCGACUACAUCUAUUUAUAGGUUGAAAAAAACCUAAUUCUAAUCAAAGUCGAAUAUAUUAUGCUAAUAAAUGCUAAAUAUAUUAUACUCAUAAAUACUAAAUAUUCUAGAAAGAAGAUAUAUUUUGUUCAACUUGACUUGCAAGCAAUCUCUUAGAAUUUGGGUUACACAACUCUAACAAUCUCCACCUUGACACAAAUUCUCAAUGAAUAAGUUCUUCAUCGCGAACUCUCAACGAACAAGUUCUCUAGCUCUUCCAUAAAACCCCUUAAGGGUUUAACUUCAACAAUGAACACCAAUCAAGUCUAAGAAAUGCUUAAACUUGGUUAUAGGAAGUGACUUAGUCAUCAUAUCUGCAGGAUAUUCAUGAGUACUAAUUUUACUCACAACAAUAUCUCCACGGGCAAUAGUAUCACGAACAAAAUAAUACCGAACAUCAAUGUGUUUUGUUUUCUCAUGAAACAUUUGAUAUUUUGUAAGGAAGAUGACACUCUGACUGUCACAAAUACUGUACUGAUUUGAAGGUUUUCAUUGAGUUCACUAAAGAGUCCCUUCAACCAAAUAGCUUCUUUACAAGCCUCAGUAAUUACCAUGUACUCAGCUUCAGUGGUAGACAAAUCGAUUGUAGUUUGCAAAGUGGCUUUCCAACUUAUUGCACAACCUCUGAUUGUAAAGACAUAACCUAUGAGAGAUCUUCUUCUAUCAAGGUCUCCAGCAAAAUCAGCACCAACAUACCCAAUGACUCUAUCUCUAGUUCUUUCAAACUGUAAGCAAACAUCAGUAGUACCUUGUAAGUAUCUUAAAAUCCACUGAAUUGCUUUAUAAUGUUCUUUACCGGGAUUCGCCAUGUAUCUGCUAACUGCACUGACUGUAUAUGAUAAAUUUGAACGAGAACAAACCAUAGCAUACAUAAAAGAUCCCACUGCACUAGAGUAUGAAGCAUGUGACAUGUACUCAAUCUCAUCAUCUGAUUGUGGAGACAAAGCUGAUGAAAGUCUGAAAUAGGCUGCUAAAAGAGUACUAACAGACUUAGCAUUCUGCAUAUUAAAUCUGCAAAGAACUUUCUCAUGUACCCUUUCUGACUUAGGUACAAUUUACUUGCUUUUCUAUCUCUGAGAAUCUUCAUACUUUUUUGCUGGUCCCAAAUAUUUUAUCUCAAAUUUUUCACUUAGUUAGGCUUUGACCUUUCUCAUCUCUCCUUUAUCUUUCGCUGCUAUCAACAUGUCAUCAACAUAAAGGAGUAGAUACAUAAAAGAACCAUCAUUGUUUUUCUUAAAGUAAACACAACUGUCAAAACUACUUCGUUUAAAAUCAUGAGAAGUUAUAAAGGAAUCAAAUCUCUUGUACCACUAUCUUGGUGACUAUUUCAAACCGUAAAUGGACUUUUUCAACAAGCAAACAUAGUCCUCUUUUUCUGAAACUAUAAAAUCCUCUGGUUGUUGCAUGUAAAUAUCCUCCUCAAGUUCUCCAUGUAAAAAAGCAGCUUUUACAUCUAACUGCUCAAGCUCCAAAUCAUGCAUGGCCACAAUACCAAGCAAAGCUCGAAUCGAGGUAUGCUUCACAGCUAGGGAGAAUACAUAUGUGAAGUCUACUCUUGGAAUUUGACUGUAACCCUUUGCAAUAAGCCUUACUUUAUAUCUAGGUUAUUGAACUCCUUGAGUCCCCUCUUUCUUUUUAAACAUCCAUUUACAACGAACAACCUUUUUACCUUUAGAAAGUUUCACAAGAUCCCAUAUUUUAUUUUUGUGGAGUGAUUCCAUCUCCUCUUGCAUAGCAAACAUCCACUUUUCUAAGUCUUCAUGGUUAACUGCAUCAGAAUAAUUAGAUGGCUCUUGGUUUGCAUUUAUAUCUUCAGCCACGUUUAAAGCAUAAGCAACUAGAUCAGCCUUGGCAUACUUCUUUAGAGGUUUAAUUUCUCUUGUAGUUCUGUUUUUGGCGAUAGAGUAUUGUGGUGAAGAAGCAACUCUAUUUUGAAUUUUUGUACUGGCUUGAGGAGUUGACUCCAUUGUAGAUUCUGGAUUAAUCUGAUGCUCUACUUGCUUUUGAUUUUUCUUUAUUAGAAGAGUCUUUAAGAUAUAAGUUAGGUAGCAUAACAAUUUCAUCAAAAACAACAUCUCUUCUAAUCACAACUUUUCUAAUUUCAGGACACCAUAACUUAUACCCUUUUACACCAGCUUUAUAACCAAGAAAAACACAUUUAAUGUAUCUCGGUUCCAAUUUUCAUGAUCAAUAUGAGCAUACGCAGGUCACUCAAAAAUCUUUAAAUCAGAAUAGUCAACAGGAUUACCAGACCAUACCUCUUGUGGAGUCUUUUUCUCAAUGGCAAUGGAUAGAGAUCGGUUGAUUAAAAACAUGCAGUAGAGGCUGUUUCGGCCAAAAUAACUUUGGUAAGUUGGCAUUUGACAACAUACAUCGAACCUUCUCCAUGAUCGUUCUGUUCAUUCGUUCUACAACGCCGUUUUACUGUGGAGUAUGACGAACUGUCAAGUGUCUCACGAUUCCUUCUGACUUGCACAGUUUAUUAAACUCAUCAGAACAGAAAUCUAAGCCAUUGUCUGUACGGAGAUAUUUUAUUUGUUUUCCCGUCUAUUUUUCAAUCAUAGUUUUCCAAGAAGCUGCUUGCCACCAAUGCAGCUCAGUUGAAAUAUUUAGAGUCACGAGCGGAAAAUGUAGAGCAGAAGGCCAAGGAUGCUGAAAAAAAAAUAGUUGAACUCGAAAGGUAGCUUAAGGCUAAGGUAAAGGAAGCUACACAAUGGAGCAAUAAGCUUGAGGAGGUUGGUAACUCAUUGAUGGACUAGAUGAUAAAAAUUCAGAAAACACUAGGAUCCUUUGACUCAACAGGUAUCAACUUUGAUAGAGCAAAGAUAUCUAAGGCUUGUUCUGUGUGCCUUUUUGAUACUAUGAUACUUCUAUAUUGGUUUUAGAUCGUUGAGAAUCGAAAAUAUGGCUGGGCUAUGGAUUACGCAGGAAGAGGAACUUCAAGGUAAGAUAAUGAAGGAUUGAAGGAAUUGAGAAAUGAAUGGGGUGAAAUGAUCUACAGGGCCGUUGUUGUUGCAUUACUGGAAAUGGAAGAGUACAAUCCAAGUGGGAGAUACAUAGUUUUUGAACUUUGGAAUUUCAAAGAUGAUGAAAAGCCAGCUUAAAAGAAGCUAUUGAGAUCUUCAUCUACCAUUUACAGAACAAAUUGAGUCAAUCCCUGUACUCAUUGAACUGAUGGUAAGCUGAGUUGUUCCUGGUACUAGACUAUGUAACAGCCCGAUUCUGGGCCUAGUCGGAAUAGUGGUUUCGGGACCACAAAUCCGACGAGAGAAAAUAUUAUUAUCAUUAUAUUUUUAUGGUCUACAAUUUCACGGAAUGAUUUCGUGAAAAUUUCGUUCGAAAAUUUCAACGUUUGAGCACUCAAUUUAGUCAAAAAGGACUAAAUUGUAAAAAGUGCAAAAGUUGAGUUCUAGAAGCUAGAGGUGUUAAAUUGCUAUGAAAUUUUAAAUUGGAGGUCCUUAAAUGGUAAUUAAACCAUUAGUUAUUUAUGGACAAAAAUAGACAUGGUUAGUAAGUAAGCUAUUUAAGGGCAUUUUGAUAAAAUGCCUUAAUUAAUGAAUAAAGACAAAAUAACAUGAAAUAAGUUAUCAUCUUCUUCAAUUCUUUUCUCCAUGGCCGAAUGUAGCAAGGAAAUACCAUGGCUAGGGUUUUUUCAUCUUCCAAGCUUCAUGGUAAGUCCGUUCUAGCCCCAUUUUUCUUGUUAUUUAUAUUUUUAGAAUCCCGGUAACUUGCUUAAUCUAAUUCUACUAUUAAUUUGAGCUAGAAUUUAUGUUUGAAAAAUUACCCAUAGGUGAAAAGUGUGAACUUUGAUGUUUCAUGAUAGAAUAUGAAGCUUAGAAUUAUGUUAAACGAUUUUUGCUAAUCGAUUUUCAGUAAAAACGAGUAAAACGACAUAAUCAGUAAAAAUAUCUAAUGUUCAUAAGUAAGUGUUGAGUGGGAAUUUGAUGUUUCCAUAGAAGAGAAAAAUGUUCAGAAUGUCAUAAAAAAUAAGAAUAAGAGAUGAAAUUUAAUUUCCGAGCUUUGGGGCAAAAGUGUAAAUAUGCAAAAGUUUAGGGGCAAAAAUGUAAUUUUGUAAAAAUAUGAUUUUUGGACUGAAUUGAAUAAUGUGAGUGUUAAAUAAGUUAAAUGUGUUAUUAUAAGUCAAGAAAGACAAGGAAUUGACUUUGAUUAGUAAAAAAAUGAGAAAAAGUGAGAAAUUUCUCGAUUGAACAUUCAGAAUAAAAAGGGAUACGAAUGAAAUGACAGAAAUGAUCACAUAUGUGGCAUGGACUGUGUGUAGGCCACUAUGUGAAAGUGAAAGUGAUGGUCACAUGUGUAGUACUAUGUGAAGGCUACUACGUGUACCAGAAUGAUAGGUCGCAUGUGUAGUACUAUGUACAGGCUACUAUGCGUAUCGGAUAGCUUCGAUCACGUGUGUAGUACUAUGUGCAGGCUACUACGUGUAUCGGAUAGUGAUGGUCACAUGUGUAGUACUAUGUGCAGGCUACUAUGUGAACCCAUAUCAUUGAUUAUAAGGUGGUUGCUAAGUGCUGAUUCCACCAUAUCUUAAAUGUGAAAGGGGUUGCUAAGUGCUGAUUCCCCGAAUCACUGGUGGUUGCUAAGUGCUGAUUCCACUGUAUCCUUGAUUGUGAAAGGGGUUGCUAUGUGCUGAUUCCCCGUAUCAUUGAUUAUAAGGUGGUUGCUAAGUGAUGAUUCCACCGGGAUCCUUUGAACAUGAGGUGGUUGCUAAGUGCUGAUUCCACCAUGUAACGGUUAAUAUUCCGAAGUGUUCAUCGGGGAAAUUGGAUAAGUGAAAAUAUAUGUGAAUCGAAUAAGGUUACGGGAUGAAUAUUGGAUUCGAUAUUUAAUCGACCCUUGAGUAAGAUGAAAAGAAGUAAUGAAAUUGUGAAAAAGAAAAAUGUGCAACAAAACAGUUUUGGACAGUAACAAUAAUGUGACUUUGAAAAAUCACCAAAAAUGGUGGAAAUUGAAUUAGAGAGUUAAUAAGAUAUUAAAUGAAAGCUUAAGGAGUCUAUUUUUAUGUAAAAGAAACAGAGCAAGUAAAAGAGUUAGACAUUCUGAGAUAUUUGAAUUUUAGUGAGGCAGGGUAGGAUUGAUUUCGGAAUCCCCUGUUCUGAAUUUGGAAAAUAAUUAAAAAUUGUAAAAAAAUAAUUACUAGAUAUAAUUUAUACGAUUAGAAUCCUUAAUGAGUCUAUUUUUAAGGGAAACAAACAGAAAAAUCAUCCAAAUUCUGUACAAUGAGAUAAUUCAUUUUUAGUGAAGAGAGGUCAGAGAUGUUGAGCAGUGAAACAGGGGUGACUUUAAAGAAUAAACUGUACUAAUUGGAAAAGUCAAAAAUUCUGAAAAUUUUAUGGUAAGAAGAUAUGUGAGUCUAGAUUCGGGGAAAAUUAACGGAUCUUAAUUUGGAGCUCUGUAGCUUUGGAUAAAUAUAAUUUAGUGACUCUGACUCGAAUAGACAGCUUUGGAUAUACAUGUGAAUGAAUAGUGAAAUUAUGUAUAAUGCUAUUUAAGCAUGUUUUAUACAUAAAGGAUGUGGAAUGGAGAGGGGGAGGAGGAAAAUUAAUUAUAUAUAUGAAUGAUUUGUGUAUAAAUGGUUAUAUGCUCAAUUAUAAUCGAUAAACGUUAAAAUAGAAAUGAUGCUUACAUUUGCGUAUUAUUGAUCAUGGUUUAAGCUCAUAUGGGAAAAUAAAGUUUCAUAGUAUGUGAGUGUGGUUUAUUUGAUAUAUGGGUUGGUAUGAAGUAAGGCCAUGAAUGGUUUAUGGAUUAAUUCAUGUUGGUAGGUUUGGUACAUGAAUAAAUGUUGAACUUGGCCAUACUUAUAAUGCUUAUGCUAUAUGUUUAUUUGGCUAACAUGUGUAGUGUACAUGCUUAAGCUUUGGCCAAUUGGUGGCUGAAUUAUGCCACGUUAAAUUUAUAAGUUAUGCAUUGAAAUGGUAAGUGCCUAGAUGGGAAUAUGCUUAUGAUCAUGGAAAGGGUGGUAACGUUUAAAUUAUGUAAACUUACUUGGAAUGGUUUAUCAUGUGGUUAAUUCCAAAAAAGAAUUAUGUUUAAUGUACUAGCUUGUGACUAUGGUUGAAUGAUAUGUUAUUGUUUUGUGUGAUAUUUGUAGGAAAUGGGUGUGGAAAGGAAAUGAAAUACUAAGUUCAUACUUGAAGAAUAAAAUGACGAAAAAGGGAAUGAUGAGUUGAUUUGAUGUUGUUAUUUAAGCUUAAGUGAUGUUUUCAUUGUAAUACUAAGAAUUUUAUAAAUGUGUUAAUGAAUGGUAUAAUUGAUAAACGUUGAGUUAAAUGAUGAACACGUAUUAGUAUUGAACUUAACAAUAUUGAAUUGUACAUGAAUUAAAUGGAAGUUUUUAGUGAUAUGAUUUGAAUUAAAAGAAUUGUUGUGGUAUUGAAAUAUAUAUAUUGGAUUGAGAAAUUGAUUUGAAUUGUGAACAUGAAAGAUUUUGAAAUGAAUAAAAUAGAAAUGAAGCAUUGAAUUACAUGAGUAAGUAUCGGGUCUUGUAGGCCCAAUUUGUUAUGAAUAUAAUAUUUCAAGGAUAUGUUAUAAAGAAUUAUAAAAUCAUGUUAAAAAUUUGAAAAGUUUAAAUUUGAAUGAAAUUUUGUAACUCGGUUUAAUACGUUUACAUGUGUAAGUGUUCUAGUAAUGCCUCAUUCCCUAUUCCGGAGUUGAAUACGGGUAAGGGGUGUUACAGACUAUCAACAAGCCAAGUUAAUCCCAGUAUUCUGCGUAACAUUUCCAUGUAGUUAAUCUUAUUUUGCUAAUAUAUAAUCAAAUGACCAGUAUUUUGUUUAACCCUCAAACAUCCUGCGUGGAAGCAAGUUAUUCAUAUGAAUUGCUUGAAUUGCUCAUAUGUCCAAUGAAUUAUAAAGGAAUGCUGUUGAAUUCCCAUCGAUACAUACAUGCAUACAUAUUAGUGAAGUAUAUUCCAAUAUAAUAUCAAUAUUGGGAUUUACGUUUUAUAGAGCAGCAUUAAUGAUUGGUAAUAUACAUUCGUUCCAAGGCAAACCCAAAUAUUGUAACCUACAACUGUGGCAAAUCAAAUUUUACAGUAACCCAAUUAUAAUGUGAAGUCAAAUAUGAAAGUAACAUUGGUUUAUAUUUUUUUUUCUCAAAAUUCUAAUAAUCAAGUUGGGAUAAGUGAUAAACACUGAGCUUGCCACGUGUGUUAAACCACAUUUUUGUUAUGUGCCACUCCAAAGAUAUCGGGCCUCUAUUCAGGCUGGCAUAGUCAGGACGUGGUAGCAUACUUCAGGACCCUGGUUAGAAAAUAUCCCACAUCCGAUAAAAUUGGAACGAUACAGAGAAGAUUAGCAUGGCCCUGCGCAAGGAUGACAUGCACAAAUCGAGAAGUCCAAUUUUUUUCCCUUUUUUUCCCCACAUUUUAACAGCUCUGCUUCUUCUUCUUUUUUUCCCCUGGGUUUGAUGUUCAUAUUCAUGGGUUUUUGUGCACUUAAGAUUGCAAUUAGAGUUUUCUUUCUUUCUUUUACUGGGUUCGGUCUGUUUUACUCUCUUGAACUGUGAAUUUGAUUUUUUUUUCCAUUUUUUCAGCUUUGUUGCUUUUUUCCCCCUGGGUUUAGUUUUCAUGUUCAUGGGUUCCGCCCACUUAAGAUUGCAUUGGAGUUUUUUUUUUCCUUUUUACUGGGUUUUGGCCAGUUUUACUCUGUUGAACCGUGAAUACCUCUGGGAAAAAAAUUGUUGCUUAUAUAUUUGCUAGUCAACAGUGCUAAUUUUCUGAUAUAUUGGCCAGAAUUGAGGGAAGAAGGUCCAAUUUUGCUUUUGAUUCUUCUACUACUAUCUUAAGAUUUAAAAGAAAUUCAAUUAAACAAUUUCUUCCAAUAAAAUUAAACAAGAAGGGACCUGCACACUUAGACAUGUUUCUCUUUGAAAAAAAUUCAAACAGGGUUUUAAAAUUUGCAAUGUGUUUUAUGUAAAUCAAAUGAUACCCUGAAUUUUGCUAAGGGUGUUUCAUAUCCUUGAAUCCUUUUUUUGCUUGGCAAGUGAUUCAUUGAGUUUUUGUGAUAAAUUUCAUGUUUCUUUUUUUAGUAUGGGAAUUUGUGGGAAAAUGCUUGGCAAUAUGGAAAUGAAACCAGUUUCCAUUUCCAAAGGCAACAGCAAAGUGGUGAAGCUUAUUGUUGAAAAAUUCUUCAAUAAUGUCAAUAAUGAAAAAGUAGAAAAUGGAAAAACUGAUAAGUACAUGCCUUUCUUGAAUAAAGGAAUGUGAAUCUGUGUGAACUUCCAUUUCCCUUGAAUUAUGCCUAAGUAAACCUUGACUAAGGAAACAAAUAAGCAGAGACCUUACAAGAAGAAAUUUGUGUUUAAUUCAGUCACACACAAUUUUCAAAGAAUCUUACUUCAUUUUCUUCAUAAAUUGUUGCGUAAGAUACUAACACUUGAAAAACUAAUAACAUUAGACCCAACCAUUUUAAACAGGAUGUAAUAGCACCAUACAAAUACAAAACCAAAAUGAAACAACGACCAACACUAUAUAAAUAUACACCAUUGAUCAAAAUAUACACUAACAACAAUUAUGAUAAGAUAACAUAGAUGAACAUGAUACAAUUUGUUAAAUCUAAGGUACUGACCAAUCAUUUUAUUGGAGCAUUACUUAAUGUAUAAGGCUCAAUCCCCCCCCGAUGCUAGAUACUGAUACACUCAAACGAAUAUGAUUUUCUUCCAUUCAUUUCAAUAUGGUAAUGUUGUUUUUACCCUAAGUUAAAAUCCUUUUUUUUUACUGCACAGAAAUCUGAAUUCACCAACCCUGAUGGAAGGCUUGUGAUUGUGACCAACUUUACAGGCAAAAAUGAAAAAGGAUCUACAACCUUUGUUAACUGUUUUGUAAAAUACAAGAAAAUCCCAUACCCAAGCAUGAUUUUAUAUACACCCUGCUACAAAAACACGUUUUUUCCUGCAAAAACAUCAUUCAUGGCAAGAUGUCAAGAGAUUGGUGAAAAAGAAAAACAUCCAACAUUUGGGGUUUUAAUCUCAAUAUAUGAACUUGGCUUUAUUUCUUAGUGUUAUUGUUGAACUUUUUAGGAUGCCUCUGUCUUAAUCCAUUUAUGUGAUUUGAUAAUGAUAUUUGCAGGCACUUAAAUCUGUUGGAACAAUGGCAGCAGCAAACAUCAAACAAAGUUACAACACAGUGUUUGCAAGACUGAAGCAAGAAGAAUCGAAGCAAAGAAAGAGCAAAGCAAAGCAAAAAUUUGAUCAAAUUGAAUACUCAGCAAAGUUGUAACUGAAUAUUACAUUUUUCAUUCAAGAUUAGAAUAUAUAAAAGUACUACAAUUUUGGUUCAUUUGACAGAUACCUAAUGACAUAACUACUCCCACUUAAACUAAACUAAUACAAGCUUAAGUCAAAUACAAAUAAGCUGACAUAUCAACUUUUACAUCACCAAUCCAAUCACAAACUUAAUCCAACUAACUAUUAAAGCUAGUUACAAUCAAACUGAACUAAGUUACAUCAAAACAAAACAGCAAUAUCAGUUGCUUCAUUUGGUCUGAAAACCAUUCGUGCACACCAAGCAAAAUGAGCUGAGCUCGAUAGCUGCUGGUCUCGAUAGUAGCAUGCUUCCGGCUCCAUGUUGCAUUGCAGUCCAUCUUUCAACACUCCUCCUUGGACUGUAUGCAACACAUUCCAAUUGCACUUCUCAAAGAUUCAAAUCGAACAGCCCCUAAGGGCUUUGUCAUUAUGUCAGCCAAUUGAGCUCUUGAGCUGCAAUGCACAAGGCUGACUUACUUUGCUUGUUCAGCUUUUCUAACAAAAUGCAGUUUGAUUUUAAAAUGCUUAGUCUUACCAUGGAACACAGGGUUCUUGGCUAUUGCAACUGCAGACUGAUUAUCUACCCAAAUUUUAGUUGCUUCAUCUUGAGUUUCAUUAAGGUCAUAAAGCAGCUUCCUUAGCCAAAUGGCCUGAUUAACUGCUCCUGCUGCAGCAAUGUACUCUGCUUCAGCUGUGGAUUGAGCAACAGUUUGUUGCUUCUUUGAACUCCAGCAAAACAUGCCCGAUCCAAGUGUGAAGAAGUAUCCAGAGGUACUCUUCAUGUCAUCGAGAGAUCCUGCCCAGUCACUGUCAGAGUAGCCUUCUAGUUUCAGUUGAUUCCUACUUUCAAACAUUACACCAAAACUAGCAGUGCCCUUGAUGUAUCUAAGGAUCCUCUUUCCUGCCUUCAAAUGUGCCUCACUACAACAAUGCAUAAAUCUCGAUAACAGGCUGACACCAAACAUGAUGCCUGGCCUGGUUGCUGUUAGAUACAACAGACAACCAACUAGGCUUCGAUAGUGCCUCUCAUCAACCCUCUGCUGAUCACCACUGCUAGUCAGCUUUUCUCCUUGGGCCACAGGUGUGCUGACUGCUUUACAGUUAUGCAUGCAGAAUUUGUCUAGGAUCUUCAAAGCAAAUGAGUGUUGGCUGAUGAAGAUACCUCGAUUAGACUGGUGCACUUCCAUGCCAAGGAAGUAAGUCAUGAUCCCCAAAUCUGUCAUCUCAAACACUUGCUGCAUUUGGACCUUGAACUGAUCAAUGAGCUCAAUUUUGCUCCCUGUCACAAGCAAAUCAUCCACAUACAAGGAGACAAUCAGCAAGGUUUCAUGUUCUGACCUUUUAACAUACAGAGUAGGCUCACUAAGGCUCUUUACAAAUCCAAGUUUGGUCAGGUAAGCAUCAACUCUGUCAUACCAGGCCCUUGGUGCUUGUUUCAGGCCAUAGAGGGCCUUUCUCAACUUAUACACUUUGUCUUCAUGUCCAACAACUUCAAAACCUUCAGGUUGCUCGAUAAAGAUCUCCUCCUUGAGAAAACCAUUUAGGAAUGCUGAUUUGACAUCCAAUUGGUGAACUCUCCACUGCUUCUGAGCUGCUAAAGCAAAUAGCAGCUUAAUUGUAUCCAGUCUUGCCACUGGAGCAAAAGUUUCUAGGUAGUCAACACCAUACUGCUGACUGUAGCCCUUCACCACAAGCCUGGCCUUGUGCUUGUUCAGUGAGCCAUCAGCAUUGUACUUGGCUCGGUACACCCAUUUAACUCCUAUGACCCUCUUAUGUUCUGGUCUGCUCACCAACUCCCAAGUCUGAUUUUUGUUGAUCAUUUCCAACUCAGCUUCCAUAGCUUUCAUCCAGCUUCUGUUCUUAGCAGCCUCUUCAAAGUCUGAGGGCUCAAUCACAGCAACAUUGCACCUCUGAUAGACAUCAGCCAAAGUUCUGGUCCCCCUCACUGGUAUAUCAUCGACAGCAUCAUUACUUGGUCCUUCUUCUGCAGGUUCAGCAACCAAGUCUAACUGGUCCAAUUCAGACAAGUCAGCCUCAACACCAUUCCAAUUCCACACAUUUUCCUCAUUAAACUUUACAUCCCUGCUGACUAAAACUUUCUUUGCUGUAGGAUCAUACACUCUAUAGCCCUUCUUGUUGCUGCUGUAGCCAACAAAGAUUCCUGGAGUUGCUCUACUCUCAAGCUUGGUCCUUUUCUCUACUGGAAUAAGUGCAUAACAUACACAGCCAAACACUUUUAAGUGUGUUACCAUAGGUUUGACUCCAUGCCAAGCCUCAAAAGGAGUCUUAUCCUUGACUGCUCUAGUUGGCAGUCUGUUGAGCAGAUACACUGAGGUGUUGACUGCCUCAGCCCAAAACUAACUUGGAAGCUUGCCUUGAAACAAGAGGCACCUGGCCAUGUUCAGUACAGUCCUAUUCUUUCUCUCACAGACUCCAUUCUGUUGAGGAGUAUAGACUGUUGUGAGCUGAUGGUGAAUCCCAGCACUGUCACAAAGCUUCUGAAAUCUCUCAGACACAUAUUCAGAGCCAUUAUCAGUCCUCAAGGCUCUAAUUUUACAGCCUGACUGAUUUUCAGCAUAAGCCUUGAAUUUGCAGAAGGCUUCAAACACUUCUGACUUUUGCUUCAAGAAGUAGACCCAGCACAACCUUGUUAAAUCAUCUAUAAACAGGGCAAAGUACCUGUUCUCACUGAUUGAAGGUGUUCUCAUAGGGCCACAAACAUCAGAGUGCACCAAUUCGAGCUUGUUUUGAGCUCUCCAAGCACUGUCAGCAGGAAAAGGCAGUCUAGCCUGCUUACCAAGCUGACAAACCUCACAAACAUUCCCACUAACUUCAAUUUUUGAAAUGUCAUCAACCAAAUUCAGCCUAUGUAACUGAUCGAUGGAUCUAAAAUUUGCAUGGCCUAGUCUCCUAUGCCACAAGUCAGUGCUUUCAACAAGGCUGGUGUAUGCCUUUCUUUCUAUUUGGCUAACAUCCAGCAUGAAGCACCUAUCAGUCAUAGAGACUGUGACUAACUCCAGACCAUUCAUGUCUUGAACAAUACAGCAACCAUCCUUAAAAACCAAUGUAUAGCCCUUUUCAACUAAUUGGCCUACACUAAGCAAAUUCUGGUCUAAGUCAGGUACAAAAAACACAUCUGAGAUCAGCUUGUUACCUGAACCAGUGCUAAUCAACACACUGCCCUUGCCUUUAGCCUCAAUCAGCCUACCAUCUCCAAUUCUAAUCUUCGAGUGGAAGCUUCUGUCUAGACCUUUGAACAGCUUCUCAUCUGCUGCCAUAUGGUGUGAGCAGCCACUAUCUAGUAGCCAAUCAUUGCUGGCCUUGGUUGUGCCAGCAAAACAAGUUGCUGUGAACACUUGCUCCUUCUGAGCUUGGAUGUCCUCAGCAGGUCUAGCUUGUUGUAGAGCAGCCUCCCUUGGUUUGCCCUUGCACACCUUCUCCACAUGGCCAAACUGCUUGCAUUUUCUACACUGAAUAUCUGGCCUAAACCAGCAAUACUUUUCUGAAUGUGUUAUCUUCUUGCAAUGAACACAUGGUGCGAACACCCUUUUUGCAUCAUCUCUUCCUGACUUGACCCUUCUAUUGUGCCAAGGCUUCUUGCCUUUUGCACUCACACUCGAGCCUUCACUGGCUUUAGCCUGGAAAGUAGCUUCAGGAUUCUCCUCCUGCCUAUUUGCCCUCCUUUGCUCAAGUGCAUACAGGGAGUUUAUCAGCUCAGACAAUGAAAUGGCUGAUAAGUCCCUCGAGUCCUCAAGUGAAGAGAUUUUAGACUCAAAUUUCUCAGGGAGAGUUGUAAUAACCUUUUCAACAACUCUGCUCUCUGUGAAGUCCACUCUCAGAAGCCUAAUGCUGUUGACAAUGGCCAUUAUCCUGUCUGAGUACUGCUUGAUGGUCUCAGACUUCUUCAUCCUCAAAUUUUCAAAGUCUCUCCUGAGGUUGAUCACUUGCUGUUGCCUUGUCUUAUCAGUCCCCAUGAACUCCUCCUUCAGCUUCUCCCAAGCCUGCUUUGGUGAGUCACAGGCCAUGAUGCGAGUAAAUAUCACAUCAGAGACUCCAUUUUGUAAGCAGGCCAUAGCCUUAUGCUUCUUGGCUCGCUCCUCAGUAUGUUGCCUCAUCUGUGCAAUGGUGGGAUUGGCUCUCAAUGGAGGUGGUUCAGCAUCAUUCUCGAUCACACUCCAAAGAUCAUGUGCCUGGAGAUAAGUCUUCAUUUUAACUAUCCAAAUGUGAUAGUUUUCUCCAGUGAACACUGGUGGAGGUGGUGGAGUGAAACUCAUUCUGCUAAACUGAUUUUAAGUGCUUCAAUCUUACCAAAUUUUGAACUUGCUGUUGGUUUUGAUUCGAACACAACAGAUUGCAUACAAAGGCCCCUCAAAGACUCGGGCUCAUGAUACCAUUUGUUGGAACAAUGGCAGCAGCAAACAUCAAACAAAGUUACAACACAGUGUUUGCAAGACUGAAGCAAGAAGAAUCGAAGCAAAGAAAGAGCAAAGCAAAGCAAAAAUUUGAUCAAGUUGAAUACUCAGCAAAGUUGUAACUGAAUAUUACAUUUUUCAUUCAAGAUUAGAAUAUAUAAAAGUACUACAAUUUUGGUUCAUUUGACAGAUACCUAAUGACAUAACUACUCCCACUUAAACUAAACUAAUACAAGCUUAAGUCAAAUACAAAAUAAGCUGACAUAUCAGCUCUUACAUCACCAAUCCAAUCACAAACUUAAUCCAACUAACUAUUAAAGCUAGUUACAAUCAAACUGAACUAAGUUACAUCAAAACAAAACAGCAAUAUCAGUUGCUUCAUUUGGUCUGAAAACCAUUCGUGCACACCAAGCAAAAUGAGCUGAGCUCGAUAGCUGCUGGUCUCGAUAGUAGCAUGCUUCUGGCUCCAUGUUGCAUUACAGUCCAUCUUUCAACAAAAUCUUCCAUUGAAAUGGAGAACACCAACUACGAGGAGGAGCUGAAGAAUGAUCGCAGGCUUGUUUGCAGUCUCAUAUACGAGAUUAAUUGCAAAAAAGAACAGUUGUCCCAAAUGGAACGUGAAUAUAACGAGAUGACCGCAACUCUUCGAGGACUCAUCAAUGGCCUCAUAGCAAAAAUUAACUCCAAGGACAGUAAUCUG
rnacentral:lncRNA from 1 species